rnacentral:lncRNA from 1 species
CACACUUUAUGGAAUCUUUCCACUGUUGAGGACCCUCAUGUGCUCUGCUCGUACGACCUUAAAUACUACCCUUCAAAUGGGGAGUUUACCCAUAGGUUGAAUCUUGCUUGCUUUAAGUUCUUAUUCCUCUCCUCUUUCAAUACAGUUUUGAGUUAGGUCUUUAACCUCUUCUCUUUCUGUUAGCUCAUUUGAGCUUAGUUCUUGGAGACUAAGAAUCCAUUCUUCCAAUUAUGGCCAGGUUCAUUUGCACUUGCAUCUUUUUUUUUUAUUAAUGAUUGUUUCUUAUGAAGUUCUCCAUAUUGAAGGAAGGAACUUGGAGUUACAAAAGAAGUUGUGCGCAAAAUGCUUGAGGCCUGAUGAGGAAAGCAUUACUAUAAGAGAGGCCAGAGAAAUUGAGGCUAGCAACUCGCACCCUGACCAUAGUAGGCAAACUAUGGAUUGAGGGGACUUCUGAUUUUCUCUUCUCCAUACUACUCUUCAAAUGGGGAGUUUACUCAUAGGUUGAAGACCACAGUUGAAUAAGCGGUCUAGCUAGCUACCCUCUCUUCUCCCUUUCUUGCUCUCUUUCUCUGGUAUUAAUUGCCGAAUUUGCCAUCUCUCUUCUCCAUGGCAAACACUAGGUUCUUGGGUGCUUGUGCUGUUCUUCUUGUUUUUUUAUUAUGCCAUGAAUUUUCUUGUGUUGAAGGAAGGCAUUUGAGGUCUGCGUUGUGCAAAAAAUGCUCAAGGCAUUGCCAGACCACUCUGCGAGCGACCAAGGCGGGUGAGGCCCCAAGUGGCCUGCCACAAAUGCGCACAAGCAAGAUGGAACACAUUGAAGACUUUCGACCCACCUCACCAGAACACAGCCCUGGUGUCGGCCAUUCUAUUCAUAAUUGAACUUCCCAAAUCCAAGUCCUUGUAAUUAUAUUUGUUGCGUGGUCGCACCACGAAACAUGGCAUAGUCAUUGCUCAAGGCAGUGCUGUAUGAUUUGUUUUCCUUCAUUGAUGUAUAUAAAUGUUUGCUUGUGAUCAUGAAUUCUCCUCUCUGCAGCCUCUUUAUUUCUACAGUUUACGUGCCCUUCUCCAUAUCUAAAUACAAACAAAACAAGGAAAUCGAACAAAAUUAAACUGAAUAGGCCAAGUUUUCUCAGUGCCUUGCUAAGUUUUGAAUCAAUAAUAAAGGAUAAAUGUUCCUUGAAUGUAUGCAUCUCUGUGUCCUCGAAAUGCACCCAAAGAAUUGAAAAGAAAAAUGAAGUCAUGUUCCACUGGAUUGAAGGCUUUGCUUGGGGUUGGUGGGGAGGGAAUUGGAGAUAUGUAUAUAUGCACAGCCUUGUUGGAGACUCUGGGAAUCCUAUCCAAAAAAGUGGACAAAUGGAAAGAAGUUUGAGUUAGUACUUGAAUGCUGUAACGUGCAGAAUCAAAUCUUUCAGAUCAUAGUCUAACAUGGCCUGAUAUUGACACUGUCAACUUGUCUCUGCAGAGUCCCAAGUCACAACUGAAUCUUUUCCGUAUGCCCACAUUCAUAUAGAGGGAGAGAAUGUCUUUGUACCUCUAGGCGCCAUGCAUAUUCGCUUCACAUGCAAAGUUAUGGACGUGCUUUCUUCUUUUUGUUGGCUAUUUAGUUACCUACACAAUUGACUUUCACAUACAAAGUUACUAACAAGCAAAUAUGCAUGCAUGCAUUCCCUCGGGUGAACUUCAAACCUCUUGUUAACCUAAGCUUUGUAUUGCGUUAAACCAUUGAUUUGACCUAAAAAAAACACUCAAAAGCUUUAAUUGAUGGGAUCCUAAUAUUGGGCACGUACUAUACAAUAAUAUAUUAUCCCUGUGCAGUCGUGCUUGUAAAGCAUAGAAAAGUUAUUAAUGUUUCUUAGCCCCCUGUGUAUGUAUUGUGGGUGUAUUAAUUACCUAGUAGUUUAAACUUUAGGUCAAAAAUUGAUAAUUUAUCAUGGUAUCAGAUUUCUAGUUAACUAGAUAUCGAGAGCUUAGCCUCUUAGAUUAAAUUUGUGGCAUAAUAAUGCCCCCGACUAGCAGGACUCAUGAUUGAGGCAUCCAUGAAUGGGUCUUAGAGAUCGAGAGCUUAGCCUCUUAGACCCAUUUAUGGAUGCCUUGAGCAUGUUUUGCACAUUAACGCAGACCUCAAAUGCCUUCCUUCAACACAAGAAAAUUCAUUGCAUAAUAACAAAACAAGAACAGACCAAGCUGAAUUUACUAGUUCAUGGCAUAAUAACAAAACAUGAGGUUAUUUAUGGUCUAAUAGAAAUUUAAGAUUUUUCGUGAGAGUGAGGCACAGAAGGGGGGAGAUGACUGGUGAGAUAAAUAGAAAUUUAAGAUUUUUCCUUUAUUUAUUUUAUUUUUAACUCCAGCAUUGUUUUUAAUGUGCUGAAACUGUGGGUAACUUAUUUUGUGGGUCGAUAUGACUUCUUGAUUUAUUUUUGUGACGAUUCUUUCAUUUUUUUAUUUUUUAUUUUCUCUCUUAAAGCUUAUGGAGAAAAAUCCAUUUACAUUAAUAAACAUGAAUGUAAUUUUCAUAAUUUUUAAAAUAAUGAAAUUCAUAGGAUUAAUUCAUGCAAAAUCAAUUGAGCUUUGGUUGGGGCCGUAUGAGUUUUCUCGUCUUAUUAUUAAUUGUUAUGCUUAGUGAAUAUUGAUUAAUUUUUGUCUUAUUACGUAAUAUGCAUAUAAUUAUUUUAUAUUUGAACUAAUCUUGCUUUCAUGAUAACACAUUAUUAUUUGUUGCUAAGAUACACUCUCACUCUCACUCUCACUUUGUUUAUUUAUUCUUCAUGCAUGACUUGCAUCCAUUGUAUAAUUAUUCCUUGGUAUCCAUUAAUUUUCUUAUUAAUCAUCAUAUCUGCAUUAGCCUCAUUUAGUAUAAAAUCAUUUUUAAGGACUUAGAGGGUGAUACGAUUUGUUCCCAAUAGGUAAUCCAACCCUCGGACCAAAUUCGAUUUUCACAAAGUAUGUUUUCCUUUUAGGAGUCGUACUUAGGGUUUUUAUUUCUUAUUUUAUUUUUUAAGAAAAAAAUAAAAUAAAAAUAAAUAGCGACUUCAAAUUUUUUAUAAAAAUAAUUUUUUCAUAAAUAAAAAACAAAUGAAGCCAUCAAGUGGAACACAUCGUGAAAAAUACGGGUCCACAAAUAUAUUAUUAUAAUUCAUUUUUGUUAAAAAAAUAAAUUUUUUAUUUAAUGUGAUGUGUUAAAAAAUGGAAAAUAAAAAAAAUUCAAUUAUUUUUUAUUUAAUUAUAUAUAUAAUCAAAGUAAGAUGGUCAAAACAAUACUAUAACGACCCGCAUCUAACCAUGUAGAUAUUGUCCGCUAUAGGCCUAAGGGGGUCCUCACGAUUUUAAAACGCAUCUACUAAUGUGAUGUGUUAAAAAAUGGAAAAUAAAAAAAAUAAAUUCAAUUAUUUUUUAUUUAAUUAUAUAUAUAAUCAAAGUAAGUUGGUCAAAACAAUAUUGUAACGACUAGCACCUAACCAUAUAGAUAUUGUCCGCUUUGGGUCCGAGGAGGCCCUCACGGUUUUAAAACUAAGGCCAAACAAACCCUCACAUCGGGGUUGAGGAUCGGCUCCAAUACCAUUUGUAAUGGUCCGCUCCCAACCGUGUAGAUAUUGUCCGUUUUGGACCCAAAGGGAUCCUCGCGGCUUUAAAAUGUGUCUACUUAGUUAAGAGGAGUCUCUACAUAUAUAGCAUCAAGAACUUUCUCCCCUAUUCGACGUGGAACACCACAAUUACAAUAUCCAAACUCCAAUCAAGAUUUUUUAUUUUUUUUUUAAUUUCCUUCUACGCCAUUGCCAUUCCUAUAUCUCAAUCCCUAGGCAGCUUUUGCACUGGGCUUUUAUCGUUUGCAGCUCCCCAAGGCUAUAAAAGUAGUUGUGUCCUUGCUAGGAAGCUUCUAAGGGGAGUUCCCACUUCCUAGGGAUACCGACAAGUGAGGUUGGAGCCGAUCCCCUCUAUCCCACCCUAUUUAAUUUUUUUAUUUUUAACUUUUAAAAAAAAAAUUAAUUACACUUUAUAAAUAAAUAAAACAUUCUAAUUUUUAUAACUUAUUUUAUUGAAAAGUAACAUUUUAAUUAUUUUAUAUUCAUUAAAAAUAAAGAAUUUUUAAAUUUUUAAAUAAAAUUACUUUUUAAAAUUAAUUAAUAUAUAUAAUCAAGACAUGACAAAACAAGAUAAGACAAUAUUCGAACCUAUAUCAAAUUUAAUAAAAAAUUCUUAAACUCGUACCUAACCUAUUUAUUUUAAGUUUAAACCUAUUGCAUUAGACGAAAAGGUACUCAUCACCAUCCCUAAGGGUUCCUGAAGGAAAAACAAAAAGGCUUGCCAACAAUCUAAUUUGGUACAUAUCCAAAAAGUAUGACCAAUCAAAUUGCAUGUUGUGUAUAUUUUGAACCCAUUGCAAUCCACCUUAGUUUCGCUACUUAUAUUUGAUCUUACUGUUUCUACUCCCAUCCAAUGGUUUAUAAUUUAUCAUGCACUCUCAACAAUCACAAAGUUUGAUGGGUACCUCUUUGGUCUCUUCCAAACCAAAAGAAAGAAGGCAACACUAUUCAGAAUCUAAACAUGUAGAGAAUUUGAUCAGGCUUAAUAAUAAAAUUUGCAGAAACAUUCAUGAAUUGCAGCCUCACUAUGAUUUCAGUACGAAGUAAUCCUGAUCGAAAACAAAUGGAUAGAACUGAGGGAAGCUUGCAUUUUUAUUUAAAUAAAUAGUACAGAAAACACAUUUUGGGAUCCCAAAAGAAGAGCAACAGCCACAAAGGUUUGAAAUAGUUGCUACCUAAAAUUAGACAGGGACAGGAGGCCAAAGAGGAACAACUGCUUUCUUAAUUCUCUCCACGGCUGCAUGUAGGGUGGAGAGGGAUGCAGCAUAGGAUAUGCGAAUGCACUUGUCGUCUCCAAAUGCAUCCCCUGGGACAAGGGCAACCUGCAACCAACAUCCAUAACCUAAUUACUAACUAGUGCUGAUGUGCCUCCUAAUGAAUUAAUCAACCAUUGUUUCUCUCUUUCUGUUUUUUGUUUUCCAUGAGCUUACCUGGGCCUGGUCCAGCAGAUAUCGGCAGAGGGACUCUGAAUUCUCAAUUAUACCAAAACCUUCAGCCUCUGCCCCAUAGUAAGAGCUGAAGUCAAGAAAGAGGUAAAAAGCUCCCUGCAAAUGAGAAAGUACAGAGGAUUAGAAGUUUGGGAUAAUAGUGGGAGCAGAAGUACAAGUGUGAACAGCAAAGCAAGCUGAUAAUUGGGGUAUGUUACUCUUAAGACUAAACAAAAAGAGCUGGUACCUGGGGCUCUGAUAUCUUGACACCCUCCAGUUCUCCAAAGCUUUUAACCAAGAAAUCUCGCCGUUCCCUGAAUGCUUUUACCAUUGUGGAAACAGCUUCCCCACCAGCAUAGCCCAUUCCCAAUGCAGCAACUGCUGCUUUCUGAGAUAUGCUACUGGCACCUGAAGUGAACUGGAAGAACACAACAUAGGAAUCAGAAAGACCUAGCCAUUUAAAGUGCAAGGACAUGGUUUGAGGUGUCCAUCCACUAUUGAAAUGAGCAUGUCGAAAUAUCCAAUUGCAGUAGAAGUUAAUAUAAAUUGAUUUUUCUCCAUAUGAUUUAAAAGAGAAAAAAUGAAAGAAUCAUCACAAAAAUAAAUCAACAAGUCAUAUCAACCCACAAAAUGAGUCACCCACAGUUUCAGCACAUUAAAAACAAUGCUGGAGUUAAAUCUUAAAUUUCUAUUUAUUUCACCAGUCAUCUACCCCCUUCUGUUCCUCACUCCCACGAAAUCCACUUUCAGAACCUCAAUGAUGAGCCCUAAAAGUACAACCAUCCACAGAUAACACAUAUUUAUGAGGUUCAGAAUUGCUAAUUGUGUUGAUAUCCCCUUAUAAAUGGCAUGUACAUGGAAAAGACCCAACCACACCCCCCCCCUCUUUUCAAUUUAACUACUGCAUCCAGACUACAAGACUUGUUUCAGACACACUUAUAAUUUUAUGAACACUUGAUAGAUUAAAUUCUCAAUACAAUCCACUUUAAUCAACACAAAAAAUGCAAGCAGAGCAUAGAACAAUAUUUCAUAUUCAGAAACAUAUAGAGUGAACACAUAGACAAAAUAUUUAUCCAGCGAUCACAAUAGACAUGGCUGGUAAACCGUACGUGUAUGUUCAAUUCAAUUCACGAUCCACCUAGCAUCGCUUGUGACGUGAUGCCUUAAUGAGGGACACAAGAUGCAUGCUGAAUAGAGCUUUCCCAUUGGAAAGUGAUAGGUGUGGUAUAGAUGUAAUAUACCUGACUCUGAAUCUUUCCACAUGCAGCAACAAAGUGUUUAGGACCAGCAAGAUACCCAAGCCGCCAGCCAGUCAUUGCGAAGGCCUACAAAUUAGCCACCCUAUAAAUGUCAAUCCACAAGAUGAGGCCAACACUUGACACGUAUCACUCAUGAAUAUAUGAAAGAUUGAAAGUAGAACUAUCCAAAAAGGAGAAUAUGAAAUCUAUGUCACAAGGAAAUACUUGAAUGAAUAUAACUAACCUUAGAAAACCCAUUGACUGUCAAAGUCCUCUCCCACAUGCCUGGCAAAGCUGCAAAGCUUGUAUGAGUUGCUGGUGCAUAAAUAAUAUGUUCAUAUAUUUCAUCAGACAAAACCUGAAUAUGACAGAAAAAAGAAAUUUUAGGUAAUGUCAGCUGAGUUUGGCAUGUUCAAGUGCAGAUCUCACUGUUGAGGUUCAAGUUCAUUCAUUCUUACCAGAAGCCUGGGGUGCCUUGCUACAAUCUGAGCAAUCUCUUCAAGCAGUUUCCUGGAGUAAACUGAUCCGGUUGGGUUGGAUGGAGAACAUAGAAUCAGCAAUCUUGACUUUUCAGUGAGUUUGGACUCAAGAAACUUUGGAUCUAGGAGAAAAUUUUCAGAGAUAAGUGUUGGAAGAAUGACAGGUGUUGCAUCUGCCAGUCUUGCCAUUUCUGGGUAACUCACCCAGAAUGGAGCUGGAAUUAUAACCUGAAGAACAAAGGCUAGUCAAUAAAUGAGAACCAUAUUUGCAGAUAAAAAGAAUCCAGACAAUAGCACAACUAGUAGCCCCUAAUCUAUAUUGCCAAGAACAUGACUUUGGUGAGUAUGCAUAAGAUUUUCCUUCAAAAAAUAUCGACUUAAAAAAAAAAGACAGAAGAAGAAAAAAAGGUAGAAACGUGCCAAUAUGCAAGUUUUGACACAUGGAGGAGGGCUAAUGGACUUCAAAUUGCCAUCAUGCUGGCAAUUUAAGUGAAUGGCCUGAACAGAUUGUGGAUAGCAAUGUCAGCAAAACAUCAGCAAAUUGAGUCAUUGGUUUUUGCCACAGUUUGUUUCACAUAUAAAGUAGGCAUCUCUUAGAACUGAUACCUGUAUGAAAUGCAGUUCAGAGAUGAAUUACAGCAGGCCAUGUUUCCAACAGAUGUAGAUUGGGAGGGACAAAAUUCCCAUAUGCUAACAUCUUUCUUGACACGUGCUAACAGGAUAAUUUAUUUUGCUAUUAGUGCAUGUUCGUGUAUUUUAUUGUGUUAAGGUACAGGCAGGGUAGGUGCAGAUGAUUACUAUCACUUGCAAAAUUUACAAAUCACCAGCUCUCUAUGAUUUAACUAACACAUUGGAUUUUGUUCAUACCAAAUUAAAUAGAGCAUAAAGUCCCGAUGGCACAAUGAUACCACAACUACUUUUUGUCAUGACUCCACAAGUUGUAAAUUUCAAUCAAACAGAAGAUGAUCUAGUAGAUAAACAGUUUGAUAGCUUUAUUUAUUUAUUUAUUUAUUGGAAGGAAAAUGGUAGCUUUAUGGACUUAUAAUUUUGUCUAAUUAAAGUCAGAGCUGAACAAUGGAAGAGGAAAGGUAUUCACUACACAACAUCCAAAUGAAGGUACUUCGUAGUUCAGCCCAAUAAACUCAGAUAGGAAAGAGCCAAAAGAAUAGUUGAGCAGACUAACAGCAUUUUUAAAUCUAAUGAUGAUUAUGAAGGUAUGAGCUACUUCACCUCAUCUCCUGGGGAGCAAACUGCAAGCACUGCUUGAAGAAUAGACUGUUUGGCUCCAUUACUAACCAAAAUCUCAUCAGGUGUAUAUGAGAGCCCAUUUUCCUCUGUCAAAAUAGUAGUAACCGUUAGAACCAUUAUCUCUGCAUUUCAGAAUAGAUAAUUAAUAGAUAGAAACACCCCACAUAUAGCAAACUAACCCUUCAACUUAUGACAAAUUGCUGAACGGACUUCCAAAGUACCCGCAUUUGGAGUGUACCUUGUGUAACCUUCACGAAUUGCAUUUAUCCCAGCCUAACAUUUUCAAAAAUAUCAGAAGAGAAGAACAGAUAGUAUCAGUGGUGUAAGUAUAGGUAAACACAUUAGCCACAGACCAAAAGAGAUUAAAUUGAAAAAGGUCAAAAAGAAAACCUCAGCUAUCACAGCUGGAGUAUCAAAAUCAGGUUCUCCAGCUGCUAAUCGUAUAACAGGGACUCCAGCUUGUACAAGAGCAGUUGCUUGGUCAGUAAUAGCUACUGUUUUAGAAGGCUUUACAGAAUUUACUCUGGGACUCAGUGAGAUAUCAACCUCCAUUUUCUCAGAUGUGCCCCCUGCCCUUACUAUAACAUCUAAUCUAGAUGACUGUACUUGUCUUGUAGACUCCAAGGAUCUAUCAGCACAGAUAUGAAUCAGAAAGCAAUAGGUGUUCCAAAACAUAGAAAGGAGAAAACAGAAAAUAUAAUAUUUAGGGUCAAUGGCUUGGUGGCACCUGCAGUUGCCCUUGAGGCCUGGCCAAGUAGCAAAAUGUUGGGAAGGGGAUAUGGGAAGUUCCAGGUUCAAAUCCCAACAGGGAGGGCAAAACAAUGUUACCUAUGUAGGACAUGUAGCAGCACUUAAACUAAGGCCAAAUCUUCAAAUAGAACCAGGGGUAAGCUAAUCAAUUACAAAUGAAAAGCAAUUGACAUUUCAACAUGACCACAGUAAUUUCAAGCAACCAGGAAGUUAGAUAUAUUGUUAUAGAUCAAGGCACAAAAGUGUAAAGGUAUUAAUUGAACCCUCUGCCACCAUUUAUUAUGCUCUUGUAAAGUCCUUUUAAGAAGCAAGAAAAGUAGUGUUUCUUUUUUGCCUUCCUUAAAAGCAAGAAUUGAAAGUUUGUAUUGUUAAACAGUAUCAAAAAUGAUAUUUGACCGAGAAAAACAUGAAAGUAGGUGCAAGAGUGGAAUUAGCAACAUUAACAAUGGUGGUGGUGGAAAAGGCAAUAGCAGCGGUGGGAAGUGCUGGAAAAUUAAGUGUGGUGGCAACUGUGAGCAAUGGCAGUUAAGGUAGAAAAGACAAUUGAAGCGAUAAUGCUGAAAAAAAGAUUGUUAUGGUUGUCCUGCAAUCCCAAAAGGAUGGUGGCAGACCAGUUUUGGGUUGAAUGCCUAUAAUUCCUGUAGCGUAGUGAUGAGUCUAGCAACAACUAUGGUGGUUUGUUGGCGAAGGUCCAUAAAAUAUAAAGGCAAUCAAAUUUUUUGCUCUCAACAUAAAACGCUUCUUAUUUCAUUCAAAAGAAAGCAAAAAAUAAAGCUCUCAUAAUGCAUUCCAAACCCAAGUUCCCAUCUUCUAUUACUUCUUGCUUCACCAUUUUUCCAAAGUUCUUGCUUCCAAAGCUGAGAAAAGAACUUCCAAGAUGCUAAGAAGGAACCAGGAAGUGCCUAAUUUCCUCACAUUAAACCAAGAACAGUCCCCCAAUUUCAAUAUCCAAAAAGUCAGAACUCUUUUUGCUUUUGAAAAUCAGGAAAAAAAAAAUGACAUAAAUGCCUGCUUUUGAAGAACUACUUUCAAAAAAGGCAAUUUUGAAAAUGGGUAUGGUUUAGGUAACAUUAAAAAUUAUAAUACACGAUAGGGUUUUUCUAUUUUCCGUACCACAACAAAAAGUGCUCCCAAUCGAGUGGUCACAAUUCCAAAGGAAAUGAGUUCGCAAAUCUCAUUCUCUCAUUUCCUUGUACUUGGUUGCAUUCAUUUGUACUUGAAUCUCUUUUUUUCUAUUUUUUGUUUUUAAAUUUGUUGGGCUAGAUUAAUGCUUGUUGUGGAUUCGAAAGGAAUGAAAAUAUUUCUGAAAAAAUCAUUUUCAUUUCUACUGCCAAAACGCGUUUUAAACACCAUAUCUUAAAAGAAAUGUGAUGCCAAACAAAUAGUAAAAACAAAACAGGUUCAUUCAAACCCUAUGCGCCACAUAAAGGAUCAUUACAAAAAAAAAUGAAUUUAACAGCAAAUUCAUAGUUUCCAGAAAGCAAACAAACAAGACUCAUCUAAAGCUCCGUUGUGCUGUUGAAAACGAGAGGGAAACGAGAAUUGAUAACUUCAAAAUUUUGAGCCCUUGGGUUCACGAAGUAUCGAUCACCCUUUCCCUCUUUCAUUUUCCUCCAGUUUCUCAGCAACCAAACAGACCAUAACGUUAGAAUUAAAGAAACUUCAAAGAAAGGAAUGAGAAAAGUAAAUUGAAAUGAAGGGAAGCAGGAAGAAAAAAAACAGACUUACUUGAGACUGUGAAAACGAGAGGGAAAAGAGACGGAUCUGAAGCACUCCGAUCCUAUAGAUUGAUCUGCGAAGCAUAGGCGAGUGGGUUUAGGGGUGAAAGUAGUGAAAGAGGAGGCUGCCAUCGAUGUUUGGUGAAUCGGAUUCGAAGUUUCCAAUGAAGCAGCCAACUAUAGUUACCUUAUAAUAUAGUGAGGGAGUGUUUCACAAGAUGAGCGGGGUUGGUGGAGACCAGGGUUGUUGGAGGAGGCUGCUCUCCUUUGGUCCCCUUUCAAGACAGGAAGGUAGUGGGUCCUUUCAUCAUCCGACUUACCCUUUCAGCGCUGUCUCCCUUAUAGUCUGAAUUAUGUUUCAUUUUGAGUUUUUUAUUAGGAUAGAAAAUGGUGAAAAUAUAAAAUAAAAUUAUUUUUACAAUAUACAUGUGUGAUGGUAUGAGAGAUAUUAUUAAAAAUGAUAGUAUUAUUAUUUUUGUAUGAUACUUGUUUGUGAUAUUAUUAUUAUAUUAGAUUUAUUUAUUUUUUGUUAUAUUUUUUAUUUAAAAUAAUUUAUUAAUCCCACAUAAUGACCCCUAGAGGAUUCAAACUGAUAACCAUUGAAGAGCAAACCUAACACGGAACCAACUUAGCUACCCUCAUAGUUAUAAUCUAAUAAAUAAUAUUCUAUUUCACAUAUAUAUAAGAUCACAUUUUAAAUUAAUAAUUCUUUGAUAUUUAUAAUAUUCAUAUUCAUCUUAUAUGAUUUUAUUCCCUAUUUCACUUUCAAUAUUUUUUAAAAUAAUUUUCCCUUAAAAAUUAAGAAAAAAAAACGAUAGAAUAAUGUUUUCACUUUUUCUAUUUUUAUAUAUGUUUUCAUAUCCUAAUUUAUGUUUUCUUUGAAAACAAAAACUGAAAAAAAAUGUAAACUUCUAUUUAGUAAUGAUUUUAAGAAUGAUUUUUUAAUCUAAAAAUUAUUUUUUAAAAAAUAUUAGGUAUUUGAUAAAAUUUAAAAAAUAUUUCUAAAAAUUUGAAAACUAAACACUUAAAAAAUAUUAGGUGUUUGAUUUUUCGAUUCUUCUAAAAAUACAAACACUCCCAGACGUACUCUACAUUUAGUGUUGAUCUUUUUAUAUUUAAAAAAAAAAAAUUGUAACUUUUAUGUAAAAUAUAACAAUACUUCAAAAAAAAAAAUAUCAAUCUUGUCUUGUGUCUUUUAAAAUUUAAAGUAGUAAAAAAAAUUUAGUAUGUUAUUUUUUUUAAUCAGUUUCAAUCACUUUUUUCUUAAAAUAAGCCUCCGAAAUUCGUCCAUUUUCUAUUUUUAAAAGCAUGAAAUAACAUGAGAAGAAUGUCCAGACCACAACGUAGCCUAUCUAUGUUUUCCCCCUUUUUUAAUUCUCUCUAUGGGGUUGAUGUUAAUGUGCUGAAACACAAGGUUUCUAGAUGUGAUAUGGUAUAAUAUACUUCGAGUAGGUGUACCUACCUCCCCAAGGCGUCUCUCACUGACAGGGGAUUAUGCAAAACGAUGACGUUCGGCUGAGGCAAAAUGUUUUUAUAACCCACCUUACCAUCAGGAUUGGCAUGGGAGAUGGGUGCUCGAGACUUUCAGAUAUCCCACCAAAGUACUUGUCUGAUUGCCCCUCUCUUGCCAAACUUCUCUCGACUGAUGUUUGAGGUUUUAGCAGCAAAAGAUUUAGUCAUGCCUAACUGGGUGGCACCUUUGGCACCCAGCUAAAUGUGGUAAUUGCAGUCUUUGAACAAAUCUUUCAGAUAUAUUAUAUUACUCGGUUAGAUUUCUUGCUAUGUUUCUUUCACAUUUUUAUUUUUCUGCAAAAGCCGAAUAUUUUCCUGCACGCCAUACUAUAAAAUCAUCAAUGUCUAAGCGGAGGCAUACUACAGAAUUAGAACAGAAACAUGCUAUAAAGAAUUGGAAUGGAAAACUUAUUUAGAGCCCCUCAAUUUGAAGUAGAGGGUUGCGUAACCUGUAAAGUGAAUAUGUACGCAUGGGUCCCCAUUGCUGGAAGCUGCAGACAGUUCAAAUAAGAUGCUUCCAGGUUCCUCUACAGUCUAAUUCAUGAUCUCCUUAUUAACAAAAUAGACUAAGAGUUCAUUUGAUAGUAAUUCUAAAAAAUGUUUUUAAUAUUUUUAAUACUUGAAAAUUUUUAUCAUUUAAGUGUUAGAAAUACUAAAAAUGUUUUCUAGAAUUACUCCCAAACGAACUUUUAAAGUGUGUUUGACAGUAAUUCAAGAAAACAUUUCUACAUUUUUUAACACUUGAAUGAUAAAAAUUUUCAAAUAUUAAAAAUGUUAAAAACGUUUUCUAAAAUUACUAUCAAACAGGCUCUAAAUAAUUGACACCGCAUCGCAUUCUUUGUAGAAGCCUCUCUGCUUCCUUCAUCAAAAUACCAACAAAAAGGGGAUUAGAGUAGAAGCUUACUCGCAUAGCUGAGGCAUCACAUUUGAUUGGGGUGCAUUGUCUGUUUAAGCCCCCUUCAGCUGUUCUGCCUUGGCCUCCACCAUAACAGAAACUUUCUGUGUUCAAAAGCUGCAAUCACAAAACAAUUGGAGAUUUUUCUUUGCACUCCUAUGGUUUUCUUUAGGUUACAAGAUUAAUCCUCAAGACCCAACCCACCGUAUCACUCCCUACCCUAACCUAUCAAUGGAUUGGAGAGUCACCAUCCAUCCACUUUGUAAUGUUAAAGCACCUAACAUCCUUAUCAGGCUCUGUACAGCGAUGUUAAUGUCUGGUAUAGCUGGUAAUCACAUAUUGCAACAUUCUGGUCGGCUUCACUUUCAUGCUUAGCUUAUAAUUAUUAUAAGCUGCUAUCAAGACUCUGAUGACUUGAUCCAAAUUGAGCCACCAUGCUAGAAACCCAUGGUUAAAAAGUUCAGUGGUUUUCUAUUAUUGAAUCUCCCGAAUCCGUAAGGCACAGCUAAACAUUUUUUUUUUUUUGAUACACAAACAAGAAUAUAUAAAAGACAUCAAUCAAAGAGCGGGUGUUGCACCCCAAGUACAGGGGAGGUAUACAAAGGAUGCCAAAACAACAAACAAACCACCUCAAACAUGCACACAAAACACUGUCCCACUAACUAAACUGAUAAAUAAAAUCUAACAAGAAAAGAGGUCCAUCUUGAAUAUGUUGGCAAGUCCAUUGGAAUAGGGCGCAGAUAAGAGUGUCCUUUAGCACUUGAUCUCACCAUUGAAUUCCAUCAAAGUAUCUUCAGUUCCUCUUUUGCCAAAGAAUCCAAAACAAGCAAAGAAGGUUUGUCCUCUAAAUCUCUUUCUAUUUUUGCUAACAAAACUCUCAUGUCAUCCUUUUAGCAAAUCUUUCACAGAAAAAAUGGCCUAAAAAAGGGCCAAAUAGAGAAAAUAAAAAAUGCCAAAGACCCCUUGACUUUUCACAAUGGAUUAGCAUAUGAUUAAUUGGUUUUGUUGAACUCAUAUAUAAACACUAUGAUACCUGGAUCCUCCAAUCUGACCUAACUUAGCUAUCUCGAUAUGACAUGACAAGGGUGUGGAUAUGGGAUCGUUAUCAAAUAUUCGAAUUUUACUUCGAGUGUGAUUAUUUGAUUUUUUUAUUGAUAUCCUUUUAUUUUUUCAACUUUCUUAGUAAUUAUAUUAUAGAAAAAGAAGAGUUGGCCGAAAAGUAAAUUUUUGUGAGAAUAAUUAGCAAUAUGAGAAAAAAAAAAAAAAAAAAGGGGGGGCGGGGGGGAUUAGAGGGAAAAUAUGAGAGCUUUUUAAAAGGAUAUCUUCAUUUUCAAUUUAUUUUUAAUUGAUUUUUCUUUCAUUAUGUCAUGUCCUGGUAACCAUAUCCCCUUUUCUGGAUCCUUUUUAGCCAAGUCCUUGUAUCCUAAUUUGAGUUGUGUAAGAGGCACAUACCCAAAUCCAACAUUCAUACCUGGACCCAUGCAACAUAGCAUAAAUAACAAUCAUUAGCCAACAGUCAACCUCUUCUCUUAAGUUGAUCUAGGGUUGGUAAGCUUUCCCAUACAGCCUCCUAAGCAAAAAAAAAAAAAAGCUCACUUUGAAAGACACCCAAAAGCCCCACACUACCUUUGAGGAAAAAGACACUCCACCCGAUUCUAGGGAAGAAUAGAAAGAUUUAAACAACAAGUUCCCGCUCUUGCUAGCCUUCCAAAUCAGCUUAUCUGCGUCCUCACUGCACUUCCCAAGCACUUGAAGCCUCAUAAGCAACUCUUUGAUUCUAUGUAACUCCCAAUCUUGAAACUAUCUCGUUCCAAACAACCUGCCCGCUUAAGACCUCCCAAGUAGUCAUCACCCAAGCCUCUCUAUCAGAUGCACAACUAAACAUAAAAGAUUAAUGAUAGAACAAAUUUUGUCAAGCACUUCAGUCACUUGCAUUAAUGCAUAUCACUCACAAGGCCUGAAUUCACACAACUCAGGAUUGUCUAUAUAAAUCAUUCACCAUUCAUCUCUACCAAUGUCCAAAGCCUCCUAAAUCAUAUGCCUACAUGUCAAUUCUCACCAACUCAGUCCACAUCUUUUUUAGCCUUCCUCCUUUGGUCCUUCCUCUCUUCUUUCUUACACCCUUUGUCUGAAUCAAAUCAGGCCACAGGACCCUUAUAGGAAAUACUUAUAACGAGUUCACAACCUUUUCAAAACUUUAGGCUGACGGAUAAGGACAGACAUUCAAUAAUUGAAAUAAAAAUGUGCAGAGGCAAGAAUUUAAGAUGUAUACCAAGAAGUUUAGGCUCACUAUGUAUAACAUGUUAGAAUUUCAUGAUUUCAAGAUGCAAUUAGGAAACUAGUAGUAUAAUCUAAGGUGGCAAAUUGCCAGUCCAUAAUGACAAAAUUGAAUCCUAGUUAGAUACCAAACUCAUCCCAUACAACAAAAAUGAGUCAUUCAGACUAAAGAUUAAACUGAAAUAUGAACAUCAUCUCCAUCAAAUCAUAUAUAUCCAAAUCUCUCAUCUCAAAACCAUCAAUUAUUAGUUAUUACCAGAGAAACAGAUUUGACAAUGUAUAAAACAUGUAGAUAAAUCAAGCCCAAAAAGGAAGGGUGCCAAUUCUGAAGAAAGAAUACCUCAUAUUCGAGUACAAGAUGAAUCAAAAUCAUCAGGAGCAACUCGAGCAAUCCAAUUGCUCAGCGUCCUCUUAAUAUCAGAAUGAUUAACAUAGGCCAACUCAUACAUGCUACACAAAUUAACCACAAGAGUCUCAUUCAGAGCUACUGUAGGAACCCUUUCGAGGGCAUUCUCCAACACCUUGAUCGAAUCCGAUAAGUCCCUCAAAUACAUCAAGCACAGAGCUUUGUUAUUGAUAGCCACAACAUCCGAACCAUCCCUCUCAAUGCACUCCUCGUACUCCCUCACUGCAGACACAUAAUCUUUUCCCACUAAGUAAACCAGCGCCUUAUUCCGAUUCACAAGGUUCUUGAACUCAAUUUCGCUCAAUGAACCUAAUCUCUCUUCCUUACCCAUCUUCUCUACCAGUUCGAACGACGCCUUCGCCCCCUCCAAAUCCCCAAUCUGCAGCUGAAUGCAGCCGAGCUUCGACACCAGCGCCGGAUCAUCGCGACAUCUGCCGCUCAGUAACUGCCUGAUCAAACUCACACACACACCAAAUUCCUUGUGACUCAAAUGGUGCCCGAUUAUCGAAUUCACCACAAAAACCUCCCUCCUCUUCCACACAUCCGCAGAAACCCCCAGCCCCCUCGACCCUUUCUCAUCCACCCUCGUCCGCGCAAAAUCGAGCAGCGUAUACAACCGAUCUAGGGUUUCCUGGCGCUUCCCCAAUUUCAACGGAAUCUCGGCAUGGAUCCACCGGAGAGCGAACGGAAUCAUGGAACCAGACCGGCCGGGGUACACAUCAGGGUGUGAUUCGUACUGGUAGAUGGAGUGAUCGAGAUCCUCCAGCGAUGCCAGCUCCUCCGAAACGUCGCCGUAUCGACGGAGCUUGAUGAGAGCCAGGACGUUGUAGGAGAAAUAGCAUAGGUGUUCGUGGGGCUUUUGGAGGAGAGAGAGCUUGCGGGCGCGAGAGACCUUGUCGAGAAUGGAACGCCAUGAGCCUCGAGUGGCGAGCUCUUGGAGAGACGAGAGCUCGUAGCAGAGGUCGUUGAGGGAGCCGAACGGGCUCGACAGUGGGUCGCUGGCGAUAAAGCCAUCAGCGGCCGGAGUUGAAUCCUCCGACGGGGCAUCAGUGGCCAUGUUUCGUGAAUUGAAGAAUGGCUCGACUCAGCUUCACUGCUGUGGGAAUAGCUUGCGACGAUCAGAUCCGGCUGCUUUUAAUUAUUAUUAUUCUUUUUUACUUAUGAAUUUAUUUUUCAAAAUAUGUUUUAUACAUUAAUCACUCCUAAAUUUGUUUAAUAUGAUAUAAAAUUUUAAAAUUUACCUAAUAAUAUCUUAGGCUUAUAAAUGGCUGGUUUCAAGCCCAAUUCAACCCAAAUUGAGUAAUAACUAAAGUGAUAGUUAAUAUUUUAUUUUUUUAUUUUUAGUUUUACCGUUUUUUAAGUCUUUAAUUAUAUAUUUAAUUUUUAUUUAUUGAUCUCAAACCAAUUCUCAUAGUAAAAUAAAUUAUCUAUUGAUAAAACUGUCAUUUCAAAAAAUAAUUAUUUAAAUUAUGAUAUAUAUAUAUAUAUAUUUAAAUAGAGAAAGAUAAAUCUAGUUUAUAAAAUUUAACGUUCUUUUUGCUAUAAAUAUAUAUAUUUUUUUUAAAGUUAAACCCAUUUUUCCCUUUGAAUUAAAUACACCUAAUCAUCGUUUAUUUGAAAUUCCAUAAAAUAUUUUUUUUUUCAUUUUUCAUUUGUUAUUUUUAUUAAUCUAUUCUUUAAUUUAAAAUAGGAAAAAUAUUUAAUAAAAUAAAAAAUCAAACCAAUUAUUAAAACGAAAAAGUUAUGAUUUACUAUUCAAUGGUUGAACGAUAAUAGAACCCAUAACAUCAUAAAUAUAUAAUUUAUAUAUUAUUAAAUUAAAAAUAAUUUUAAAAUUUUAAAAUAUACAUAUAAAUAAAUUAAAAAUCAAUAAUAUUUAUUUUUUAUCUUUUAUAUUAUCAAAUUAAAUAAUGCAUAAGUAUAAAUGUAUUAAUAUACUAAAUUUCAUUAAAUGAGAUAUGUAUAAUAUUUUAAGUGGAUAUAUUAAAAAUCAAAGAAAAUCCAAUUAUUUAAUUUUAGCUAAUUUUAUAAUUUUUAAAAAUAUUAUAUUAUUGUUAUUCAAUAUUUUAAAUUUUUAUUUUAGAAAAGAAAUAUAUUGUUUUUUGUUUGCCUUAAAAGCAUCAAAACAUGUGUAGCCGGGUGAUGCCCCAUACCACUUUCUGAGCGCUUUUCAAAAUUAUUCAAUAAAAACUGAAGAAAAAACUAUAUCUCUUAAUCAAAAUUUAGAAAGUCUUCAAUUAUUGAGUCAAAACACUAUUAAUCAUCAGAGGAAGAAAUUUAACUAUAUUCAUAUAGGAUUAGUUCAAGUUGCCAUAAAACCUUUGUUUCAUUUAGGUUUAGAUAUUCUUAUUUUUGUUUGUUUAAGAGACGCUAGGUCAACAAGAUUUACUGAUUCCGUCCUUAGUACGAUUGAUUCAAACCUUGCCAAUGGUCUCGUUUAUUUUAAUUGUUUUCCAAACUUUUCCAUGAAUAUAAAUUACCCAAGUAUUCUUUCAAGUUUAACCUUAAACAUUAAAACCAAAAAUAUGAAUUUUGUAGAAGAAGCUUAAACUAUAGCAAUAAUCUAUAGGAUAUAUUAUAAAGUCAUGACAACCCAAUUAAAUCCUAGAGCUAUAUGUUAAUCCGUCAAAGAUGAAACAUUAUUAUUACAAUAUAAUCCUAAUAAUACUCAAGCUUUUGUUCCUAAAAAAUUAAAAUGGAAUGAAAUUACUCAAGAAGGUCAAUGGGAAUUAAAAGAUUUAACUUUUCCAAAACCAAUUAAACCUUUAACAACUCCUUCAAAAAUUAUACAACAUACAAAUGGUACUAUUCAAAUAUAAUUUAGUCCAGCUUCUAGAUAUUCAUUUAAUCAAGAUUUUAUAUCUGCAAGACCUUCUACUUCAAAUCCUAGCCUAAAUGGUGUUGAUUUUACUCCAAAAAUUCCUAUUCCUGUAUAUCAGCAACAAGAAUCUCCUCCUGCUUCACCUACUCAUUGAGAUAUGUAUCCUAAUCAAGUUAAUAUUAUUCACAAGAAAAAUUAUAAAAAGACUCCUUUUACUCCUAAUAUCGAAUGGAUAAAAUCAGAUUAUUUUGCCCCUUAUAAUAAUACCAAAAGAGUUUAUUUUCAAACAUUUCCACUACAAACUAGAAAUGCAUUAAGAAAACAAUAUGAAAAAUAUAUGAAUCAAAAGAAAUUACUAUUCCUUUUUUCUAUUGGUUUUUCAAAAUUAAAAAACAAAGAAAACAAAUUAUAACUUUAAGAGAUAAAGAAAGACAUCAAUUGGCAAUAAAACAUUCAGAAAAUGUUCAAAAAAGAAUUUUAACAAUAACCUCAGAAUUAGGUUCACAACCACCCUUAAAUAAUCAUCAAUUUAAUUUUGACAAUAAUUCAAUUUCUGCAUCACCCUUCAAAAUUCCAAUAACCAAAUAUGAACAAAGUCCCAUAAUUUAUAAGGAUAUUAGACAAGUUCAACAACAAUUAAAUUAUACAAAUCAUUCUCUUCAACAUUUAAGUCAACAAAUAACAAAAAUUUCCAAAUUUUUGUUUUCUUCUACCCCGGGAGGGAAGAUAGGAGAAACGAAAACAUUAAUAUCAAAAUCUUCAAAAAUUUCAUCAACUUUAUCAUCAUCAUCAUCAUCUUCCAAAUCUUUAGAACAACCUUUUAUUAUUCCUAUAAAUGUUGCAAAAUCAAAUAUUCAAUUAGUCAUACCAAGAGAAACAAUGUUAAAAGAAAUACAAAUUAGAUUAGAUAAACUCAAUAUUAACGGUAUUAAGAAUCAAAUUCAAACUAUAACAAAAGGAAAAUCAGAAAUAAAUAAAAUAGAAGAACAAUUCAAAAUGUCUCCUGAUUCAAUAGAAAAACCCCCUGCAACAGUCAAUGCAAUUUCUAAUAAUUUUAUAAGUAGAAAAAAUUAUUAUUCAAAACCCUAUUUUCCUGAUGUUCAAUUAGAAGAAAGAAAUUAUCAAUUAGCUGCUAGUUAUGAUGGUAGUAGUUUUUAUGAAUGGAAUAUAGAUGGAAUGAGUGAACAUCAAAUAAUUAAUUUACUUCAUGAAAUGAUGAUGGCUGCUAACGCAUAUAGAAUCAAGACUAGUAACUCUGACUUUCAUGCUGCAGGCACCUUAGUAAUAGGAUUCAUUGGAUUACUUAAAGGUUGGCAGGAUCAUUAUUUGAGUCAAAAUGACAGAGAAUACAUAUUAAAUGCAAAAAAGACAAUAGUCAAAGAAGAAGGAACAUCGGUCCAAACUUAUGAAGAAGAUGAUGUCAAUACAUUAAUAUUUGCAAUAACAAAACAUUUUAUAGGAGAUCCAGUUUAUUUUCAAGAAAGAACUUCUGAAAUCCUUAAUAAUCUUAGAUGUCCAACACUUCAAGAUUUCAAGUGGUAUAAAGAUAUGUUUUUGGUUAAAGUUAUGACAAGACAUGAUUGUGGAAGUCAUUAUUGGAAAGAAAAAUUUAUAUCAGGUUUACCCACUCUAUUUGUAGAAAAGGUUAGACAAAGAAUAAGAAAUAUUCAUAAUGGUAGAAUUCCUUAUGAGUCAUUAACAUAUGGAGAACUAAUUACUUUUGUCAAUAAUGAAGGAUUAGCUCUUUGUACAGAUCUCAAAUUAAAGAGUCAAAUGAAAAAAGAAAAACAAGACAAUAAAAAAGAAUUAGGAAAAUUUUGUUCAUAUUAUGGUUAUGAUACAAUAGUUGUCCCUUCAAAAAGAAAAAAUAAGCAAAAUAAAAUAAAAAGUAAAAAACCAUAUAUAGAGCCAAAAUUUCAAAAGAAGUUUGUAAAAUCUACUCCUAAUAAACCAAAAUCAUCAAAUAAAAUAGCUUUAAAGAAAAAAAACCCCAACAUGUUAUAAAUGUGGAAAAGUAGGACAUUACUCAAGAGAUUGUCAAUUAGAAAACAAGAUCAAUUCAUUAGAAAUAAGUGAAAACCCCAACAUGUUAUAAAUGUGGAAAAGUAGGACAUUACUCAAGAGAUUGUCAAUUAGAAAACAAGAUCAAUUCAUUAGAAAUAAGUUAUAAACUUAAAAAUUUAAUGAUAGGAUUAAUGAUUGAUAAAGAAAAUGAAGAAUCAAGUGAAAAUUGUGACUCAGAAGAACAUAAUCAAAUACUAAUAACACAAGAAAUAUCAAGUGAAGAGUCAAGUCUAGAAGAAGAAUUAUAUAAUAAAAAAGAUUGUGAUGGUAUUUGUGCAUGCUCAUAUAAAUCAAUAAAUGUGACUUCAAAAUAUUCAAAAUCUCCUUUUAAUCUCAUUAUUCAAAAUUAUGUGUCUCUCAUAAACUUAAUAUAUUUUCAAUUUUGGUAUGAUAAAGACAAAACCAUUAGAUACUUGUUUUAUUCUUCAAAAAAGAAACUAAAAUUUGAAAUUUUUCUACAGAUGGAGCAAGAAAGGAUUACAUUUGGGAAAUUUACUCUUCCAAUAAUUCCUAAAAGUAAUCUGUCAUUCAGGAUUCAUAAAGAUAUAGAAGGAGUAGACAGAUCACAAAAGUGCAUUUUAGACAACCUCUGGAAUGCAAAAAGUGAUAUUCAAAAGUUGGAAGCUUUAAAUGCUUUAUUUUUUCAUUUUAAACAGUUAAAUGAUAAAUUAGAAAGUUUUUCUAACAUUUCAAGUUCUGAUAUACAUUGCAUCCCAAUGGAUACAGAUCUUGAAAAUUUCAUUUGCAGGAAAAAAGCAAAAGAAUCCAAAGAUACAUUUUCAAAAUCUUUUCAAAAUGAAUUUCAAAAAGAAAAAUCAAAUCAAAAUGAAGAUUCAAAACUUUAUGAGGAUAGCCAAGAAUUUCAACUUUCUAGAUUUUCAUUUUUCAAGCAAAAGAAUUUGAAUCUUCCUCAUAACAUUAGACAGAUGAUCAGUGAAAAGGCUCAAGCUAUAGGGGAAGCAAAGCAAUAGCAUAUCAUGCAAUUUCUUGCUGACUGUAGCACUUUUGGAAUUCCUAUUCAAGGGAUGAGGUUUACCUGGAUUUCUCAUUAUGACAACACUUAUAAUAAUUGUCCAAAGACCGAUCCCUUGUGUACGGAAAUUCCAUUAGAAAAGCAUGAUUGUACGUGUGCUCUUAUUUACAGUAUUUACAAAGUCAAUAUUGACCUAGACAGUUACAAACCAAUAAUCAUUAAGUUCAACAAUGAGUCAAUAGAACUAACUCCUUCUCUUCUCGUGGAUUAUGGAGUUCUUUAUCAACUAAUUUUCUCCAAUCCUGAUCAAACCGAUGGAUUUGGAAGAAAAUUAGCAAUCUGUGUAUUAAAUGCCUUCAUCAGAGAUUUCAAAUCAGUUGAACUCAUUAUAGAAAGCAAACCUCCUGAAUGGUCGAAUGAUGGAGGUGUUUACCUUGCUCAAUUUCUCAUCCUUCUCAAAGCCAAUCAAAGAAAACAUCAAUUGUUUGGUACAGAGAGCCCUUGGCCUUGUACUAAAUUCAGCCUUAAAAAACAAAUCAGACAUUGGAGAUCAAGAAUGAUUGCAAGAAAUCUUGAUUAUGAGAUUUAUAGUUCUUCUAACUAUAAUCUCAUUGCUGAAGACAACAUUCAAAAAAUCAUUUCUGCAACCAAUCUUCCUGAAGUCCCUCUUCUUUUUCAGACUCAAUUUACUUAUCUUGUUGAUAAGUACAAAAAGGAAUAUGUCCUUGAGGAAGAAGCCCGAAGAACUUUUGAAAAAUAUCUCUUAGAAAUGCUAAGCUAAGAGAUAUCAAGAAUCUUUUGUACAUUUAUACCUUUGUAAAUUGUUCCCUUAUGUUUAUAAAAAAAAAAAGUUUGUAAAGCCUGAAAGUGUGAAAAGUAUGUAAUGUAAAAAAAAAAUUCAAUAAGUCAAAAGUCAUGAACAGUAGUGAACAGUAUACUUUGUCUACUAAUUCACUUGGCAAGCAACGUGGAGAAAACAAAGAGAAAUUUUCUUCUCAAGCUUCUGACAAAGAAAAAGAAAAUUAUUCUUCCUCUGUAGACUUCAAGGCCACAACUGUCUCCACACGUGAUGAAGUUAAAAAUUUUCAAGAUUGAAAGAAAGUCUCAAGUCCGCUCCCUCGCCUAUAAAUUGAGCUCAAACCUUCUUCAUUAGGCAGAGCUUGCGAGAGUGAGAGUGAGAAAUUAAGAGUUCAAAAAUUUUCUCUUGUAAUUUUCUUCCUUUUGUAUUCAUCAAUCUGAGUCAUCCUUCUACUGUCAACCAACUUGUAUUCAUCAACUCUCUGUAAUCAAGGUAUAUUUCCAAUAAACAAUAUUUUCAGAUUCAAAUAUCUGUAUUUUUAUGUUUAAAUUUCUGCAAUAAAUUAGACAUAAUUAGACAUUAAAUAUUUCCGUUUUUAUGCUUGGAGAUCAUUAGACAAAAUUAAUUAUUGCGUGCAUGAAUUGUUAUAUGUCCUGGGUGCAAAUGGUAUCAAAGCCACGUUCUGCUUGAGAACCGAGUGGUGUUACGAGUUGGAACAGUAAUUAAUCAUAGAUUUAGUCCUGACUUAGUUCGGGUUGAAUUUCCUGUGAACGGAUUGGUCAGCCUGUGAUAGCGGUGCUUAAGGGCAGAAGGAGCAUAAGUCCCCUGUCGAUCCGCUUGUGGUGGUCCCUGUUCAAGAAAUUAUCUGAAUUGAUUAAGAAGAAAUUUGUGAUUAUUUUCUGUGACAAUGAGUAAUAUUAUUAGGGAAUUAAGUAGAACCAGUUCUUCCAGAUCUCUUAGGUCUCAUGAUAGUUCUGCAUCUACAUUAAAUAAUUCUGCAUCUGAUUUAGAAAGAUCUUCAUAUAAGAUAAUCAGCUUAUCUGCAUCAUAUGUUGCAUCAUUAUCUGCAUCAUUUUAUAGUCAUCACAUAAAAUUUAAUAUUUCAAAAUUAGAUGAAGAAAUGAGUCAAAUAGAAAAUCAACUAAAAAAUAUGUCAAACUUUGUUCCGGAAAUUCCUCUUUUUAAAGAAGAGUCCGAGUCAAUUAAUUUUUCUCAAUAUAAAUCUCCUUUAAACAUAAAUAUCAUUAGAAAAAAAAAUAUUAAAAGAAAUCCUUUUGUUCCUGAAGUAGAAUUGAUCAAAACAAAUUACUUUUCUCCUGAAAAUACUGCAAAAAGAAAUUAUUUUCAACAACUUCUUCCUCAAGUUAGAAAUGCUUUAAGAAAAGAAUAUGAAAAAUAUAUGCAACAAGUUAGGAUGACUAUUCCUUUUUUCCUUUGGUUUUUCAAAUAUAGGAAACCCCUUAAAAGAAUUGCAACAUUAACUUCAAGAAAAUCAAUAGAAAAUUCUCCACAUAAUAAAAAAUUGUUAUAACAACAAAACUCAAAUCCAGAAGAGUCAAGUAAAAAAUCAAAAGAAGAGUCAAGGAAAACAAAAUUUAAUCAAAUUUUGUUUUCUUCUGCCCCAGGAGAGGUGGAGGAAUCAAAGAUAGAAGAAAAAACAAUAAAAGAAAUUAAUGAAAUACAAAAAAUAGAAAAUAAAGAAAAAACAAAAACAAUAAAUGUAAUAUCUUCAAAAGUAGAUAAGCAAAUAUUUUUUGAUGUUGUAGAUAAAAUUCAAGAUGAAGAAACACAAAGAAACUAUUUAAAAAAUUUUAAAAAUUUAAUUCUCAAUGAAGAUUCAAAUAAAAUUCAAAUCAAACUUACACAAUACUCAAUGGAUGAAAUUUAUAAUAGAUUCAUAAAAAAUCAAAGGCCAAUAACCAUUAAAGACUUGGAAGAAGAAAUAAAAGAAAUAAAAAGUCAAAUAAAUCAAUUAAAAUUAAAUAAUGAACAAAUAAAAUUAGAAAACAAAAUAAUAAAACAAAAAAAUGAGCAAAUAAAACAAGAAAAUGAACAAAUUAGAAAUGUAAUACAAUAUAAACAAGAUUUUGCUGAAACCUCUGAUAAUCAAGACCCAGGAAUAAUAAUACCUAAUAAACAAACUCCUAUAGAAUCAUUUAUAAAUACAAUAACAAAAAUAGAUUUUUAAAGAUGGUAUACAAAUAUAAAACUCAUAGUAGAAGAUUUUGAAAUGGAAAUAGUAGCAUUAAUAGACUCAAGAGCUUAUAUGAAUUGUAUUCAAGAAGGAUUAAUUCCUGUUAAAUAUUAUGAACAAACCGGACAAGAACUUUUUGCUGCAAAUAAAGGAAAAUUAGAAAUAGAAUUUAAACUUCAAAAUGUUCAUAUAUGUCAAAAUAAUUAUUGUUUUAGAACUCAAUUUAUAUUAGUACAAAAUAUGACUGAAACUAUAAUCUUAGGAACUCCUUUUAUUACAUUACUUUACCUUUUUCAAGUAAAUGAUGAAGGUGUCAAAACUACAAUAUUAGGAAACACUAUAUUUUUCCCUUUUAUAUAUCCAUUAACUAAAAAAGAAAUACAUCAAGUCCAAAGUGAUUCAAUAAAUAAAAUAAUAAAUUUAAUUCAAAAAAAACAAGCUCAUAUAAAUUAUUUAUCAAAAGAAAUUCAAUAUAAAAAGAUAGAAGAACAACUUGUACUAGAAAAGGUUCAAAAUAAAAUAAAAUAAACUCAAGAUCUUUUUCAAAAGGAAAUUUGUUCUGAUCUUCCAAAUGCUUUUUGGUCCAGAAAGAAACAUGAGAUAAGUCUGUCUUACAUUCAAAGCUUUGAUGAAUCUAAAAUUCCAACUAAGGGUAGACCUAUUCAAAUGAAUGAAAACUUUUAGAAUAUUGUAAACAAGAAAUUAAUUCAUUAUUAAAGAAGAAAUUAAUCAGAUCUCAAAAUCUCCUUGGAGUUGCUCGGCUUUUUAUGUACAAAAUGCUGUUGAGAUAGAAAGAUGAGCACCAAGAUUAGUCAUUAAUUAUAAACUUUUAAAUAAAGUAUUACAAUGGAUAAGAUACCCUAUUCCUCAUAAGCAAGAUUUACUCAAAAGACUACAUAGUUCUGUAAUUUAUUCAAAAUUUGAUAUGAAAUCUGAAUUUUGGCAAGUUCAAAUUAAAGAAGAAGAUAGGUACAAAACUGCUUUCACUGUCCCUUUUGGUUAUUAUGAAUGGAAUGUCAUGUCUUUUGGUCUCAAAAAUGCCCCUUCUGAAUUUCAAAAUAUUAUAAAUGAUAUUUUCAAUCCUCAUUUUCAAUUUAUAAUUGUAUACAUUGAUGAUGUUUUAGUAUUUUCUGAUUCAUUAGAAAAACAUUUUAUUCAUUUAAAGAAUUUGCUGACAAAUUUCCUAAUGAAAUAAAAGAUAAAAAACAAUUGCAAAGAUUUUUAGGUUGUUUAAAUUAUGUUUCUGAUUACUUCAAAGAUUUGAGAAUCAUUUGUGAACCCUUAUAUAAAAGACUUAGAAAAAAUGCACCUGCAUGAACUGAGCAUCAUACUAGUUUGGUCAAAGAAAUUAAACAAAGAGUCAAACGUUUACCAUGUAUCAGCAUCCCUCAUCCAAAUGCAUUGCUCAUUGUAGAAUCAGAUGCAUCCAAUUUAGGUUAUGGAGGCAUAUUAAAGCAAGAAUAUAACAAUCAAGUGCAUAUAGUUAGAUAUCGUUCAGGGAUCUGGUUGGGCGCUCAAAUAAAUUAUUCAACUGUAAAAAAAGAAGUUUUAUCCAUAGUUUUAUGUAUUUCAAAAUUUCAAAGUGAUUUGAUAAAUAAAAAAUUCCUUUUGAAAAUUGAUUGCAAAGCUGCAAAAGAUAUUUUACAAAAAGAUGUUAAAAAUUUAGUUUCAAAACAAAUUUUUGCAAGAUGGCAAGCUUUACUUUCAAAUUUUGAUUUUGAAAUCGAAUUUGUCAAAGGAGAGUUGAAUUCCCUUCCUGACUUCCUUACUCGGGAGUUUUUGCAGGGUAAGGAUCCUUCUCCAUCCUAAUGGGCACUCCCGUUAGGCCUCAACUUCCUUCAUCAUCCAAGAAAACCAAAGCUUCAUAUGCCAUGAUUUCAAACUUUUCAAAAAUUCGUCCUACUUUUCCUUUGCAAACAUCAAAUUCCUUUCAAGUUUUGAGUCCAUAUUUUCCUCCUCCUCAACUUUAAUAUCAUAUUGUGCAUAAGAAAAAAAUAUGGGCUGGCAUUUUAAAAUGGACCUGAUUGAAUAAAAAAAGAAAGGGUGGCAAUAUAGGGAGGGCCUUGGAAUUGGGCCCAUCUUGAAUUUAAAAAAAAAAACGGUCAUUGGACCGAGACUGUUCGGUUCUGCAUUGUGCGGAAGAAAAAAUUAUGGGCUGGCAUUUUAAAAUGGGCCUGGUUGAAUAAAAGAAGAAAGGGUGGCAAUAUAAGCUGGCCAUUGGAAUUGGGCCAUUUUGAAUAUAAAAAAAAAAGGGUCAGUUUGGUUUACUCGGUUUACCGGUUCGACCGGUUCUUGACUGGUUUCCAAAGGAGAAAAUCCAGACCGGAAAGAUUAUCGGAUGACAGUUGGACCAAAAUUAAAAUUUAAAACUAUUAUAUAUAUAUAUAUAUAUAUAUGAGAAAAAAAUUGAGAGAAAAAAUAGAAGAUAAAAAAAAUAUAUAAGAAAAUAGAAAAUAGGUUUAAAAUUAAUAAAUUAUUUUUAAGUUUAUUUAUUUUUAUAUAAAGAUUAAAUAAUUUUAAAAUAUGUAAAUUUUUUAUUAAUUUUAAACACAAUAAAAUUAUUUUUUAAUAUUUUUUUAUUUUCUUAAUAUUUUUCAAGAAUAAAAAAUAACUUAUAAGAAACCGGUGAAACGUUAUUUAGUAUUUAUUUCUUUUAGAAAUUCAAACAUGAAGUUGGUUUUGAAUGGUCAUCCUUGAAUUGGUCAAAGCCACGGACCACGUGCCUUGCUUUCUUUUUCAAGCUCUAACAAUAACAAAAAGUCAAAAAUCAAUCAGUUCCAAUUGUAACAUUCUUGGUUACUUCCAAGUUUCAAUUCUAGUGGGAUUACUUUGAAAGUUGAAAUUCUCUUACAAAUUACGACUCCGUCCCGUGAAUACAUCAUGUUUUGGAAUGUUUUAAAAAAAAAAAUUUAACAAUUUUUGUAAAACAAAACAAUUCUCAAUUAGUUUUUAAAAUAAAACUUUAUUUUAAAAUUUAAAUAUAAAAGAUAGUUUUUUAUUUAUUCUUCGAAAAUAUACUAUCUAAUUAUAUAUAAUGUCAAAUAUUUUAAAAGAUUUUUCAUAUUGUUGAUUAUCAUUUAAAACAUUAUAAAAUAUAAUUAAAAAAAAACUUAGGUUAUGGUUGGUUUCGGAAAAUAUAAUGAAAAAAAAAUAGAAAAGAAAUGGGUAAGUAUGUCCUUUUAAAAUAAUAUUUUUAAAGGUGUGUUUAAAAGAUCAAUUUACUUUAAAAGAAAAAUAAUUCCAAUUUUGAUUAAGAUCAUUGAAUUAGAGCUAUUGAAGGACAUAUAUCAUUACAAUCUACAUUUGAUAAGAUUUGGAAGAGUGUUUUAUAAAUAACUAAUUUUCAUAAUAUUUAAAAUUUGUUUGAUGGUGAUUUAAAAAAAAAGUGUUUUUAACGUAAUUUCAUAUUUGAAAUUUUUUAUUUUUUAAAUAUUAAAAAUACUUUAAAAUUAUUAUCAAACAUAUUUUUAAUUUCAUUGAAUUCAAAGUUGACUUGACGUUUUAAUGGAUCAAAUUUAAUUAAAAAUUAUUGAAUUUUAAAAUUAAAAAGAAAAGACAAUUUUAAUUCUUACACCAAAAUGAUUUUAAAAUCAUUUCUAAUUAAUCAAAAAGAAAAAUCAUUUAUAUUUAUCUCACUUGCUUAAUCCUGUCAAAAUGAUUUUUUUAUAAGCUCCCAUAUGUAUUUAUAAAUUUUAUAUAUUUAAAAAUAUAAAAUCAUAAAAUACGUUUGUAAAUAUAAAUAUUAUAUAGUUAAAAAAUUAAAUAACCAAUAAAGCAAAAAUUUUAUAUAUUUUGUAAAUAUAUAAAAAAAAAACUUAGGUUAUGGUUGGUUUUGGAAAAUAUAAUGAAAAAAAAAAACACUAGAAAAGAAAUGGGUAAGUAUGUCUUUUCAAAAGAAUACUUCCAAAGUAUGGUUUAAAAGGUCAAUUUGCUUUAAAAGAAAAUUGAUCCUAACUUUGAAUAAGGCCAUUGGAUUAGAGUGAUGGAAGGAAAUAUAUCACUUCAAUUCACAUCUCUGAUAUCACAAGUUUGUUUGGUGGUGAUUUUUAAAAAGUGUUUUUUUUUUUUUUUAAUACUAAGAAUUUUUUAUUUUUAAAAUAUUAAAAAAAAUUAUAAAUAUUUUCUAAAAUUACUAUCAAACACAUUUUUUAUUUCAUUAAACUCAAAAUUGACUUAACGUGUUAGUGGAUCAAAUUUAAUUGAAGUAUUUGAUUUUAAAAUUAAAAAGAAAAGACAAUUUUAAUGCUUACACCAAAAUGAUUUUAAAAUCAUUUCUAAUUAAUCAAAAAGAAAAAUCAUUUAUAUUUAACUCACUUGCUUAAUCAUGUCAAAAUAAUUUUUUUUAUAAGCUCCCAUAUGUAUUUAUAAAUUUUAUAUAUUUAAAAAUAUAAAAUCAUAAAAUAAGUUUGUAAAUAUAAUAUUAUAUAGUUAAAAAAAUUAAAUAACCAAUAAAGUAAAAUUGUAUAUAUUUUGUUAAAAAAUUAAAAGUUAAUAUAUUUUUUAUUUUUUAUUUUUAAAAUAAAUUUUUUUAUAUAAAAUAUAAUAACUCUUACCAAAAAAACUUCACCUUGUGUUCUUAAAACCAUUUUUUUAUUUUUUUUUUACUUCCUUAAGCUUUAAUUUUUUUUUUGUAUAAUAAUUUCCAUCUUUUAUACAAGAUUUUCUAUUUUUAAAAAUAAAGGAGAUGUAUUUAAAUAUGUAUUAAAAUAAUAAAAAAUUUAAAAGUAAUUAAAAAUUAUUUUAAAAUAAAAUAUUUAUAAAUUUUAAAAAAAUUAAACAAGUUAUUAACAAAUUUAAUGGGCUAUAACUCAAGUGAUGGUCUCCAAAAAGCCCGCGGCCCGCUUUAGGCCCGGCCCGGCCCGUAGGCCCCUUAGGCCCGCCCCUUUAAAAAAAAACUACAAAAAUAAAAAGUAUUAAAAAAAAUAUUCAUUUCAAAAUUUUAUUCAUUGAAUGUAUAAUUACAUUUAAAAAUGUGGGAAAAAUUUACAUCACUACAAAAUAAAUACAUCCCAACUAGGUUGGCACCUAUUUAUUUGUCAAUCAUCUGUAUUUUUCAACCACAAAAAAUAAAAAUAAAAAUAUAAUAUACAUUUAGUCAUUAUUUUCUGGCGGUGAUGGCGAACUAUCAUGCAUCCAUGAAGAUCUUGAUAAUUUUAAAGAUUCCAUAUCGGCAAGCAUCUUUGUUUCUCGAAUGGAAUCGUACAUCCUUUUAUCUGCUAUUUCUCAAUCUUUCACACAUAUCCCUACUUCAAUAACAUCUGGCGCUAAGUUGCAUUGUUUUUUACUAACUACUCUUCCACCUGCACUAAAAGCAGCUUCUGAUGCAACUGUACUCACAGGAACUGUUAGUACAUCACGAGCAAUUAUAGAAAGCACAUGAUAUUUGUGUUGAUGUGAUUUCCACCAUAUUAAAAUAUCAAAAUCUUCUUGAUCUUCAAAUGAAAUUAUAUGAGUAUUAAGAUAUUUAUCUAAAUCAGAUGUAUUAUUUGGAGAACUAUUUGUUGUCUUUUUUCGACUUUUCAACAUUUCUAUAGCUCCUUUAUAAAAAGAUGAGGAGUUUGUAGAUGUAGGUGGUAAUUUAAUACUAUUAAUAUUCUUACCAUAUUUUUCUUUAUAAUAGUUAUAUAAAUUAUGUAAUAAUGAAUUUAUUUCAUUUUUAAUUUCUUCAAUUUUUAUUUGGUCAUUAAAAUAAAUAAUUGUUAACCAUUCAUCCAAAGCUUCAAAUUUCAAUCUAGGCUCCACAAUUAAAGCAAUAUAAAAAAUUAAAGGUAUUUCCCCCCAAUAUUUUCUAAAUUUUUCUAUCAUUGCAAAUAUUGUAUCAUUAAAUAUUUCAAAACUUAAAUAUUUUUGAAGUACAAUAAAAAUAUUAGUUAUUUGCAUAAUAACUCGAUUUGAAGUUGGAUAAUAUACACCACAAAAAAUGUUUGUUGAAGUAUCAAAAAUUUCAAAAAGAUCUCUUAAAGAUCUGCAAUAUGCCAAUCAUAAUCACUUAAUGCAUAAAUAUCUGCUUCACAAUCAUUGUUAAGUAAUUGUAUUUCAUAUAAUUCGACUACUUUUCUAUAUUUUGUAAUAUUUUGUAAAAGUUUAUAUGUGGAAUUCCAUCUAAUGGCCAUAUCCAAAUUUAUAUUUUUUCUUUUCAUAUUUAACAUUUUGCAACAAUAAAAAAAUAAUUCAUGUUUUGCUUGAGAACUAUUAAUACUAUAUGCAAUGCCUCUAAUUUUUUCCAAUGUAUUAUCAACAUUUUUUAAUCCAUCCUUUACAAUUAAAUUUAAAAUAUGUGCACAACAACGCACAUGAAAUAUUUUAGCAUGAUCUUCUUUUACUUGCUAAUAUCGUUUUAGUCUAUGUAUUGCUGUAUCAUUAUUAGCAGCAUUAUCUAAUGUUAUUGUCAAUAUUUUAUCACGAAUGCCUAAAUCUAUAAUUUCAUCAUUUAUUAAAGAUGCUAUAUUUUUACCACUAUGUGGAGCAUUUAUUAAUUUAAAUGAAAUUAUUCUUUUAUUUAAUUUCCAUUCAUUAUCAAUGUAGUGAGCAGUUAUACAUAAAAAACCAGUGUGAGUUAAAGAUGUCCAAAUAUCAGAUGUUAAACAAAUAUUUCCUUCAAAAUUUGCAAAAAAAAAUUUUAAAAUUUCUUUUUGUGUAUAAAUUUUUUUCAUAAUAUCUCUUUUAACUGUAUUUCCAGACCAACCUUUAAAUUGAGGAUUAAUACCUCGUUGAAUUGUUCCUACAAAAUCAUGAGUUUCCAUCAUGUUGAAAGGUUGUUCUGCUCUUAUUAAAAAAUAAUAUACUUUAUUUAUAUAUAUAUAUAAUUAACUCAAUUGUUAAGCACAAAAGGAAUGUAGCUCAAUUGGUUAGAGUCUUGAUAUGAAAGCAUGAGGGGAGAGGUUCAAAUCCUCCCCUCUCCCUUUCUUUCUUUAAAAGCCAUUUUGGCUUAUUUAAAAAAGCCCACGGCCCGUCGGCCCGCCAACCCGCGGGCUUAUAGGCCGGGUCGUGGGCCUAACAUUUUUCCAUGGCCCGGCCCGAGCUGGGCCGCGGGCCUCCUAUUUACGGCCCGGCCCGGCCCGUUGGAGACCCUUAAACUCAAGUCGGCAUAUUAUUUAUGCCAAUUAUAUUCGAUUCAACUCGAGUUGACUAGGUACUUAAUUAUAAAAGACAAAAAUAGUCAAUAUAAAAGACAAAAAUAAAAAAAUAAAAACAAAAUUAGUUGGUCCAUACAAGUGUACUUAAUUAUUUAAAUUUAUUCUCAUUCUCACAAAAAAAAAAUGGAAAAAAAAGAAGACACUAGUAGACAAAAUUGGGAUAGGUGAGAGAAUUUCUCAUUCCCACCCAUCUUAUUUAAUUUUUAUUUUUUAAAAUUUAAAUUAUAUUAGAACUCAAUAUAAUUUAUUCCCAUCUUAAUUAAUUUUUUAUUUUUAAAAUUUUAAAUUAUAUUAGAAAUCAAUAUAAUUUAUAAAUUUAUGCAUUAAAAAUGAACGAAACUAAAAAUAAUUAAAUUAAAUUAUUUUUAAAUUAUAUUUAUAAUCGAUGAGGUGAUGUCCACUCUCAAAUUUUUUUUUUUUUUUAAAAUAAAUUUGUUUCUAACUCUUCCUAAAUUCUUCUUAUUGCCAUGGAACAUGCAAACAUUCAAAUAUAGUGUUCUUUUACAUCUUAACAAAACUAUUAUAUAAUAAAAGAGUGAUAAAAUAAAAUAAAAAUUUUCCAUGAUGAUAAUAAUAAUAAUAAUAAUAANNNNNNNNNNNNNNNNNNNNNNNNNNNNNNNNNNNNNNNNNNNNNNNNNNNNNNNNNNNNNNNNNNNNNNNNNNNNNNNNNNNNNNNNNNNNNNNNNNNNAAGGUUAUGAUUGUUCCAAACAAUGAUGAAUUUUAGUAAUUUGAUUUUACAAAUAUAUCAAAAAAAAUCGAUGAGUAUUUUAAUAUAAGAUAUUGAUGGAUAAAAAAUUAAUCAAAACUCAUAAAAUUAUAAAUAAAUAAAAAAAGUAAAAAACUCUUAAAAAUGAAAUUAAAAAUAUAAUAAAUAUUUUUAAGUUAUUUUAUUAAAAAAAUUAAUACAUAAAUAAUAUAAUUUAUAAUAUUCAAUAAUAAUACUUAUAACUUAAAAACAUAUUUUAUAUACAUCAAUUUAAUUUAGAUAUAUUCAAUGACAUAAAAAAAAUGAUAAUAUAUGUAUAAGUAUUUUUUUAUUAAAAUGUUAAUAAUUUUAUUUAUUAAUUUAUAUUUAUUUUGUAUGUAGUUAUUAUAUAUAUAUAUAUAUAUAUAUAUAUAUAUAUAUAUAUAUAUAUAUAUAUAUAUACAUAUAUAAGUAUUAAAAAAUUAUUUUUUGAAUAUUAUAAAUAAUAAUUUUAACGUUAUAUAACAAACAUAUGUGAAUAAAAUAACAUAAGUUGAUUGGGUGGCAAGGCUUCCCCUUUCAAAUGUGAAGUCUGGGUUUCAACUUUCAAAGCGUUCCACCACGAUCUAAAUCAUGAUGGCCCACGAAAGGUACAGCGUGAAGAGUGGGGACAAAAAAGUCAAAACUAAUAUGGAAGCUUCUGAGCUGGGGCCCGCAAACCAGUUUUCAUCGUGGGUCCCAAACUCCAACUUAGUCUUCAAUAAUUUCCACAUGGAUGUUAAAAUUUUCGGGAUACCGAUAUUGACACUUCAUCCCUUUCCAAAAAAAUCUUUGAAGGGGGGUUAGGUCCGUUCAUAUGAGAAAUCCCUAUCCCUCUUCCAUCUUGCCUUAUCUCGUUUAAUAUUUUUUUUUAUUUAUAAUUUUAAUUAUAUUAUAAAUUUUUGUUAUUAUUAUUAUUUUUAUAAAAUGUAAUUUUCUUUUAUGUAUUUAUAAGGAGGGGAAAUAAGCGUUGAUUUGCUUGAAUUUGUAGGAGGUUUUAAAUUUUUUAAUCCUAUUUAUAUAUUAUUUAUGUCUCUCUAGCUAAUCUUAAAAAGGGGUGUAGUAAAAAACCCGAUAAAGGAUAUUUUUAUCAAGGUAGAUGUUGAAUGGUUUAAAUAUUGGGUAUGACUAAAUUGAAGUUAACAAACAAAUAACAUAAAUACAAGGGCUAAAUCAUAAAAAUAUACAUAGUGAGCCCACAAAAAAAGAAAAAAAUUAUGGAUUGAUAGUAAUAUCAUAAUAAUAAGACAUAAAUAAAUGGAUAAAUGAAUAAUAUUAUAAUAAUUAAUACAUUAAAAAAUGUGAUUUUUAUAAGAAACACUUGCAUUGAUAGUAUCUAAAUUUAACUAUUUGAUUUAUAAAUGAUUAUUUAUUUUUAAAAAUAAAUAAUUAUUUUUUAAAAUUUUGUAGUAUCAUUUAGCUAUUGUCAUUUCACAAUAGUUUUUUUUUUAAAAUAAUAGCUUCUCUGAAUGUCCUCAUUAAACAAACAUAUUUCAAAUCAAAUCAAACUUAACGCAUAUUUGUUAAUUUAAAAAAAUAAAAAAUCUAUGGAAUCAAUACUUGAAAGUCACAAUAUCCAAAUUAAUAUACUUAAUACUAAAAAAUCAUAAAUCAAAAUUUAUUGGAAACUGGAAAUACUUUCCUAAUUUCCCAUUUUUAAUAUAAUUUUAAUUUUUUUAUUUUUCUAUUAAGUAAGUAAACUCUAAAUCAAGUGAGGUUAGUGUAUUGGAUUCAUAAAAAAAUAAUUUUUAAAAAUAAUUAUAAACUUAAAUAUUAACCCAAUAGAUAAAAAAAAUCAAGAACAAAAAGAUUGUAUAUAUUUUUCUCAAUUUUCUCAUUAAAGUACGUCCAUUUUCUAAACUAAUUAAAAAAACUCUAUACUUUAAUAUUUUCUAAAAUAAAAUCAUCUUUAAAAAAGAGUUUAAAAACCAUUUUUUAAAAUUAUAAUGUCAAUCAUAUUUUAUAUAUGACCAUUCUUUAACAUUCAAAAACCAAAUCCCAAACUAUUUUUAUUAAUAAUGUAAACACCUGGGUUAUGUUUAGUUCCUCAAAAGUUUAAGGAAACUCAAGAAAGUUUGGAGGACAACACAUGGAAAAAAAUAGAAAGGAAUAUAGAUGGAAAGAAAAAAAAAAAAGAAUAGAUUUAAAGUCAAUAAAUUAUUUUUAUAUAUUAUUUUAUAUUAAUUUUUUAUAUAAAAAUUAAAUAAUUUUAAGAAAUAUGUAAUUUUCUUAUACAUUUUACUUUUCUUCACAUUUUUCAUAAUAAAAUCAAAUAUAAAAAAAUUAUUUUUCUUUUUUUCGUUUUUUCCUAAUACUUUCCAUGAAGUAACAUGACCCUAAGAGUUGAUUUGUUCUCAAGACUUUUUUUUUUCUUUUAUCCUAAUACUUUCCGCAAAGUAACAUGACCCUAACAGUUGAUUUGUUCUUAAGUCUUGACAACUAAUUUUCUUUAGAAAGCGAGAGGGGUUUUUUACUAUUCCACAAAGAAAAACAAAAAAAUCAACUACAUUUAUGAUUUUAAUGACCAUCCUUUGUGUUUACUUCCAUGGAAAGAAAAUAAAAAAUGGAUUUAUAGAAAGUGAAGGAAUACGUGAGGUGAAUGAUAUCAUCAAUCAUAAGCAAUAAUACUUAUGUAUUAUAAAAUUUAUAUUCAAACAUAAAUUUCAUAAAAAAAUCUAUUAAUUGUAAGUUAAGAAAUAAAGAAAGAAGAAACCAUCGAUGAAUGAGGUGACCAAUUCCGUGUAAAGCAUAUUUAACUUUUAAUAGUUAUGUAUUAUAAAAUUCAUAUCUAAAUAUUAAAUUUUAUCAAAAAUCGAUUAAUUGUAAGUGAAGAAAUAAGGAAAGAAAUCAUUGAUAAAGUAUAUGUAACCAAUACUACUUGUAAAGUUUAUAUUCACAUAUAAAUUUCAUUUUCACCACUCACGUGAUUUUUAAUAAUUAAUUGAUUAAAAUUGAUAUGCUAUACAAAUAGUGAAGUAGAAAUUGUUAAAAAAAAAAAUUAAUAAUUUUGUGGAAGGGUUAAAAGUGGGUUAAUUUUUUUUUUUUUUUUUUCAUUUUUUAAUAGUUCGAUGUAAUUUCUAACAACGAUCGUGGAAACUCCAAUGCCAUUUCGUUUGAGAGUAUCUUUCAUUGGUCCAAUGGACCGGAGGAACAAGUUGAAUAUAUCAUCGUAUAAAUAAAAGACAAACAUUUGGGGGAUUAACACAAGUAUCCAACCCAUUCCCACCAAUUCACAGUAGCUCCACGUUUCAUAAUCUGUCUCAAAUUCUUGAACUUCUUUAAAGAGCGUUGAAGGGUGUGAUGAGAUUUUUGGCUUUGUUUAGUCUUCUCUUUUCAGUACUGAUGUUUCCAGCAGCAGAGGCUAGAAUCAGAAGGUAUAGAUGGGAGGUGAAGUAUGAGUACAAGUCUCCUGAUUGCUUUCAGAAGAUGGUUAUCACCAUCAAUGGAGAAAGCCCCGGUCCAACAAUCCUGGCCGAAGAAGGAGACACCGUCAGUGUUGAGCUCACAAAUAGUUUGUUGACAGAAAAUGUUGCAAUCCACUGGCAUGGUAUCAGACAGGUAGAGCAAAGAUUAAUAUAUAAUGUUUUCUUUUUUCUUCCCCUUUCUGGGCUUAAUUUUGCAGUUCUGAUGGUUCAUCUUCUUGAUAAUUACAGAUUGGGACGCCGUGGUUUGAUGGAACGGAAGGGGUGACCCAGUGUCCAAUCCUGCCAGGAGAUACCUUCACAUAUGAGUAUAAAGUGGAUAGGGUAAGAUUGAUCAGUGGUCUUAAUCAAGAAAGUUGGAACCAGUACUACUUUCAAUUAUCUGAUGAUAUUAUUCUUUGGUUUAUGCAGCCUGGGACUUAUCUAUACCAUGCCCAUUACGGAAUGCAAAGAGAAGCUGGGCUGUAUGGAUCGAUUUGUGUGUCGGUUGCUCGUGGGAAGACUGAGCCCUUUUCCUAUGACCACGACCGGAGCAUCAUCCUCACUGACUGGUACCAUAAUACCACUUAUGAACAAGCCCUAGGCUUGUCCUCCAUUCCUUUUGACUGGGUCGGGGAGCCUCAGGUGAAUGCCAACUACUACUGCUUCCGCCAUAGCAUACUGGUUUGUUCUGCUCUUCAUCUUCUGACGCCUUUUUCUGUCUGUUAAUUUUUCAGUCCCUUCUCAUUCAAGGAAAAGGAAGAUACAACUGCUCCCUAGUUUCAAGUCCUUACGUCUGUAAUUCAACAAGUCCUCAGUGUUCUCCCUAUGUACUCACUGUAGUUCCGGGGAAAACAUAUCGCCUUCGGGUCUCCAGCUUGACUUCCCUGUCAGCUCUCAGUUUCCAAAUAGAGGUUGGUAUAAUUAAAAACUUCACCGUGGUUUCUUAUUCGUUGCUUCUACUUGGUCAAGUCACAUUCCACACAAAAAAGUCAGAACACUACAUAUUUAAGAACUCAUCUUUAGCUAUAUAAUUGUGUUUUAAAUAAGUAAAGUUUCUGUUAUGAAUAGUAUUAGAGUUAAUUCUUAACUUCAUUGUAUGAGUUUGAUUGGUCCCAUAAGUGAUGUUUAUAUGUUUGAUCCUAUGAUCUCAUGAAAUAUAAUGAGGAUGAUGUAUUUGUACAAUAAUAAUUGUAAUAUUCUAUAUCAGAUAUUGAAAAAGUUUUUAAUAUUAUAUAUAUAUAUAUAUAUAUAUAUAUAUAUGAACUUCUCUUAACCCCGUGGACUUUAAACAUGUGAGGGGGUUUUGGGUCCAAAAUGAAGAAUAUCUACACAUUUCAAAAUGGUUUAUCACAAAAACUGUGCAUGUUCUAAUACAGUUUUAAUUUAUAACACUGUAGGGUCACAACAUGACUGUAGUUGAAGCAGAUGGGCACUUUGUGGAACCCUUUGUGAUAAAAAACCUCUUCAUUUACUCAGGGGAGACCUAUUCAGUUCUGGUGAAGGCUGAUCAAGACCCUUCAAGAAAUUACUGGGUCACAACCAGUGUGGUCAGUAGAAACAACACUGUCACUCCUCUGGGCUUGGCCAUUUUAAAUUACUACCCCAACCAUCCCAAGAAGUCUCCUCCAACAGUCCCACCCGCUGGCCCUCUUUGGAACGACGUAGAGCCACGCAUCAACCAAAGUCGUGCCAUUAAAGCCCACCAUGACUAUGUUGUCCCCCCUCCUCUCACCUCAGACAGAGUAAUUCUGAUGCUCAAUACACAGAAUGAGAUCAAUGGUUACAGGAGGUGGUCUGUGAACAAUGUGUCCUUCAACCUCCCACACACACCCUACCUAAUUGCUCUAAAGGAGAAUAUAACUGGUGCCUUCGACCCAACCCCACCUCCAAAUGGUUAUGAUUUUGUAAACUAUGAUAUCCACAAUGUGUCGAAUAACACCAACGCUACAUCCAGCAACUCAAUUUAUAGGCUGCAGUUCAAUACAACAGUGGAUAUUAUACUGCAAAACGCAAACACCAUGAAGAAGAAUGACAGCGAGACGCACCCAUGGCAUCUCCACGGGCAUAAUUUUUGGGUACUGGGCUAUGGAAAAGGUAAGUUCGACAAUUUCAGUGAUCCAAUAAAGUACAAUCUGAUCGACCCAAUUAUGAAGAACACAGCACCUGUUCAUCCUUAUGGAUGGACUGCCUUAAGGUUUCGAUCUGAUAACCCAGGUACCUGGGCAUUCCAUUGCCAUAUAGAGUCUCAUUUCUAUUUGGGUAUGGGAGUUGUUUUUGAAGAAGGGGUGGAGAGGGUGGGAAAGCUGCCUUCAUCUAUCAUGGGUUGCGGUAAAGCCAAGGGUCUCGGCGGCAGGCCAUAAUAUGCAGGUAAGUUGAGCAUGAAAAAAGAAAAUAAGAUUAUCAAAUCUUUACAAACCUCUCUAGUUCAAAGCCCCAAACAUCUUGUAAUAACAAUAAUAAUUACUAUUACCUGUUUUUUAUACAUAGUAUCAAUGCUAUUUUUUAUUUUGAGGUGAAAUGCAUAGAAAAAAGAAAUAGUAUUAUGCAUAGAAAAAAGAAAAAAAAAAUCAUGGUUGGAAAUAGGGGUCUCCAACGGGCGGGCCGGGCCUAUGGGCCCGUUGACUGGUCAACGGGCCGGGCCGGGCCGGGCCAUGCUAAAAUGCUAGGCCCACGGCCCGGCUUAUGAGCCCGCGGGCUAGCGGGCUUUUUGAAAUAAGCCAAAAUGGCUUUCACAAAAGCCAAGAGAAGGGAGAGGAGGGGAUUGGAACCCCUCCCCUCAUAUUUAAACUUCAAGGUUCUAACAUGCUGAACUACAUUCUUUUUAUGUUUAUUAAUUGAGUUAGUUAUAUAUAUAUAUAAAUAAAGUAUAUUAUUUUUGUAGUUUUUUUUUAAAGGGGCGGGCCUAAGGACGGGCCUACGGGCCGGGCCGGCCCUCCGGGCCUAAAUUUAGGCCCGCGGCCCGGCCCGCCCAUAAACGGGGUCGGGCCGGGCCUAAAGCAGGCCGCGGGCCGCAGGCUUUUUGGAGACCCUUAGUUGGAAAGGUUAAGUAACAAAAGCCAUUGAAAUGACUACUAUCUAUUUAUUUAAGUUAAAUUAUAAGAAAAAAGAUUUUAAACCUUCAAGUCAAGUAAUAAAAUUUCUCUUCAGCUUCAUAUUGGAUGAAGGUUCAAACCAAAAACGCUCCGAUGAUCAAACCUAUCACUCAGAUUAGGUACAUAAAAAAAACUUCAAAACAUUAGAGAAAAUACAACAAUAAUAAAUUAACAUAAGUUUAUGUGGUAUGAUAUUAAAAAAACAACAUCCCCAAUAAAGUGGGAUAUCUCCAACAACCUUUUCAAAACUUUAGGCUGACGGAUAAGGACAGACAUUCAAUAAUUGAAAUAAAAAUGUGCAGAGGCAAGAAUUUAAGAUGUAUACCAAGAAGUUUAGGCUCACUAUGUAUAACAUGUUAGAAUUUCAUGAUUCCAUGAUGCAAUUAGGAAACUAGUAGUAUAAUCUAAGGUGGCAAAUUGCCAGUCCAUAAUGACAAAAUUGAAUCCUAGUUAGAUACCAAACUCAUCCCAUACAACAAAAAUGAGUCAUUCAGACUAAAGAUUAAACUGAAAUAUGAACAUCAUCUCCAUCAAAUCAUAUAUAUCCAAAUCUCUCAUCUCAAAACCAUCAAUUAUUAGUUAUUACCAGAGAAACAGAUUUGACAAUGUAUAAAACAUGUAGAUAAAUCAAGCCCAAAAAGGAAGGGUGCCAAUUCUGAAGAAAGAAUACCUCAUAUUCGAGUACAAGAUGAAUCAAAAUCAUCAGGAGCAACUCGAGCAAUCCAAUUGCUCAGCGUCCUCUUAAUAUCAGAAUGAUUAACAUAGGCCAACUCAUACAUGCUACACAAAUUAACCACAAGAGUCUCAUUCAGAGCUAUUGUAGGAACCCUUUCGAGGGCAUUCUCCAACACCUUGAUCGAAUCCGAUAAGUCCCUCAAAUACAUCAAGCACAGAGCUUUGUUAUUGAUAGCCACAACAUCCGAACCAUCCCUCUCAAUGCACUCCUCGUACUCCCUCACUGCAGACACAUAAUCUUUUCCCACUAAGUAAACCAGCGCCUUAUUCCGAUUCACAAGGUUCUUGAACUCAAUUUCGCUCAAUGAACCUAAUCUCUCUUCCUUACCCAUCUUCUCUACCAGUUCGAACGACGCCUUCGCCCCCUCCAAAUCCCCAAUCUGCAGCUGAAUGCAGCCGAGCUUCGACACCAGCGCCGGAUCAUCGCGGCAUCUGCCGCUCAGUAACUGCCUGAUCAAACUCACACACACACCAAAUUCCUUGUGACUCAAAUGGUGCCCGAUUAUCGAAUUCACCACAAAAACCUCCCUCCUCUUCCACACAUCCGCAGAAACCCCCAGCCCCCUCGACCCUUUCUCAUCCACCCUCGUCCGCGCAAAAUCGAGCAGCGUAUACAACCGAUCUAGGGUUUCCUGGCGCUUCCCCAAUUUCAACGGAAUCUCGGCAUGGAUCCACCGGAGAGCGAACGGAAUCAUGGAACCAGACCGGCCGGGGUACACAUCAGGGUGCGAUUCGUACUGGUAGAUGGAGUGAUCGAGAUCCUCCAGCGAUGCCAGCUCCUCCGAAACGUCGCCGUAUCGACGGAGCUUGAUGAGAGCCAGGACGUUGUAGGAGAAAUAGCAUAGGUGUUCGUGGGGCUUUUGGAGGAGAGAGAGCUUGCGGGCGCGAGAGACCUUGUCGAGAAUGGAACGCCAUGAGCCUCGAGUGGCGAGCUCUUGGAGAGACGAGAGCUCGUAGCAGAGGUCGUUGAGGGAGCCGAACGGGCUCGACAGUGGGUCGCUGGCGACAAAGCCAUCAGCGGCCGGAGUUGAAUCCUCCGACGGGGAAUCGGUGGCCAUGUUUCGUGAAUUGAAGAAUGGCUCGACUCAGCUUCACUGCUGUGGGAAUAGCUUGCGACGAUCAGAUCCGGCUGCUUUUAAUUAUUAUUAUUCUUUUUUACUUAUGAAUUUAUUUUUCAAAAUAUGUUUUAUACAUUAAUCACUCCUAAAUUUGUUUAAUAUGAUAUAAAAUUUUAAAAUUUACCCAAUAAUAUUUUAGGCUUAUAAAUGGCUGGUUUCAAGCCCAAUUCAACAUAAAUUGAGUAAUAACUAAACUUGAAGUGAUAGUUAAUAUUUUAUUUUUAUUUUUUUAGUUUUACAGUUUUUUAAGUCUUUAAUUAUAUUUUUAAUUUUUAAAAUUUUUUAUUUUAUUAAUCUUAAAUCAAUUAUCAUAUUAAAAUAAAUUUUCAAUUAAUAUUAUUAACUUGGCAAGAGGUCAUUUCAAAAAAUAAUUAUUUGAAUUAUAAAAAAAUUUAUAUAUUUUAAAAUAUUUUUAAAUGUAUGAAAAUAUAGGGUUGUUUUUGUUAUAUAUUAUUUUUAAAAGUCAAAACCUAUUUUUUUUUUCUUUGAAUUAAAUACAUCUAAUCAUCAUUCAUUUAAUAAAAUUUAAAGUUCAUGGUGGCUAAAUUUAUUUAGUUCAAGGAGGGUGAAAUUUACCAUUUUAAAUGGUAAUGCAUCAUUUCUAAUUUCAAGAAUCAUUACAUGUGGAUAAUACAAUAUAUGAUUAAAUAUGACAAAGUCAAAGAAAAAAGUGAGUAGGAUGCCAGUGCACAGAAGCUACUUGACCCAUAAGGUUAAGGGUACAUUAGCCACCCAAAAUGGGCUGAGUUUCUUAGUCUGGGUCAUUCUCCAUACCCACUUUGGGCCAAGUUCGACUAGGCCCAAAGUCGAUAUCCAGGUCGACUUACGACCCAAUCCUAUCUUGGUUUGGGCCUUGGCAAGGUCGGGUUAGGCUUGCUAUUUUUUUAUUUAUAAUGUAAAAAUGGUUCAAAUAUUCUCCGUGUUUCUAAUUUAUGUUCAUUACAUCUUUUGAAAAAAAAAAAUCAAAAUGCCAUAAAUUUGUUUUGAAAACAACCCAUUUUAAAAACAAAUUCUCCAAAAAUAAAAAAUUGUUUUAAGUAAAAGAUUUGUUGAACUUGUUUUAUAAGUUACAAAAGUUUUUUCUAUUUUAAAAAAUAAAAAGUUGUUUUAGUUUUCAAACAAACUCAUCAACCAAAUAAGAUGAAAUAUUAAAUAAAUAAAUAAAUUUAAAUUUAUUUUCUUUGUUUUUUUAAGCAAUGUUUUAAAAAUCAAACUGAUUAUUGAAACGAAAAAAUUAUGAUUUACUGUUCAAUGGUUGAACUAGUGGUUGAACGGUAAUAAAACCGAUAACAUCAUAAAUAUAUUAUUUAUAUAUUAUUAAAUUAAAAAUAAUUUUAAAAUUUUAAAAUAAACAUAUAAAUAAAUUAAAAAUCAAUAAUAUUUAUUUUUUAUCUUUUAUAUUAUUAAAUUAAAUAAUGCAUGACUAUAAAUGUAUUAAUAUACUAAAUUUUAUUAAAUGAGAUAUGUAUAAUAUUUUAAGUGGAUAUAUUAAAAAUCAAAGAAAAUCCAAUUAUUUAAUUUUAGCUAAUUUUAUAAUUUUUAAAAAUAUUAUAUUAUUGUUAUUCAAUAUUUUAAAUUUUUAUUUUAGAAAAGAAAUAUAUUGUUUUUUGUUUGCCUUACAGAGCAUCAAAACAUGUGUAGCCGGAUGGUGCCCCCAUGCCACUUCCUAAGCGCUUUUCAUUCACUGAUUUUCCCUUAACUUUAAGAUCAUAUUGUCCAUAAGAAAAAAAAAUAUGGGCUGGCAUUUUAAAAUGGGCCUGAUUGAAUAAAAAAAGAAAGGGUGGAAAUAUAGGGAGGGCCUUGGAAUUGGGCCCAUUUUGAAUUAAAAAAAAAAUAAUAAACGGUCAUUGGAUCGAGACUGUUCGGUUCUGCAUUGUGCGGAAUAAAAGAAUAUGGGCUGGCAUUUUAAAAUGGGCUUGGUUGAAUAAAAGAAGAAAGGGUGGCAAUAGAAGCUUGCCCUUGGAAUUGGGCCAUUUUGAAUAUAAAAAAAAUGGGUCAUUGGAUCGUUCGAUUUACCGGUUCGACCAGUUCUUGACCUGUUUCCAAAGGAGAGAAUCCAGACCGGAAAGAUUAUCAGAUGACAGUUGGACUAAAAUUAAAAUUUAAAACUAUUGUAUAUAUAUAUAUAUAUAAAAGAAAAAACUUGAGCGAAAAAAUAGAAUAUAAGAAAAUAGAAAAUAGGUUUAAAAUUAAUAAAUUAUUUUUAUGUUUAUUUAUUUUAAUACUUUUUAUAUAAAGAUUAAAUAAAUUUAAAAUAUAUAAUUUUUUAUUAAUUUUAAUUAUAUAUAAUUUUAAACAUAAUAAAAUUAUUUUUUAAUAUUUUUUAUUUUCUUAGUAUUUUUCAAGGAUAAAAAAUAACUUAUAGGAAACCGAUGAAACGUUAUUUAGUAUUUAUUUCUUUUAGAAAUUCAAACAGGAGGUUGGUUUUGAAUGGCCUACCUUCAAUUGGUCAAAGUUUGUAGAAGAAAUGACGCCCACGAACCACGUGCCUUGGUUUCUUAGUCAAGCUCUAACAAUAACAAAAAGUCAAAAAUAAUUAAUCAGUUCCAACUGUAACAUUCUUGGUUACUUCCGAGUUUCACAUAGUGGGAUUACUUUGAAAGUUCAAAGUCAAUCUAACAAAUUACAAGUCCGUCCACUGAUAUGGUAGGGGGACCCACACGUUUUCUAUUGACUAACAUUCUUUAAAAUAAUUCUUCAAAAUAUACAUCAUGUUUUGGAAUGUUUAAAAAAAUUUAAACAAUUUUUGAAAAACAAAACAAUUCUCAAUUAUUUUUUAAAAUAAAAUUUUAUUUUAAAAUUUAAAUUUAAAAGAUAGUUUUUUUAUUUAUUAUUCGGAAUUUACUAUCUAAUUAUAUAUAAUGUCAAAUAUUUUAAAGGGUUUUUCAUAUUUUUUAUUAUCAUUUAAAACAUUGUAAAAAAUAACUGAAAAAACUUACGUUAUGAUUGGUUUCGAAAGAUAUAAUGAAAAAAAAAAAAACACUAGAAAAGAAAUGGGUAAGUAUGUCUUUUCAAAAGAAUACUUCCAAGGUGUGGUUUAAAAGGUCAAUUUGCUUUGAAAGAAAAUUAAUUCCAACUUUGAAAAAAUCCAUUGGAUUAGAGUGAUUGAAGGAAAUAUAUCAUUUCAAUCCACAUCUGAUAAGACUUGGAAGACUGUUCUAUAAAAUGACUAAUUGUUUGGUGGCGAUUUUAAAAAAGUUUUUUUUUUUUUAGUUUUUUAAUAUUUAAAAUUUUUUAUUUUAAAAUAUUUUAAAAAAUUAUAAAUAUUUUCUAAAAUUACUAUCAAAUACAUUUUUAAUUUGAUUGAAGUGUUAAUGAAUCAAAUUUAAUUGAAGUAUAGUAUUUUAAAAUUAAAAAGAAAAGACAAGUUUAAUGCUUACACCAAAAUGAUUUUAAAAUCAUUUCUAAUUAAUCAAAAAGAAAAAUCAUCUAUAUUUAACUCACUUGCUUAAUCAUGCCAAAAUUAUUUUUUUUUAUAAGCUCCCAUAUGUAUUUAUAAAUUUUAUAUAUUUAAAAAUAUAAAAUCAUAAAAUAAGUUUGUAAAUAUAAAUAUUAUAUAGUUAAAAAAAUUAAAUAACCAAUAAAGUAAAAUUGUAUAUAUUUUGUUAAAAAAUUAAAAGUUAAUUUAUUUUUUAUUUUUUAUUUUUAAAAUAAAAUUUUUUAUAUAAAAGAUAAUAACUCUUACCAAAAGAACAAAAAUUCACCUUGUAUUCUUAAAACCAAUUUUUUUUUUUUUUUACUUCCUUAAGCUUUAAAUUUUUUUUGUAUAAUAAUUUCCAUCUUUUAUACAAGAUUUUCUAUUUUUUAAAAUAAAGGAGAUGUAUUUAAAUAUGUAUUAAAAUAAUAAAAGUUUUAAAAGUAAUUAAAAAUUAUUUUAAAAUAAAAUAUUUAUAAAUUAAAAAAAAUUAAAACAAGUUACUAACAAAUUUAAUGGGCUAUAGACUCAUGUCGACAUAUUAUUUGUGCCAAUUAUAUUCGAUUUAACUGGAGUUGACCAGGUCAACUAUCCAUGUACUUUGAAGGAGUCAAUGGUCAAUAUAAAAGACAAAAAAACAAAAUUAGUUGGUCCAUGUAAGUGUACUUAAUUAUUUAAAUUUAUUCUUAUUCUCACAAAAAACAAAAAAAAAAAAAGAAGAAAAAAAAGACACUAGUGGACAAAAUUGGGAUAGGUGAGAGAAUUUCUCAUCCCCACCCAUCUUAUUUAAUUUUUAUUUUUUAAAAUAUAAAUUAUAUUAGAACUCAGUAUAAUUUAUUCCCAUCUUAAUUAAUUUUUUAUUUUUAAAAAUUUACAUUAUAUUAGAAAUCAAUAUAAUUUAUAAAUUUAUGCAUUAAAAAUGAGCGAAACUAAAAAUAAUUAAAUUAAAUUAUUUUUAAAUUAUAUUUAUAAUUGAUGAGGUGAUAUCCACUCUCAAAUUUUAUUUUAUUUUUAAAUAAAUUUGUUUCUAACUCUUCCUAAAUUCUUCUUAUUGCCAAGGAACAUGCAAACAUUCAAAUAUAGUGUUCUUUUUCAUCUUAACAAAACUAUUAUAUAUUAAAAGAGUGAUAAAAUAAAAUAAAAAAUUUCCGUGAUAAAAAUAAUAAUAAUAAUAGUAACAUGUAAGAUGUUGUCCAUUAUAGUCGAAGUCAGUCGUUAUGGUUAUUUGCCUUCGUAUGAAGGUUAUGAUUGUCUCAAAUAAUAAUGAAUUUUGAUAAUUUGAUUUUACAGAUAUAUAAAAAAAAAAUAUAGAUGAGUAUUUUAAUAUAAGAUAUCGGUGAAUAAAAAAUUAACCAAAAAUCAUGAAAAUAUAAGAAAAAAGUCAAAAACUCUUAAAAAUUAAAUUAAAAGUAUAAUAAAUAUUUUAAAGUUGUUUUAUUGAAGAAAUUAAUAUAUAAAUAAUAUAAUUUAUAAUAUUCAAUAAUAAUACUUAUAACUUAAAAACAUAUUUUAUAUACAUCAAUUUAAUUUGGAUAUAUUCAAUGACAUAAAAAAAUGAUGAUACAUGUAUAAGUAUUUUUUUAUUAAAAUGUUAAUAAUUUUUUUUAUUAAUUUAUAUUUAUUUUGUAUGUAGUUAUUAACUUAUUAUACAAAAGACAUGAUAAUUAAAAUUAAUUUAUGAUAUAUAUAUAUAUACACGUAUUAAAAAAUUUAUUUUUUGAAUAUUAUAUAUAAUAAUUUUAACGUUAUAUAACAAACAUACGUGAAUAAAAUAACAUAAGUUGAUUGGGCGGCAAGGCUUUCCCUUUCAAAUGUGAAGUCUGGGUUUCAACUUUCAAACCCUUCCGCCACGAUCUAAAUUAUGAUGGCCCACAAAAGAUACAGCGUGAAGAGUGGGGAUAAAAAAGUCAAACUAAUAUAGAAGCUUCUGAGCUGGGGCCCGCAAACCAAUUUUCGUCGUGGCCCGUGGGUCCCAAACUCCAACUUAGUUGUUAUUAAUUUCCACAUGGAUGUUAACAAUUUCGGGAUACCGAUAUUGACGCUUCAUCCCUUUCCAAAAAAAUGUUUUGAAGGGGGUUAGGUGCGUUCAUAUGAGAAAUCCCUAUCCCUCUUCCAUCUUGCCUUAUCUCGUUUAAUAUUUAUUUUUUAUUUUUAUAAUUUUUAAUUAUAUUAUAAAAUUUUGUUAUUAUUAUUAUUAUUUUUAUAAAAUGUAAAUUUUUUUUUAUGUAUUAUAAGGAGGGGAAAUAAAAAUUAAAUCAAAUUAAUUAUUAUUAUUAUUUAACCAUGUAUAUAAUGAUAAGCGUUGAUUUGCUCGAAUUUGUAGGAGGUUUUAAGUUUUCCAAUCCUAUUUAUAUAUUAUUUAUGUCUCUCUAAUCUUAAAAAGGGAUGUAUUAAAAAACCCGAUAAAGGAUAUUUUUAUCAAGGUAGAUGUUGAAUGGUUUAAAUAUUGGGCAUGACUAAAUUGAAGUUAACAAACAAAUAACAUAAAUACAAGGGCUAAAUCAUAAAAAUAUACAUAGUGAGCCCCACAAAAAAAGAAUAAAUUAUGGAUUGAUAGUAAUAUCAUAAUAAUAAGACAUAAAUAAAUGGAUAAAUGAAUAAUAUUAUAAUAAUUAAUACGUUAAAAAAUGUGAUUUUUAUAAAAAAACACUCACAUUGAUAGUAUCUAAAUUUAACUAUUUGAUUUAUAAAUGAUUAUUUAUUUUUAAAAAUAAAUAAUUAUUUUUUAAAAUUUUGUAGUAUCAUUUAGCUAUUGUCAUUUCACAAUAAUUUUUUUUAAAACAAUAGCUUCUCUAAAUGUUCUCCUUAGACAAACAUAUUUCAAAUCAAAUCUAACGCAUAAUUGUUAAUUUAAAAAAAAAUAAAUAAAUAAAUCUAUGGAAUCAAUACUUGAAAGUCACAAAAUCCAAAAAUUAGUAUAAUUAAUACUAAAAAGUCAUAAAUUAAAAUUGAUUGAAAACCGGAAAUACUUUCCUAAUUUCCCAUUUUUAAUAUAAUUUUAAUUUUUUUUAUUUUUCUAUUAAGUAAGUAAACUCUAAAUCAAGUGAGGUUAGUGUAUUGGAUUUAUAAAAAAAUAAUUUUAAAAAAUAAUUAUAAACUUAAAUAUUAACCCAAUAGAUAAAAAAAAAAUCAAGAACAAAAAGAUUAUAUAUUUUUUUCUGAAUUUUCUCAUUAAAGUAGCUCCAUUUUCUAAACUAAUUAAAAAACUCUAUACUUUAAUAUUUUCUAAAAUAAAAUCAUCUUUAAAAAAGAAUUUAAAAACCAUUUUUUAAAAUUAUAAUGUCAAUCAUAUUUUAUAUACGACCAUUCUUUAAUAUUCAAAAACCAAAUCCCAAACUAUUUUUAUUAAUAAUGUAAACACCUAGGUUAUGUUUAGUUUCUCAAAAGUUUGAGGGAAAACCUGAGAAAGUUUGGAGGACAACACACGAAAAAAAAAAUAGAAAGGAAUAUAGAUGGAAAGAAAAAGUAAAAAAAAAAAAAAAGAUUUAAAGGUAAUAAAUUAUUUUUAUAUAUUAUUUCAUAUUAAUUUUUUAUAUAAAAAUUAAAUAAUUUUAAGAAAUAUGUAAUUUUCUUAUACAUUUUACUUUCCUUCACAUUUUUCAUAAUAAAAUCAAAUAUAAAAAAAUUAUUUUUCUUUUUUUUCCUAAUACUUUCCACGAAGUAACAUGGCCCUAAGAGUUCUCAAGACUUUUUUUUUUCUUUUGUCCUAAUACUUUCCACGAAGUAACAUGACCCUAACAGUUGAUUUGUUCUUGAUUUGUUCUUAAGUCUUGACAACUAAUUUUCUUUAGAAAGCGUGUGGGGUUUUUUACUAUUCCAGAAAGAAAAACAAAAAAAUCAACUUCACCUUUAUGAUUUUAAUGACCAUCCUUUAUGUUUACUUCCAUGGAAAGAAAAUAAAAAAUCGAUUUAUUGAAAGUGAAGGAAUACGUCAGGUGAAUGAUAUCAUCAAUCAUAAGCAAUAAUAUUUAUGUAUUAUAAAAUUUAUAUUCAAACAUAAAUUUCAUAAAAAAAUCUAUUAAUUGUAAGCUAAGAAAUAAAGAAAGAAGAAGCCAUCCAUGAAUGAGGUGAUCAAUUCCGUGGCAUAUUUAACUUCUAAUAAUUAUGUAUUAUAAAAUUCAUAUCUAAAUAUUAAAUUUUAUCAAAAAUCGAUUAAUUGUAAGUGAAGAAAUAAGGAAAGAAGUCAUUGAUAAAGUAUAUGUAACCAAUACUACUUGUAAAGUAUAUAUUCACAUAUAAAUUUCAAUUUCACCACUCACGUGAUUUUUAAUAAUUAAUUGAUUAAAAUUGAUAUGCUAUACAAAUAGUGAAGUAGAAAUUGUUAAAAAAAAAUUAAUAAUUUUGUGGAAGGGUUAGAAGUGGGUUAAAUUUUUUUUUUUUUCGCUUAGUUUCUAACACCUUUGACUAACUAUAUGUUGUAUUUAGUUCCAAAUAUUAAAACAACGAUCGUGGAAACUCCAAUGCAAUUUCGUUUUAGAGUAUCUUUCAUUGGUCAGAUGAACCGGAGGAACAAGUUAAAUAUAUCAUCGUAUAAAUCAAAGACAAACAUUUGGGGGAUUAACACAAGUAUCCAACCCAUCCCAACAAUUCGCAGUAGCUCCACGUUUCAUCAUCUGUCUCAAAUUCUCGAACUUCUUUAAAGAGCGUGGAAGGGUGUGAUGAGAUUUUUGGUUUUGUUUAGUCUUCUCUUUUCAGUACUGAUGUUUCCAGCAGCAGAGGCUAGAAUCAGAAGGUAUAGAUGGGAGGUGAAGUAUGAGUACAAGUCUCCUGAUUGCUUUCAGAAGAUGGUUAUCACCAUCAAUGGACAAAGCCCCGGUCCAACAAUCCUGGCAGAAGAAGGAGACACCGUCAUUGUUGAGCUCACAAAUAGUUUGUUGACAGAAAAUGUCGCAAUCCACUGGCAUGGUAUCAGACAGGUAGAGCAAAGAUUAAUAUAUAAUGUUUUCUUUUUUCUUCCCCUUUCUGGGCUUAAUUUUGCAGUUCUGAUGGUUCAUCUUCUUGAUGAUUACAGAUUGGGACGCCAUGGUUUGAUGGAACGGAAGGGGUGACCCAGUGUCCAAUCCUGCCAGGAGAUACCUUCACAUAUGAGUAUAAAGUGGAUAGGGUAAGAUUGAUCAGUGGUCUUAAUCAAGAAAGUUGGAACCAGUACUACUUUCAAUUAUCUGAUGAUAUUAUUCUUUGGUUUAUGCAGCCUGGGACUUAUCUAUACCAUGCCCAUUACGGAAUGCAAAGAGAAGCUGGGCUGUAUGGAUCGAUUCGUGUGUCGGUUGCUCGUGGGAAGACUGAGCCCUUUUCCUAUGACCACGACCGGAGCAUCAUCCUCACUGACUGGUACCAUAAUACCACUUAUGAACAAGCCCUGGGCUUGUCCUCCAAUCCUCUUGACUGGGUCGGCGAGCCUCAGGUGAAUGCCAACUACUACUGCUUCCGCCAUAGCAUUCUGGUUUGUUCUGCUAUUCAUCUUCUGAUGUCUUUUUCUGUCUGUUAAUUUUUCAGUCCCUUCUGAUUCAAGGAAAAGGAAGAUACAACUGCUCCCUAGUUUCAAGUCCUUACGUCUGUAAUGCAACAAGUCCUCAGUGUUCUCCCUAUGUACUCACUGUAGUUCCGGGGAAAACAUAUCGCCUUCGGGUCUCCAGCUUGACUUCCCUGUCAGCUCUCAGUUUCCAAAUAGAGGUUGGUAUAAUUAAAAACUUCACCGUGGUUUCUUAUUCCUUGCUUCUACUUGGUCAAGUCAUAUUCCACACAAAAAAGUCAAACACUACCUAUUUAAGAACUCAUCUUUAGCUAUAUAAUUGUGUUUUAAAUAUGUAAAGCUUUUGUUAUGAAUAAUAUUAGAGUUAAUUCUUAACUUCAUUGUAUGAGUUUGAUUGGUCCAUAAGUAAUGUUUAUAUGUUUGAUCUCAUGAUAUACAACGAGGAUGUUGUAUUUGUAUGAUAAUAAUUGUAAUAUUCUAUAUCAAAUGUGUAAAAAGUUCCUAAUAUUAUAUAUGUCUGAACUUCUACACAUGUGACGGGGAUUUGGGUCCAAAACAAAGAAUAUUUAUACAUUUCAAAAUGGUUUACUACAAAAACCGUGCAUGUUCUGAUACGGUUUUAAUUUCUAACGCUGCAGGGUCACAACAUGACUGUAGUUGAAGCAGAUGGGCACUUUGUGGAACCCUUUGUGAUAAAAAACCUCUUCAUUUACUCAGGGGAGACCUAUUCAGUUCUGGUGAAGGCUGAUCAAGACCCUUCAAGAAAUUACUGGGUCACAACCAGCGUGGUCAGUAGGAACAACACUGUCACUCCUCCGGGCUUGGCCAUUUUCAAUUACUACCCCAACCAUCCCAACAAGUCUCCUCCAACAGUCCCACCCGUUGGCCCUCUUUGGAACGACGUCGAGCCGCGCCUCAACCAAAGCCGUGCCAUUAAGGCUCACCAUGAUUAUAUUGUGCCCCCUCCCCACACCUCAGACAGAGUAAUCGUGUUUCUAAACACUCAAAAUAAGAUAAAUGGUUAUGUUAGGUGGUCUGUCAACAACAACUCCUUCAACUUGCCACACACCCCCUACCUAAUCGCUCUCAAAGAGAAUAUAACUGGAGCCUUCGACCCAACCCCACCUCCAAAUGGUUAUGAUUUUGUAAACUAUGAUAUCUACAAUGUGGCGAAUAACACCAACGCUACAUCCAGCAACUCAAUUUAUAGGCUGCAGUUCAAUACAACAGUGGAUAUUAUACUGCAAAACGCAAACACCAUGAAGAAGAAUGACAGCGAGACGCACCCAUGGCAUCUCCACGGGCAUAAUUUUUGGGUACUGGGAUAUGGAAAAGGUAAGUUCGACAAUUUCAGUGAUCCAAUAAAGUACAAUCUGAUCGACCCAAUUAUGAAGAACACAGCACCUGUUCAUCCUUAUGGAUGGACUGCCUUAAGGUUUCGAUCUGAUAACCCAGGUACCUGGGCAUUCCAUUGCCAUAUAGAGUCUCAUUUCUAUAUGGGUAUGGGAGUUGUUUUUGAAGAAGGGGUGGAGAGAGUGGGAAAGCUGCCUUCAUCUAUCAUGGGUUGCGGUAAAGCCAAGGGUCUCGGCGGCAGGCCAUAAUAUGCAGGUAAGUUGAGCAUGAAAAAGGAAAAUAAGAUUAUCAAAUCUUUACAAACCUCUCUAUUUCAAAGCCCCAAACAUCUUGUAAUAACAAUAAUAAUUACUAUUACCUGUUUUUUAUACUUAGUAUCAAUACUAUUUUUUAUUUCGAGGUGAAAUGCAUAGAAAAAAGAAAUAGUAUUUGUAGGGACCACUCCCCCCGAUGGCGCGUGACACACAUUUACUAAUGACACGUGGCACACAUUUCUAUCCGGAUUAUCCCCAUCUGGAUUUCCCCAAGAAGACACGUGGCGCGCUUCUCUUAUCCGGACUUCCUCAGGGAGAGGCACACGACACUCACAAACAUCACAUCUGGACGAUCGCCAUAUCACAUCCAAACGACCGACAUAUCCUAUCCGGAUAUGUUUUUAUCCGGAUCGUUGACUGAAGUAAGCAGGUCUUGCACGUCAUGUCAACAGCCUGCCACGACCCACGUUCCGCCACCUGCAGAGUGAAAGGACAGGAAUGAAGUGAUGACAAUCACUUCCCGCGAUCUCUGACAGCCGUGGCGCCUCCCACGAUCUCUGUCAGCCGCCCGUAGGGUGAUGAUGGCCCUGCCACCACCUAGAGGCAUCAUGACAAGCCAAAAUAUCUCCCUACCAUUAAAAAGAGAAACAAAGCUUCUAGACGCUAUAUAUAUGGACCUUCACACAAAGAGGAAGGUAAGAUAACUUGUUAUACCUAAUAAAAGACCAAUUGAUUAUUCUCUCUAACCAUGGCUGACAAAACCAUCGGAGGGUGUGUCCGGACGCCUUUUGUAGGAGCGACUGAACCAGGAAUCUAUAUUGGUUGAGAUCGCGUGUCCAUCCAUUUGGCAACUACGUGGAUCACAGGGACGCGAGGCUUCAACAGUAUUAUGCACAGGAAAAAAAAAAAAAUCAUGGUUGGAAAGGUUAGAGUAACAAAAGCCAUUGAAAUGACUACUAUCCAUUUAUUUAAGUUAAAUUAUAAGAAAAAAGAUUUUAAACCUUCAAGUCAAGUAAUUAAAUUUCUCUUUAGUUUCAUAUUGGAUGAAGAUUCAAACCAAAAACGCUCCAAUGAUCAAACCUAUCACCCAGAUUGGGUACAUAAAAAAAACUUCAAAACAUUAGAGAAAAUACAACAAUAAUAAAUUAACAUAAGUUUAUAUGGUAUGAUUUAAAACAACAACAUCCCCAAUAAAGUGGGAUAUCUCCAAACUUAAAGUUGGUCAAGACAAAAGGUUUAAUGUAUAUUUACAUUUUGCUGAAAUUUGAAUAAGAAGCAUACAACAAUUUUGUUCUAUUCUAUUCAAUGGAUAAUAACUUCAUUUAUUCAAGAUCUUCCUUCUUACCAUCUAUUCCUAAAGACUUUGAAUGCUUUUUUAGAUGCUAGUUUUUCAAUUUCAAUGAAUAAAUUGGGUGUUGGAGCUUUAGAAACUUCAUUCAACAACCUUUUUUUAAGAUUUAAAAAUCUAUAACUCUUAUUUGAGACUCAUGAUCUUAAAUUGAGAAUGAAAGGAACAAAAUCCUCUCUUUUUUUUCUUUCAUUCAAUUUUCUCAUAAAAUUACCAAAAACAAAACAAAAAUCAAUUCCACCAAACAAAGGGUUUUUAUAUUAAAAAAAAAAAACCUUAAAAUCUAUAUUUACAUAGACUUCAGAUAAAUGGAAUAAAAUAGAUUAAUAUUGGUUUGAUUUAAUCCAUUGUCAAUGAUCGAUCAUAAACUUGACAAAUCAUUCAUUUUUUUGGUACAUGAAAUAUAGGAUUUCACUAAGUUAAUUAUUAAAAAAAAUAAAAAAAUUCUUGGUUGUAAAAGAAUGAAAAAAGAAAGGAGAAAGUAAUGAAAAUAAAAUGAAGUUAAAAAAAAAAAUUGGAAUACAAUUAAUAGGAAACCUAAGAAAUAAAAGGUGUUCCACAAAUUAUGAUUAUGAGAGGGUAACUAAGUAAAGUUAAAAGUAAAUAAAAAAAUUAAUGAUUGGUUUCAUACACUUUCUUUUUUUUUAAAAAAAAAUAUUAAAUCUAAAAAUUCUUAUGAAAAAAAUAAUAACUUAUAUUAUGUUGUUAAAAAUUAUAUUUUUAAUUCGUUUUUUAAAAAACCAUUAUAUAUUUUGUAAAACUUAUUAUUAUUUUUGUUUCUAAACAUAGAAAAUAGCAUCCAAAUUAAAUUAAAUAAUUUCAUAUCAAAAAAAAAAUAUAUAUAUAUCAAAUUAUUCAAUCAUAUGAAAACAAUUUUACAAAGGAAAAAUAAGUUUUGUUCUAAAAAUAUUUAAAAAAAUCAAAAGAAUUAAAAUCUCAAUAGAAAAUUUUUCAUUAUUAAGGUAAAUUUUAUAUCAAAAUCUUAAUAUUUUUAAAACAAUGUUAUAAUUUUCUUAAUAAAAUUUAAAUUUGUUUAAAUAAAUAAUACAAUUGAGUGAUAAAACUUUUUAUUCAAUAAUUAUCUAUUAUAAAAUAAGUGUUAUUAUUAAUUCACCAUUAUUUAAUUAAAUAUAAAAUUUUAAAAGAUUUAAAUAUCUCAAAAUGAAUGAAAUCAUUAUUACAGUUAUAUAAAGUAAAAAAGUUUUAUGUAAUUUUAAAAAAAAAUCAAUUUAUUUAUUGAAUAAAUGAAAGAUAGGUUAUGAUAAAAAGAAAAAAUUAAUAAUAAAUAUAAGUAUUAAAUACGUUUUAUUUAUUUCUCACAACACAUUCAAAUAUGAUUUAAAAUAUUUCAAAUUUAUUAUGAAGAAAAAAAAAAGUGAAGGAGAGUUCUAACAAACCCUAAUUAUCCUCAUCUCAAUUCUAAAUCUGAAAUCGGAAAAAUACUUUGCGAUCAUCUCCUAACAUAACCAGACUUCUUUCCUAUAAAUAAAUCAUAAUCAGUUGUUUAAAUAUUCUUCUUGUUUCUAAUUUAUGUUCACUACAUCUUUGAAAAAAAAAAACAAAAAUGAAAUCAAAAUACCUUAAAUUUGUUUUGAAAACAACCCAUUUUUAAAACAAAUUCUCCAAAAAUAAAAAAAUAAAAAAAUAAAAAAAUAAAAAAAUGUUUUUAAUAAAAGAUUUGUCAACUUUGUUUUAUGAGUUACAAAAGUUUUUUCUGUUUUAAAAAAUAAAAAGUUGUUUUAGUUUUCAAACAAACUCAUCAACCAAAUAAGAUAAAAUAUUAAAUAAAUAAAUAAAUUUAAAUUUAUUUCCUUCGCUCUUUUAAGCAAUGUUUUAAAAAUCAGAUCAAUUAUUAAUACGAAAAAGUUAUGAUUUACUAUUAAAUGGUUGGACUACUGGUUGAACUGUAGUGGAACCGAUAACAUCAUAAAUAUAUAAUUUAUAUAUUAUUAAAUUAAAAAUAAUUAUACAAUUUUAAAAUAUACAUAUAAAUAAAUUAAAAAUCAAUAAUAUUUUUUUUAUCUUUUAUAUUAUCAAAUUAAAUAAUGCAUAAGUAUAAAUAUAUUAAUAUACUAAAUUUUAUUAAAUGAGAUAUGUAUAAUAUUUAAAGAGAAUAUAUUAAAAAUCAAAGAAAAUCCAAUUAUUUAAUUUUAGAUAAUUUUAUCAUUUAAAAAAAAUUAUAUUAUUGUUAUUCAAUAUUUUAAUUUUUUUUGUUUAGAAAAGAAAUAUAUUAUUUUUUGUUUGCUUGCAUAGCAUCGAGUGGUGCCCCCCAUGCCACUUCCUAAGCGCUUUUCACUCACUGAUUUUUCCCUUCAACUUUAAUAUCAUAUUGUCCAUAAGAAAAAAAAUAUGGCUGGCAUUUUGAAAUGGACCUGAUUGAAUAAAAAAAGAAAGGGUGGCAAUAUAGGGAGGGCCUUGGAAUUGGGCCCAUUUUGAAUUAGAAAAAAAAACAAAAAAAACGGUCAUUGGACCCAGACUGUUCGGUUCUGCAUUGUGCGGAAGAAAAAAUUAUGGGCUGGCAUUUUAAAAUGGGCCUGGUUGAAUAAAAGAAGAAAGGGUGGCAAUAUAAGCUGGCCAUUGGAAUUGGGCCAUUUUGAAUAUAAAAAAAAUGGGUCAGUUUGGUUUACUCGGUUUACCGGUUCGACCAGUUCUUGACUGGUUUCCAAACGAGAAAAUCCAGAUCGGAUGACAGUUGGACCAAAAUUAAAAUUUAAAACUAUUUUAUAUAUAUAUAUAUAUUAAAGAAAAAAAUUGAGAGAAAAAAUAGAAGAUAAAAAAUAUAUAAGAAAAUAGAAAAUAGAAAAUAAGUUUAAAAUUAAUAAAUUAUUUUUAUGUUUAUUUAUUUUUAUAUUUUUCAUAUAAAGAUUAAAUAAAUUUAAAAUACAUAAAUUUUUUAUUAAUUUUAAUUAUAUUUAAUUUUAAACACAAUAAAAUUAUUUUUAAAUAAUUUUUAUUUUCUUAAUAUUUUUCAAGAAUAAAAAAUAACUUAUAGGAAACCGAUGAAACGUUAUUGAGUAUUUAUUUCUUUUAGAAAUUCAAACAUGAAGUUGGUUUUGAAUGGUCAUCCGUGAAUUGGUCAAAGUUUGUAGAAGAAAUGACGCCCACGGACCACGUGCCUUGGUUUCUUAGUCAAGCUCUAAUAAUAACAAAAAGUCAAAAAUCAAUCAGUAACAUUCUUGGUUACUUCCAAGUUUCAAUUAUAGUGGGAUUACUUUGAAAGUUCAAAGUCUCUUACAAAUUACGACUCCGUCCCGUGAAUACAUCAUGUUUUGAAAUGUUUCAAAAUUUUAUUUUUUAAACAAUUUUUGAAAAACAAAACAAUUCUUAAUUAUUUUUUAAAAUUUAAAUAUAAAAGAUAGUUUUUUUUUUUUAUUUAUACUUCAAAAAUAUACUAUCUAAUUAUAUAUAAUGUCAAAUAUUUUAAAGGAUUUUUCAUAGUGUUAAUUAUCAUUUAAAACAUUGUAAAACAUAAUUAAAAAAAAACUUAGGUUAUGGUUGGUUUCGGAAAAUAUAAUAAAAAAGAAAUAGAAAAGAAAUGGGUAAGUAUGUCUUUUUAAAAGAAUACUUUGAAAGGUGGGUUUAAAAGAUUAAUUUGCCUUAAAAGAAAAAUAAUUCCAAUUUUCAUUGGAUUAGAGCAAUUCAAGGACAUAUAUCAUUACAAUCUAUAUGUUUGAUAAGACUUGGAAGAUUGUUUUAUAAAUGAUUAAUUUUCAUAAUAUUUAAAAUUUAUUUGAUGAUGAUUUAAAAAAAAUGUUUUUAACGUUUUUUAAUACUUGAAAUUUUUUAUUUUUUAAGUAUUAAAAAGACUAUAAAUAUUUUUUUAAAAUUUCUAUCAAACAUAUUUUUAAUUUCAUUGAACUCAAAGUUAACUUCAUGUGUUAAUGGAUCAAAUUUAAUUGAAGUAUUGAAUUUUAAAAUUAAAAAGAAAAGACAAUUUUAAUUCUUACACCAAAAUAAUUUUAAAAUCAUUUCUAAUUAAUGAAAAAAGAAAAUUCAUUUAUAUUUAGCUCACUUGCUUAAUCCUGUCAAAAUGAUUUUUUUAUAAGCUCCCAUAUGUAUUUAUAAAUUUUAUAUAUUUAAAAAUAUAAAAUCAUAAAAUACGUUUGUAAAUAUAAAUAUUAUAUAGUUAAAAAAAUUAAAUAACCAAUAAAGUAAAAUUUUAUAUAAUUUGUUAAAAAAUUAAAAUUUAAUUUAUUUUUUAUUACUUUUAUUUUCAAAAUAAAAUUUUUAUAUAAAAUAUAAUAACUCUUACCAAAAAAACAAAAAUUCACCUUGUAUUCUUAAAACCAAUUUUUUUCUACUUCCUUAAGCUUUAAAUUUUUUGUUUAUAUUAAUUUCCAUCUUUUAUACAAGAUUUUCUAUUUUUAAAAAUAAAGGAGAUGUAUUUAAAUAUGUAUUAAAAAAAAGUAAUUAAAAAUUAUUUUAAAAUAAAAUAUUUAUAAAUUAAAAAAAUUAAAACAAGUUAUUAACAAAUUUAAUGGCCUAUAGACUCAUUUCGACAUAUUAUUUGUGCCAAUUAUAUUCAAUUUAACUUGAGUUGACCAGGUCAACUAUCCAUGUACUUUGAAGGAGUCAAUGGUCAAUAUAAAAGACAAAAAACAAAAUUAGUUGGUCCAUAUAAGUGUACUCAAUUAUUUAAAUUUAUUCUCAUUCUCACAAAAAAAAAAAGACACUAGUGGACAAAAUUGGGAUAGGUGAGAGAAUUUCUCAUCCCCAACCAUCUUAUUUAAUUUUUAUUUUUAAAAAUUUAAAUUAUAUUAGAACUCAAUAUAAUUUAUUCCCAUCUUAUUUAAUUUUUUAUUUUUAAACAUUUAAAUUAUAUUAGAAAUCAAUAUAAUUUAUAAAUUUAUGCAUUAAAAAUGAACAAAACUAAAAAUAAUUAAAUUAAAUUAUUUUAAAUUAUAUUUAUAAUCGAUGGGGUGAUAUUCAAUCUCAAUUUUUUUUAAAAAUAAAAUAAAAUAAAUUUGUUUCUAACUCUCCCUAAAUUCUUCGUAUCUUCAAGGAACAUACAAACAUUCAAAAAUAGCUUCUCUAAACGUUCUCAUUAGACAAACAUAUUUCAAAUAAAAUAUAAUUGAAUGCAUAUUUGUUAAUUUAAAAAAACAAAUAAAUAAAAAAAUCUAUGAAAUCAAUAUUGGAAAGUCACAAUAUCCAAAAAUCAAUAUAAUUAAUACUAAAAAGUCAUAAAUCAAAAUUGAUUGGAAACCGGAAAGACUUUCCUUAUUUUCCAUUUUUAAUAUAAUUUUAAUUUUUUUAAUAUUUCUAUUAAAUAAGUAAACUCUAAAUCAAGUAAGGUUAGUGUAUUGGAUUCAUAAAAAAUAAUUUUUAAAAAUAAUUAUAAACUUAAAUAUUAACCCAAUAGAUUAAAAAAAUUAGGAGCAAAAAAAUUAUAUUUUUUUUUUUCCGAAUUUUCUCAUUAAAGUAGCUCCAUUUUCUAAACUAAUUAAAAAUUUCUAUACUUUAAUAUUUUCUAAAAUAAAAUCAUCUUUAAAAAAGAAUUUAAAAACUAUUUUUUAAAAUUAUAAUAUCAAUCAUAUUUUAUAUACCACCAUUCUUUAAAAUCGCUUUUAUCACUCCAUUGGGAAAAUGUAAGAAAAAAAAAUAUAGAUGAAAAGAAAAGGUAAAGAAAAAUAAGAAAUAUAUUUAAAGUUAAUAAAUUAUUUUUUAUAUAUUAAAAUUUUUAUAUAAAAAUUAAAUAAUUUUUAAAAAAAUAUGUAAUUUUCUUAUACAUUUUACUCUCCUCCAUAUUUUUCAUAAUAAAAUUAAAUAUAAAAAAAUUAUUUUCCUUUUUUUUUUUUAAGUACUUUCCGGGAAAUAAUACGACCCUAGGAGUUAUUUGUUAUAAGACUUAUUUUAUUUUUAUUGUUUCCUAAUACUUUUCGUAAAGUAACAUGAACUUGAUUUGUUCUCAAGUUUUGACAACUAAUUUUCUUUGAAAAACGUGUCAGGGGAAAUUCUUGGCAAUUCGGCGCUUUUUACUAUUCCAUAAAGAAAAACAAAAAAAUCAAUUUGACGUUUAUGAUUUUAAUGACCAUCCUUUGUGUUUAGUUCAUGGAAAGAAAAUAAAAAAUGAUUUAUUAAAAGUGAAAGGAAUACGACUGGUGAAUGAUAUCAUCAAUCAUAAGCAAUAGUACUUAUGUAUUAUAAAAUUUAUAUUCAAACAUAAAUUUUAUAAAAAAAUCUAUUAAUUAUAGGCGAAGAAAUAAAGAAAGAAGUCGUCAUUGAUAAAGAGGUGAUAACCAUCUUCCGGAAUCAAUCAGGAGACUUGUAGAAAUUCACAGUAACUCCACGUUUCAUAAUCUGUCUCAAAUUCUCAAGUUCUCUAAAGAACGUUGAAGAUGAUAAAGAGGUGAUAACCAUCUUCUGGAAGCAAUCAGGAGACUUGUAGAAAUUCGCAGUAACUCCACGUUUCAUAAUCUGUCUCAAAUUCUCAAGUUCUUUAAAGAACGUUGAAGAUGGGUGAGAUGAGAUUUUUGGCUCUGUUUAUUCUUCUCUUUUGAGUACUGAUUUUUCAAGCAGCAGAGGCUAGAAUCAGAAGGUAUAAUUGGGAGGUGAAGUUGAGUACAAGUCUCCUGAUUGCUUCCAGAAGAUGGUUAUUGCCAUCAAUGGACAAAGCCCCGGUCCAACAAUCCUGGCCGAAGAAGGAGACACCGUCAUUGUUGAGCUCACAAAUGGUUUGUUGACAGGAAAUGUCGCAAUCCACUGGCAUGGUAUGAGACAUGUAGAGCAAAGAUUAAUAUAUAAUGUUUUCUUUUUUCUUCCCCUUUCUGGGCUUAAUUUUGCAGCUCUGAUGGUUCAUCUUCUUGAUAAUUACAGAUUGGGACGCCAUGGUUUGAUGAAACGGAAGGGGUGACCCAGUGUCCAAUCCUGCCAGGAGAUACCUUCACAUAUGAGUAUAAAAUGGAUAGGGUAAGAUUGAUCCGUGGUCUUAAUCAAGAAAGUUGGAACCAGUACUACUUUCAAUUAUCUGAUGAUAUUAUUCUUUGGUGUAUGCAGCCUGGGACUUAUCUAUACCAUGCUCAUUACGGAAUGCAAAGAGAAGCUGGGCUGUAUGGAUAGAUUCGUGUGUCGGUUACUUGUGGGAAGACUGAGCCCUUUUCCUAUGACCACGACCGGAGCAUCAUCCUCACUGACUGGUACCAUAAUACCACUUAUGAACAAGCCCUGGGCUUGUCCCCCAUUCCUUUUGACUGGGUCGGGGAGCCUCAGGUGAAUGCCAACCACUACUGCUUCCGCCAUAGCAUUCUGGUUUGUUCUGCUCUUCAUCUUCUGAUGUCUUUUUCUGUCUGUUAAUUUUUCAGUCCCUUCUCAUUCAAGGAAAAGGAAGAUACAACUGCUCCCUAGUUUCAAGUCCUUACGUCUGUAAUGCAACAAGUCCUCAGUGUUCUCCCUAUGUACUCACUGUAGUCCGGGGAAAACAUAUCGCCUUCGGGUCUCCAGCUUGACUUCCCUGUGAGCUCUCAGUUUCCAAAUAGAGGUUGGUAUAAUUAAAAACUUCACCGUGGUUUCUUAUUCCUUGCUUCUACUUGGUCAAGUCAUAUUCCAUACGAACUUUUCUUAGCCAUAUGGAAGAGUUUUAAACAUAUGAGGGGAUUUUGAGUCCAAAUUGAAGAAUAUCUACCCAUUUCAAAAUGGUUUAUUACAAAAACUAUGCAUGUUCUGAUACGGUUUUAAUUUAUAACGCUGCAGGUUCACGACAUGACUGUAGUUGAAGCAGAUGGGCACUUUGUGGAACCCUUUGUGAUAAAAAAACCUCUUCAGUUACUCAGGGGAGACCUAUUCAGUUCUGGUGAAGGCUGAUCAAGACCCUUCAAGAAAUUACUGGGUCACAAUCAGUGUGGUCAGUAGGAACAACACUGUCACUCCUCCGGGCUUGGCCAUCUUCAAUUACUACCCCAACCAUCCCAAGAAGUCUCCUCCAACGAUCCCACCCGCUGGCUCUCUUUGGAAUGACGUCGAGCCGCGCCUCAACCAAAGCCGUGCCAUUAAGGCUCACCAUGAUUAUAUUGUGCCCCCUCCCCACACCUCAGGCAGAGUAAUCGUGUUUCUAAACACUCAAAAUAAGAUAAAUGGUUAUGUUAGGUGGUCUGUCAACAACGGCUCCUUUAACUUCCCGCACACCCCCUACCUAAUCGCUCUCAAAGAGAAUAUAACUGGAGCCUUCGACCCAACCCCACAUCCAAAUGGUUAUGAUUUUGUAAACUAUGAUAUCUACAAUGUGGCGAAUAACACCAACGCUACAUCCAGCAACUCAAUUUAUAGGCUGCAGUUCAAUACAACAGUGGAUAUUAUACUGCAAAACGCAAACACCGUGAAUACGAAUAAUAGCGAGACGCACCCAUGGCAUCUCCACGGGCAUAAUUUUUGGGUACUGGGCUAUGGAGAAGGUAAGUGAUCCAAUAAAGUACAAUCUGAUCGACCCAAUUAUGAAGAACACAGCACCUGUUCAUCCUUAUGGAUGGACUGCCUUAAGGUUUCGAUCUGAUAACCCAGGUACCUGGGCAUUCCAUUGCCAUAUAGAGUCUCAUUUCUAUUUGGGUAUGGGAGUUGUUUUGAAGAAGGGGUGGAGAGGGUGGGAAAGCUGCCUUCAUCUAUAAUGGGUUGCGGUAAAGCCAAGGGUCUCCGCCGGUAGUAUCACUACAUGGAGGUAGGUUUAUGGCCACGGCCAGCAGCCCCGGCUAAAAGUAAGACACAAUGCUGAGGCCAGGCGAAUCUAUGGGCAUUGAACAAGCGAAUCUAUCCAUUAAUUUAUAAAUUGAUUUGUUGGUUUCUCAAGAUGCAUAUGGUCCAAGUUGGUCAAAGAGGUGGGUACGUGGGCAUUUAAACACAGUAUCACAUUUAAAACACUAGCAUUUGGGAAUUUCAUAGAAGCUUUUGAUAUCGUAAGAACAAGAGAGAAAGCCAAACUCAAAUCAAUAUGAACAACCAAGUUAAAAAUGUAGCCAGUCAUUUGGUGGUAAAGUCUGAUUACUGAACCACUCCAGCUCUGCAUAGGCUCAGGCUUAUUCAUAGAUGAAACAUAACGGAUAACGUUUUUCAGCAAUGGUAGAAUAUGUUUGGCAAUGAAGUUCUCCUGGAAAAGUCCACCUGAAAAGCCAAAGUUGAAAAUUACCUUUUAAAGCUGCACAUAACAUUUCCAGAAAAAACACCAAUCCCACACCCAAAGAACUGAAAAUACCUACCCUAACCAGCACAUGAGAUAUGGACCAAUUGUACAUUCUUCCACUUUGCAGAAGUUCAUAACCUGGGUCCAUUUCCUCACGGCCCAUACAUUUGGAUGUGAGAGAGGGGCAAAGGAAAACCACAAGAAGAAACUCCUCCGGAAACAGAGCAUAACAGAAAACAAAUAACAAGAUCAACAAAUGAGGCUUCACUUCAUGGGUUAUCAGUGAGCCUGCUAACUAGAAGGGCAAGACCAAAUCAAAUGUAAGCAUGUACGAUAUUCCCAAGCAUCUCACACUAGAGGCAAAACAGAGCAAGAUUCAUCAUCUAUUGAAACUAAAGGGAAUAACAGAGAAAGCAGUAACAACAAGCUCACAUCCAUCCCAAAGAUCAAUAGAAAGAUCAAGAAUAGAGCCUAUUAAACCAGAUCUAAACAAAGUGAGAACCAACAGGGAGGAAAUCAAAAGAUGGAGAAAACAGAAAGUAAUAAAAUAUUUCAUUUUGAUCUUUUCCAAUUCGUUAAAUUACCUCCAUUGUCUAAACUAAAUAAAUAAAUUCUAUACUUCAAUAUUUUCUUUUAAGUCAAACAUAUUUUAUAUUCCCCCAUUCUUUAAAACCAUUUUUGGGAAUUACUAUGUUAUUUCGUUUUAAAAUACCCUCCAUUGUUCUGAAAUUGACUGGGCAAAGCGUAUGGUUGCAUAAAUAAGAGACAAACAUUUGGGGGAUUAGUACAAGCAUACAACCCAUUCCCACAAUUCGCAGUAGCUCCACGUUUCAUAAUCUGUCUCAAAUUCUCAAGUUCUCUAGAGAACGUUGAAGAUGGGUGUGAUGAGAUUUUAUUAGUUAUUAGAAUCCAGAUAUAGGAACUUGUAUUGAUUGGAUACGGAAAGAGAAGACUACUUAUUUUUUUUGUGCUUUGCUAGGUAAGGUAUACCAAGAAAAAAAACCUAUUUAACAAUGUUGAGAAUGUUUACAGUUUAUAAUGAAACUUAGCAAAGAUUUUCGUUUUUCAAACCCUGGUUUGUACCCAGGUCGUUCUAUAUCCAUGUGACUUACUAUUAGAUUAGAUUUCUAUUAGAUUUGAUUUGGGUUGGAGUUUUUUAUUUUUAACUGGGCUCAUGUCAUGAUUUUGACUCCAAAAAUUCACCAGGAUUAGGUAGGUAUACCAAAGCCAAAGAAAAGAAAUAUCACUAACUCUUUGAUUGUGGACAGGAAAAUUCAUAUGUAAUUUACUUACAAAGAUUAAUGAAGAAAAAACAAAAUGAAGAAAAAUUUGUUUGUUUAUCCGAGACUGGAAAAAUACCGAGUGGAUCCAUUGAAAUGCGUUUUUUGUUUUUCAUUUUUUUAUUUUAUAGGGCUUAUUUAUUAUAUUAGGGCUAUACGGACUCGAACCGUAGACCUUCUCGGUAAAACAGAUCAAACUGAUUAUUAUCAAAAUGAUUUGAACUGUUUCAAAGACCCAACAUGCAUUUUUUUUGCAUUGGGCUCUUUCAUUAACUGAUAUAAAUAUCAGUUAGUCCACCAUAUUUUUUCUUAACAGAAAGAUAAAGAGAUGGCUCCAUGUGCUCUGAUUCAUUAUUUUGAUUCUGAUCCAGGAGCACUACCAAAGUUUUUCAAAGAGGGUUAUCUUGACGUAGGUCUGCCUUUGGCCUAGAUCAACUUAAGUUAAAUGGAGUCUCUAUCGUUCUGAUUAAAGAAUCAAAUAUGAAACUUCAUACACCUUAAAGUUCAUAGGACGAAAAGAGAUUUUUUUUGAGGUCCUUAUACUCAUUAGGCCUAGCAUUGAAUAGACUGGGUAUUCACCUUAUCAAUAUCUCAAAAUGAUGGGUUCUAUUUGGCGCUUAAAUUAAAUGGGCACCCAAAUCGGACCGAAUCGUUUGUCAGGCUAUUGUUCUCUUGUUCCCUCAAAGUCAUGGAGUAAGACAUCGAUUUCUCAAUAAGAUCAAUGCAUGAUGGACUCUCUUGAAAAACAUUGGCGCGCGUGUAAACGAGGUGCUCUACCUAACUGAGCUAUAACCCUUGUACUUGUGAUACAUAUUUUAUCAUGUAGAUAAUUUAUUGUCAAGAUGAAUAUUCCAUGAUCCAACAUGAUAACUCUUUGAUCUGUUUGAUUGGUAUUGCUUAUAAAUAAUAUUCUAUUUAUAAUCCAUCGAUGUGAUGGGUUCCAUUUGUUUCUCCUUAGGAUGAUAAAUGACCUACUUAACUCAGUGGUUAGAGUAUUGCUUUCAUACGGCGGGAGUCAUUGGUUCAAAUCCAAUAGUAGGUAGAACUUAUUAGAUACCAGAGUCAAUGGUAUCUAAUAAGUUUUCUACCCACCUUCUUUUAUUGAUUUUGUAUCUUUUCCAUCCUAUUCUAUUUGCUUUUUGGCUUUAAAAUGCAAUUUUAUUUUUCGUUGCAUCAGAAUCCCAUUCCAUUUGAUUGUAUUUGAUUGUAUUCAAUCGGCAGAAUCAAAAUAGGGUGUAUAAACAGAACUUCUUUUGAUUUUUCGGGCACAUGACUAGUUACGAAGUCACAUUGAUAGCCUCUACUCGUGUCCUAGCUCGUCUAAGAGCUAGAUUUGCCUCAAUUAUUUGUCUCUUGCCUUCAGCUUUCCUCAAGUUAGCUUCCGCUAUUUCAAGAGUUAGCUUCCGCUAAACUUAUGAACAUCAUUCAUAAGUUUCUUUAUUUAUUUUCAGUUUCUUGUAAUCAUCGUAAUUUUUUUUAAUAUAAUAUGUUAUCAUAUCCAUCAACAUAUGUUUAACAAAUGUCAAAAUUUUCUCUAUUUAUUAAGUAAAGACUGGUGUAUUUUUUCAAGUUCAAUGUAAUGUCUAAUAUUUUUGAGUAACUAAUUUAAUUAAUUGGUGAAUCUAUUAUCCAUCUCAAUUAGCAUAUUCAUUUUUGGAUUUUUUUUUAUAGGAGUUAUUUAGGAUUUUUUUUUUAAUGUUUUUCAAUUUUCAAACAAACAAUUUUCACGUAAAGCAUUUUGUUUUUUUGUAUUUAGUUGCCAAUAUUGAAUGUAAAAAAUGUGCUUUGAAGUCAACGAUUUUGGGAAUUACUAUGUUGUUUCGUUUUAGAAGAUCCUGCAGUGUCCUCAAAUUGACUGGGCAAAGCGUAUGAUUGCAUAAAUAAGAGACAAACAUUUGGGGGAUUAAUACAAGCAUACAAUCCAUUCCCACAAUUCGCAGUAGCUCCACGUUUCAUAAUCUGUCUCAAAUUCUCAAGUUCUCUAAAGAACGUUGAAGAUGGGUGUGAUGAGAUUUUUGGCUCUGUUUAUUCUUCUCUUUUCAGUACUGAUUUUUCAAGUAGCAGAGGCUAGAAUCAGAAGGUAUAAAUGGGAGGUGAAGUAUGAGUACAAGUCUCCUGAUUGCUUCCAGAAGAUGGUUAUUACCAUCAAUGGACAAAGCCCCGGCCCAACAAUCCUGGCCGAAGAAGGAGACACCGUUAUUGUUGAACUCACAAAUGGUUUGUUGACAGAAAAUGUCGCAAUCCACUGGCACGGUAUCAGACAGGUAGAAAAAAAUAUUAAUAUAUAAUGUCUUCUUUUGUCUUCCCUUUCUGUGCUUAAUUUUGCAGUUCUGAUUGUUUAUCUUCUUGAUUACAGAUUGGGACGCCAUGGUUUGAUGGAACAGAAGGGGUUACCCAGUGUCCAAUCCUGCCUGGAGAGACCUUCACAUAUGAGUAUAAAGUAGAUAGGGUAAGAUUAAUCAGUGGCCUUAACUAAGCCUCUUCCCAACAAGCUUCAUCUCCAGAAAGUUGGAACCAGCACUGUCAAUUAUCUGAUUAUAUUAUUCUCUGGUGUAUACAGCCUGGGACUUAUCUAUACCAUGCCCAUUACGGAAUGCAAAGAGAAGCUGGGCUGUAUGGAUCGAUUCGUGUGUCGGUUGCUCGAGGGAAGACUGAACCCUUUUCCUAUGACUACGACCGGAGCAUCAUCCUCUCUGACUGGUACCAUAAUACCACUUAUGAACAAGUCCUGGGCUUGUCCUCCAUACCUUUUGACUGGAUCGGGGAGCCUCAGGUGAAUACCAACUCCUAAUACUGCUUCCGCCAUGGCAUUCUGGUUUGUUAUGCUCUUCAUCUUCUGAUGUCUUUUCCUCUCUGUCUGCUAAUUUUUCAGUCACUUCUGAUUCAAGGAAAAGGAAGAUACAACUGCUCUCUAGUUUCAAGUCCUUAUGUCUGUAAUGCAACAAGUCCUCAGUGUUCUCCCUAUGUACUCACUGUAGUUCCGGGGAAAACAUAUCGCCUUCGGGUCUCCAGCUUGACUUCCCUGUCAGCUCUCAGUUUCCAAAUAGAGGUUGGUAUAAUUAAUAAAUUCACCGCGGUUUCUUAUUCCUUGCUUCUACUUGUUCAAGUGAUAUUCCUCACAAAAAUAUUGUAACAAUACAUUUUUAAGAGCCCAUCUUAAAUAUAUAAAUACUUUUUAAAGAUUUGGGUUCAAAACAAAACAAUAUCCACAUGCUUGGAGACUAAUUCUCAACUUUGGUGGAGGGGUUUGUUUGAUCUCAUAUGGAGUGUCUAUUUGUUUGAUCCUGUCAUCCAUGAGACAUAAUGAGAAAGGUUUUGAUCCAAAAUGAAGAAUAUCUGUACAGUUAAAAGUGGAUUAUUACAAAAACUAUCCAUGUUCUGAUACGGUUUUAAUUUCUAACGCUACAGGGUCACAACAUGACUGUUGUUGAAGCAGACGGGCACUUUGUGGAACCCUUUGUGAUAAAAAACCUCUUCAUUUACUCAGGGGAGACCUAUUCAGUUCUGGUGAAGGCUGAUCAAGACCCUUCAAGAAAUUACUGGGUCACAACCAGUGUGGUCAGUAGGAACAACACUGUCACUCCUCCGGGCUUGGCCAUCUUCAAUUACUACCCCAACCAUCCCAAGAAGUCUCCCCCAACAGUCCCACCCGCUGGCCCUCUUUGGGACGACGUAGAGCCGCGCAUCAACCAAAGUCGUGCCAUUAAGGCUCACCAUGACUAUGUUUUCCCCCCUCCUCUCACCUCAGACAGAGUAAUUCUGAUGCUUAACACACAGAAUGAGAUCAAUGGUUACAGGAAGUGGUCUGUGAACAAUGUGUCCUUCAACCUCCCACACACACCCUACCUAAUUGCUCUCAAGGAAAAUAUCAGUGGUGUCUUUGAUCCAACCCCUGCUCCAGAUUACUUUGACUUGGAAAAUUAUGAUAUUUAUACCAAGCCAAACAAUUCCAACGCCACGUCUAGCAACUCAAUUUAUAGGCUCAAGUUCAACACAAUAGUGGACAUCAUACUGCAAAAUGCAAACACCAUGGUCGUGAAAAACAGUGAGACACAUCCAUGGCAUCUCCAUGGGCAUGACUUUUGGGUACUGGGCUAUGGGGAAGGCACGUUUAACAUGUCCAGUGAUCCAAGAACCUACAAUCUGAUUAACCCAAUUAUGAAGAACACAGCACCUGUUCAUCCUUAUGGAUGGACUGCCUUAAGGUUUCGAUCUAAUAACCCAGGUGCCUGGGCAUUCCAUUGCCAUAUCGAAUCUCAUUUCUAUAUGGGUAUGGGAGUUGUUUUUGAAGAAGGGGUGGAGAGGGUUGGAAAGCUGCCUUCAUCUAUCAUGGGUUGCGGUAAAUCCAAGGGUCUCCGCGGUAGGCCAUAAUUUUGUUGAGAUAUUAGGAAUGUUUUCCUUAUAUCAUUAUUUCCUUAUAUCAUUUAGUGUUUAGAUAUUAGGAAAGUUAAGAUAUUAUGAAUAUUGAGAUAUUAGGAUAUUAGUUGUUAUUUCCUUAUAUUAUUCUUUCCUUGUAUCAUUCUUUCUCAUUCUUAGAAUGGUGAUUACCCUCUAUAUAUACUCUGUACGAAUGAAAGAAAGUAUGAAUGAAAAACUACCAUUCAUCAAUUUGAACAUGGUAUCAGAGCCAGGGAACUGAAAUCCUGGAUAUUUUGUCGUAAGGCCAACAAUUGCCCCUCCUUUGCGAGAGAAAAAAAAAAAAAAGUGAAAAAAGUACUAUUGCUUUUCAAUCUGAAGGUACUUUCAAUCCAUGAAUUAUUUUGACUGAAUCAAACUAUGACGUUUGGUCAUAACUCGUGGAGAUGCAUAUUGUCGAACGGGAAAAACUUUCCUACAUCCGAGGUAAGACAAAUCCACCAAAAGAGUAAGAAGAUGGAUAUGAAAAAUGGUAUGUUGAGAAUCAAAAGGUGAAGAGAUGGUUGUUAAUGUCCAUGAGUCCAGAAAUUAUGAAGCGUUACUUACGCUUACCCACCGCUCAAGAAAUUUGGAGUACAUUAUCAAAGGCCUUCUAUGAUGGAAGUGAUGAAUUACAAGUUUUCACUUUGAAUCAAAAAGCCUUCACUGCCAAACAAAACGGCAAGUCUCUUUCUGAAUAUUAUGGAGAGUUAACUGAACUUUUUUGCGAAUUGGAUCAUCGGGAUAAGGUAGUCAUGAAAGACCCUGAAGAUAUUGCAGCAUACCGAAAAUCCAUUGAACGACAACGGGUGCACAUCUUUCUUGCUGGAUUGGAUGGUGACUUUGAGCAAGUUCGAGGAGAGAUUCAACGCAAAGAUCCUCUUCCCGAUUUGGAAGAAUGCUAUGCACUGAUUCGACGAGAGGCAGUACGUCAUGCUAGUAUGAAAACAAAAUCUGACAACCCUGACACCUCAGCUAUGGUAGUUCGACAAUAAUUAACCCGAAAUUGGCAGGACCAAUCCAAGACCAACCAUCCUAAGACAGACCCUAAUAUUGAUAAGUCAACCUUCAAAUGCACUCACUGCAAUAAGACUGGUCAUACCAAGAGUCGUUGCUUUGAAAUUGUGGGAUAUCUAGACUGGUGGGAUCACAAUCAUGAUCAACGGAAGAAGGAUUCCAAGAAAACCUCGACUGCAGCUAUUGCCGAAAUAAAAACAGAGGCUAAUGUUGAUGAGAAAGUCUCUGCAUUGAUAGCCGCUACAGAUUAUGGUGGUAAGUUUUUAAAUACUUCUACACCUGUUAUUAAUAAUGCAUGGAUAAUUGAUUCUGGUGCUACAGAUCAUAUGACUUUUGAUUCUAGACAGGUUUCACUCGUUAGACCUUCCUCACAAAAAUUUGUUUCCACAGCCAAUGGUAACACAACCCUAGUCAUUGGGGAAGGAUCCUUAACUCUUAUUGAUACUUUGAAUUUGGAUUCUAUUUUAGUUGCUCCAUCCUUAAAUUACAAUCUUUUGUCAGUUUCUCAAAUCACUGCAGCCUUAUCUUGUAUUGUCAUUUUUUGGCCUGAAUUUUGUGUUUUUAAGGACAUCCAAACAAGACAGACGAUUGGUUUUGGUAUUAAGCGGGGAAAACUCUAUUAUUUGGACUUGCAGUCAAAGGAUUCAAAUAAGUUGCGACAAGCCUUGAUGGCAGAUGGAUCUGAGGGGGAGAAGAAAAAGUCUGAAAUUUGGUUGUGGCAUCGACGUCUGGGACAUGCUUCCUUUGGUUAUUUAAAAAAAUUAUUUCCUAAUUUGUUUGCAAAGAGUGAUAUUUCUGGUUUCCGUUGUGAUAUUUGUGAAUUGGCUAAAAGCCAUCGUGCUUCCUUUCCAUUAAUUUUGAAUAAAAGUCCGUCUCCUUUUAUGGUUAUACAUUCUGAUGUUUGGGGCCCAUCCAAAGUCCCAACUUUGAGUGGUUCGCGUUGGUUUGUUACUUUUAUUGAUGAUUGUACCAGAAUGACAUGGUUAUGCUUGAUGAAGACCAAAGAUGAAGUGAACUUGUUGUUUCAAAAAUUUCAUAAAAUGAUUGAAACUUAGUACAAUGCAAAGGUUCGGGUUCUGCGUAGUGAUAAUGGUGGAGAAUAUCAAAGUUCUGAUUUUCAAAAGUAUUUGGAAGGACAUGGCAUCAUUCAUCAAACUACUUGUUCCAAUACACCCCAGCAAAAUGGAGUCGAUGAACGAAAAAAUCGGCACUUGUUAGAGGUUGUUCGUGCUUCCUUGAUAGCAGCAAAAACACCGAUAUCUUAUUGGGGAGAAGCAAUCACAUCUGCCGUAUACUUGAUCAAUCGGGUACCUUCUAGCUCAAUUAACUUUCAAACACCUCUCCAAGCUCUUAUUAAUGUCGUAGUUGCCCCAACCGUCCCAAAUCUACCUCCUCGUGUUUUUGGUUGUGUGGCAUUUGUGCAUCUACACAAGCACCAACGCACUAAGUUAACUUCCCAUGCAUUGCAAUGUGUGUUUGUUGGAUAUGCAUUGCACAAAAAGGGAUAUCGAUGUUACCAUCUUCCAACUUGACAAAUGUAUAUUACAAUGGAUGUGGUGUUUCAUGAAGAUUCGAUGUAUUUUUCAUCUGAGUCUGAACUUCAGGGGGAGUACCAUAAGGAAAUUCAAACUCUUGAUUAUGAUUAUCAUAUCUCUAAGGAAGAUGAAUCUGAACAAUCUGAACUAGUGAACCAGGAAGUGGGUGAGUUGGAUAUGAGUGGUCAACAAUUUGGAUCCGAAGAUGUCUUCACUGAAAUACCAAACCAAUCAUCGUCUGUUGAGGGUGUUCUUAAUUUGGAACCCGAUCCAUUCAUGAAACGGUUACCACAUCAUCAUAAUAGAGGUAUUCCUAAACCCACAUAUGAACCUGAUUUGUCUACCAAAGUCAAAUAUCCCAUGAGCAACUAUGUGUCUAACCAUCGUUUGUCUGAAUCAAAUAAGUCAUUUGUAAAUCAAUUAUCUACUGUAGUUAUUCCUAAUAGUGUGCAGGAAGCCUUAGUUGAUCCAAGGUGGAAAGCAAGAUUGGUUAGCCGAUAUCCUCACCAAAGCUGUCUCAAGUCAAGUAUUCUCAAAAAUUUUUAGACAAGUUGGGCAUGUGUGACAUCUAUGCACCAACUUGAGGGGGAGUGUUGAGAUAUUAGGAAUGUUUUCCUUAUAUCAUUAUUUCCUUAUAUCAUUUAGUGUUUAGAUAUUAGGAAAGUUAAGAUAUUAUGAAUAUUGAGAUAUUAGGAAAGUUGAGAUAUUAGGAUAUUAGUUGUUAUUUCCUUAUAUUAUUCUUUCCUUGUAUCAUCCUUUCCCAUUCUUAGAAUGAUGAUUACCCUCUAUAUAUACUCUGUACAUGAACGAAAGAAAGUAUGAAUGAAAAACUACCAUUCAUCAAUUUGAACAAAUUUUUCUUCCCAAUUAUCAAGUAAUUGAGGUAAAGUUUAAUUGUAUCACAUUUUCUAUAUUAUGUUUUAGAUGAUACAAAUUCUUUUCAUUCUUGAAUAAUAAAAAUAGUUAGAGACUGUUCACAUGGAUCUUGUAGUGUAAUAUUAAAGAUUCUUUUGAUCAAAAGCUCAGAGUUUGGGGCUGUUGGGGCCAUUGGUACUCUGAAUUUCAUCGUUACCAAAUCCUACUCCUUUAAUAAUGACUGGUUCAGAGGUCAGCGUCCCCUCAAUAUCAAAUUAUCAAUAAAUUUGAUGAGGUGAUGUGGUGAGAUGCGCCCUAGUCAACUCUCCAAUUGCUAUUGUUGGAGUUAGUGUUGCCACUUGUGUAAUUUGCUUGAGACUGUUUAUGUAAUUUGUUUUCCAAGAUGUAUUCGCCAGUUUGGCCUAUUUUGGCUUCAACAAGGGUGAUCUGAAACCAUGUAAAAGAAUUCAAUACUGAAUGAUAUAAACAUUGUGUGUUUUUGUUAAUGUUCAAUAGUUCAAUAUAUAUUGACUAUAGUGUAGUUAAUUAGCAAAUCAAUACCUAUAAUUGUGACAGAAAUGAUAGAGUGAAAGUUCUACAAAAAAAAAACAAAAAACAAAAAAAACUAAUUAUAACAUAUCUAGAAUAUUUAGAAUAAGUGUUCCUACAAUUAUGGUCUAUCGGUGAGAUAUUGGCUCAUUUUAAUACUAAGCUAAUAAUUUUAGUCAUACUUCUUUUUUCUUUGUACAAUACCAAAUUUUAAUCACAUGUAAUCUCAAGCUUCUUGUCAUGCAUAUUUCCUAAGACCAACAUAAACCUUUAGGACUCUUCAUAGGGACCUAAAUCUCGGGAUACUGACCACCCCUAUAACAACCACUACAAGAAAAAAGCCUUUCGUUGACAGUUUUUCACCAUCAAGGUAGGGUAUAUAUGUCAAGGUAUGUUACUAUUUAUAUAUGUCAUCUAUGCCAGUGUCAAGAAAAGUUUAAAGCUAUCUUGACAUUUACAUAUGUCACCUUGACAUUUACAUAUGUCAAGGUUGUUUCUAUUUCUACCAAUGAUCGAAUCUUUGUUAGUAUGACAUAUGUCAAUGUUUCUUUCAUUUUUGUCAAGGUUGGAUUCAACAUAUGUCAAGAUUUUUUGAUCUUAUGUCAAUGUUAACUUGCUUUUCUAUUAAGGUUGCUACAACAAAUGUUAAGAAUAAUAUGUCAAGGUUUCUAGCUAUUGCAAUGUCAAUGUUGGGCAUUGGCCAACUGUCAAGGUUGCCUAUGACAAAUUUAAUAUUAUUUUACUAUAAUUUUUAGUUUUAAUAGAAAAUAAACUUGUUACCAUAUGAAACUUAUUUCCAAAUUAAAUUUGAUACAUAUUUAAUUAUGAUAAUAAUAACUAAGUCCUAAAACAAUGUAAAUAAAUUAUUACUCAAGGGAAAAAAUUAUUAUAGAUACAUUUGAAUACUAACAACACAAUAGAAUAAAUCUUUUUCUACUUACUCUCUAUUUUCUAUAUACAAAAAAAAAAAAAAUUACAAAUAUUCAAUUAAGAUAAUAUACAAACUUAAAUUGAAAAGUACAAUCCUAUCUUCGUAAGAGGUGGUCACUAAUUCUUCAUCAUCUUCUUCUUUUUUGCUAUAUUUCUUGAAUACCUAGUAGGAUAGACACACAUUAAUAGAAAAAUAAGAAACAAGUAUCAAAAUACCAAUUUUCAAAUUAUAAGGUACUUUCAAUUGCAAGAAUACAUCAAACAUAUAUACAAUUUGUAGAUACCAUAUCUCUAGCAUUAAUCUUCAAGCACCGCCCUCUAGAAAGACCCUAAAAUUGCCAAUACCUCUAUCUCAAACUUAUGAUAGAAAAAAUAAACGAUGUUAAGAAAAUGAAAAGCUCAAAUUAAGAAAUUAGAUAUCUAACUACAAUAAAAUAUUUUUAAGAUUGCUCAAUAACCUAUCUAUAAUAUAUGUUGCGUUAGAAACAAAACAAAAAUGCAAACAUUAACCUUCAACAAUCAUAUCGAAAACCUUUUCUUCAAAUGUGAAUACCACAUCGAAUGGCCCAUCAGCAACAUUAUCUUGCUAGCGCUGAGGUGUGGUUUUGAUUGAUGAAUUCCUUUUAAGCAUUGGCAGGAUGCCAUUAUGCUUGUAGAUGUGUUGUCAUUAAGGUUUCAUUUUGCUUUAAGGUUCCAAGCAAAUCAAAUAAUCAUUAGCAAGAAUUUAAAAAUAAUAAUAAAAAAAAAUAAAAAAUAGUAUUGAUUUCUAUACAAGAAUUAAGAGCUUCCUUUAGUUUCUGGUUUGUCCUAGUCUCCAAUAUGAACAUUAACAAUAAACCCCAAUACAACCAUAUUUUGUCAACCAAAGGGGUUUAAGGUUCUAUUCAGGAACUUUACACAAAUUUCAAUAUAAAACAAAUACUCAAAUGCUUUGUUCGAUCAACAAGAAAACAUGCUAAAUUUUGAGUUUUAGAUUCAUAGCCUAACAAAAUGAUUUGUUUUAAAUUUCACAUCACUUUCAAUUAAGCUUAACACAAUUAUCUAGUCUAAUUGCAAGUUUUCAAUUUCCCCCUUUGGUGGAGACCAAAAAAGAAAACAAAAAGAAACCAUUCAAAACAAAUUUUCCCCCAUCUUCUCGACUAUCAAACAGAGGACAAGCUAAAUUUACAUCGUCCACAACCUUUAGCAUGGUCCACAUUAGGUAGUCUUUCACAAAAAUGAAAAAAUUAACCAAACAAAAAUACAAACAGAGCAAUGCAUCAAACAUCUAUAAAAUUCCUCAUUUGGAUAGUGAGAAAAUGUAAGCAAAUAUUUUUUUUAAAAAAUAUCAUAGUCAUGAUCCAAAUAUCUUUCAACCGCCUUUAAAGAACCACCACACAACCCAUUUGGUUAAAAAAAAAAAAAAAAAAAAUUCUUUUUCUUUUCCUCGCUAAUGUUUUUUUCUUGGGAAACAAACAGGAAAACCUAGAAAUGGAAGAAAGAUGAUACAGGUCGGGGUCUUUGCGGCAGAGAUCAUCGAACAUGUACCAACAAUUGAGAUGAAACCAACAAACUAUAGCAUCAAAUUGGAACCAAAUGCCUCAAUACCUACAACAAAUGAAAUCGAAUGAGUUUAGUAGUCAACGUAAGCAUGAUCAAGUAGUAAAAUGUUACAUCUAACAUCAAUGCAGCCCCCACAAAAUUCAUGUUACGACACUCUUAAUAUUGAUUCCAAUGCUCUCCAAGAUGUAAUUUAAUAGUCAUAUCAGCAGAUUUAGAUCAACUAUUGGUGCUCAUGUUUGGUUCCUUGAAAAUGCGGGAAAAGAUAAGAAUAAGUUUUGAAUCCAAGAUUUCUCAUCAUUUGGGACUUGAGAAAGCAAUUAUUUCCACUCAACUACGCCUGAUUGACUAUUUGAUUCUGCUGAGGUGGGUUUUUUUUUUUCCAUUUUUUUCAAAAUUGAGACAGUGUAAAACUUGUGAUUCAAAAUUUUCUUUUCCUCUGUUUUCUCCACUAUCCAUGAAAAAGUAACAACAGAAAAUUCUGUAUUCCUUGUUGUAAUACCUUUAACAAAUUCUAAAACAGAGAAAUAACAAUCAAAAAUCUAAACUUUCAUGUGAUUAUAUUAAAAAAUGUUAAACAAAAACAAAAUCGAAAAGCCCAAUAGCUUCAGUAGCAAAUAAAGUAUAACACCAGAAGGAAUGAACAACAUAUUUGCAAAAAGAAGAUAGAUUAGAAGAGACAAACCGUGAAACUUAAAACCCAUUUAGAUUAAAGCAAAACACAAACUGAUAAUUCGAUCCAAAAAAUGAAAAAAAACGUAGAGACACCAUAGAGAGAUUAAACCAAAAACCCAACCCAAUUCGUCACUGCAACAAAGUCAAAGCACAAGAAACCAAAACCCCAAUUGGGAUUGAACUGAUCAGACACCCAAAUGAUCACAGACAUCAAAAACCCAGAAAAUCUACCUGAAAAAAAGGGGUUAAAAUUGAAGCAUGUGUCCUCAAAAAAAGACGAGAGAGAGAAAGAAAGAAAGAAAUAACAACAAGAACAUGAGCCUUUCCUUACCUAUAAUUCUCAAAGAUGGAAAAAGAAAGUCCACAGAGCUUAACGUACGCCCCCGUCCCGUAGGAUGACAUGUCAAAUCCUUACUUCUUGAGGAGGGAGUAAGCCUUCAUGCUUCGGUUCUGGUUUGAAGAACACACCAUGGCAGACCGGAACACACCAUGGUGAAGAUGGGAAGGUGAGAGAAAGAGAGAAACAACGAUCGAUCGGUAGCGUCACCGCCGGUGACAACUGAUAGUCGCGAUAUUGUUGAGAUGGGUGAGGCGCAUGGGUAUGGAGAGAGAACUGGGAAAGAAAAAGGAGGAAAGAAAGAAGAAAAAAAAAUGGAGAGUGGCGGUGGCAGAGAAGUGGGAGAGAAAAAUAUGAUCUCUUAGGGUUUCUUUGAAAUGAAUGGUAGAUAUGUGAUUAGAAAAUAAAUGGUCCAGAUUUCACCAACAUUAGUCUUAUCACACCAAAAUUUAAAUUCUUUUUCUAUGAGUCAACUUUAUGAGAAUCAAUAUAUGGAAUAUAUUUAUAACUUUUAUAAUGUCAAUUUACCAUAAUUAAUUUUCUUCUUUCCUAAUGUCUAAAUUUGUAUGAGUUAACUUAAAAAAUAAAAUUUUGAAACUUGAUAUUAUGCCGAACAAUUGAUAAAUCAAAAUUUCAAAUAUCUUAAUUUUCAAGCUUACACAAAUUUAGUAAUUAUUUUUAAAUCAAAUACAAGUUAAUUACUAAUUUAAAAAUAAUUAAAAAUAGUUUGUGAAAACAAGAUUAUAUUAAUACAGACUAAAAAAAAAUCAUUAACAUCAAUGAAUAAAAAAAUAGUUUAUUAGUAUUGAUUUUAUUUAUAUCCAGUUAUAAAAAAAACCAUAAUGUAGCAAAUUUUAUUUCACUAAAAUUAGUGAAUAAAAAAUUAUUUAUAAAAAUUUAUUUCAGUGCUAUUGAUAUAAACUAAAAAAUUAUUUAAUCAAUUUGAUUAAAAAAAAAUGAAAAUUGAUAUUAACAUUACUAAAAAAAUUUAUUAAAUAAACAUUGACUUCCUUAAUCAAAAUUUAUUGUUGUCACUUCAAUUUAUAAUACUUAGUAAGUAAAUUAGAUAUACACAUAUCAAACAAAUUAUUAUCAUUAUUGCUUUUAUUUAAGUACCUUGAAUACAUUGACUUAUAAAUUAUCUGUCAAGAUUCUAUUAUAUAAGUCAUAAAAGAAUUCAACAAAUUUUAUUUAUGUCAUUAUUGGUUUAAACAAGUUAUAUAUGUCAUAGUUGUUCAUUUAAAUAGGCAAUAUUGACACAUAUCACCUUAAGUCAAGAUAAUAUAUGUCAACAAUGACCAUUUUUCUUGUAGUGAACUAGCACCGGAUAAAUUUAAGGUACCAUUAAUGACAUAAUUCGAACCCAAUACCAUAUGCAAUUUAGUGGAACCACACUUCCUAGUUUAUGUUCUGACCAACUAGGCUACCUUGACGAGUAGAAAACAAGUACACAUAACCUCAAGCUUGCUUCUUAAGUCAACGCCAAACAUAGAGCUAUCAUAAACUUGAGCAUAUUUCUUAAAAAAGACAUCGAGUCUCACUUCAUAAACUAUCAUUCUAUUAGAAAGUGAAAUUAUUGUCCAUGUAACAAAUACCUUCUCUAUCUUGGAGACUUGAACAAUGAUUUAGUUAUUAUACAUAAAACUUCAAUGAUUUCAUCUGAAAAUCAAUUAACUAUAUUAAAAUCAAGCUAAUUCUCUUUUAUGUUGCUAUAGGUGGAAUGUAUCUGUGGCCGCAACUAGAUGCCCUGAUUUGCAAAUGGUUGCGUCUUUGCGCUACUAUAGGUAUGUGAAAUGCACAGCUACUUCAUUCUGCUGAUUUGAGAAGAUCCAAAACAAAAUUUAGAUGGUAUUAGAGUUAAUUCUCAACUCCAAUGUAGGAAUUUGUUUGGUUUCAUAAAGAAUGUUUAUUUGUUUUAUUAUGCGAUCCCACAAGACAUAGUGAGAAUGUUAUAUUUACAUGGGAUAUGAAGAAAAAAAUCCCUGCUGUUAUAUACCUAUGAACCCCUAUUAAUUAUGUAAAUGUGUUUUAAGACGUGAAGAGAUUUUGAGUCCAAAAUGAAGAAUAUCUGCACAAUUAAAAGUGGAUUAUGACAAAAACUAUCCAUGUUCUGAUACGGUUUUAAUUUCUAACGUUGCAGGGUCACAACAUGACUGUAGUUGAAGUAGAUGGGCACUUUGUGGAACCCUUUGUGAUAAAAAACCUCUUCAUUUACUCAGGGGAGACCUAUUCAAUUCUGGUGAAGGCUGAUCAAGACCCUUCAAGAAAUUACUGGGUCACAACCAGUGUGGUCAGUAGGAACAACAUUGUCACUCCUCCGGGCUUGGCCAUCUUCAAUUACUACCCCAACCAUCCCAACAAGUCUCCCCCAACAGUCCCACCCGCUGGUCCUCUUUGGAACGACGUCGUGCUGCGCCUCAACCAGAGUCGUGCCAUUAAGGCUCACCAUGACUAUGUUGCCCCCCCUCCUCUCACCUCAGACAGAGUAAAUCUGAUGCUCAACACACAGAAUGAGAUCAAUGGUUACAUGAGGUGGUCUGUGAAUAAUGUGUCCUUCAACCUCCCUCACACACCCUACCUAAUUGCUCUCAAGGAGAAUAUUAGUGGUGUCUUUGAUCCAACCCCUGCUCUAGAUUACUUUGAUUUGGAAAAUUAUGGUAUUUAUACCACGCCAAACAAUUCCAAUGCCACGUCCAGCAACUCAAUUUAUAGGUUGAAGUUCAACACAACGGUGGACAUCAUAUUGCAAAAUUCAAACACCAUGAACAAGAAUAACAGUGGGACGCAUCCAUGGCAUCUCCAUGAGCAUGACUUUUGGGUACUGGGUAUUAUGAAAAAGAAAUAGAGUAUAAGAAAAAAGAGAAACAGAGUAGAGAAUGAAAGAGAAGAAGCAACAGAAUGCUCUGUAUCGUUCGCAUUCAUCAUCUGAAAUAUGUGUAGGAAAGCUCUAGAUAUAGGAGGCUGGAAACAAAGAAUGUUAUAACUAAUCUGAAACUAAUCUGUAGCUAACCUGUAACUAAUUCCAGCUCAUCCUCUUAUAAUUGUUUAACAAACUAACAGAAUCUUAUUUCUCAUAGUUAAGAGAACUUUAAUACUCCCCCUCAAGAUGGAGAAUGAAUAUUAUGAGUUCCCAUCUUGUCAAGUAAAAGUGUGAACUGUGUUGGAUGGAGGGCCUUUGUUAAUAGGUCUGCUACUUGAUGUUGAGAAGAAACAUGAAGUGUUUUCAAUCUGCCAUCUUGGACCUUCUCCCUUACUAAGUGACAAUCAAUUUCAAUAUGUUUUGUUCUUUCAUGGAAAAUAGGAUUUGCUGCUAUGUGCAAGGCAGCUUGAUUAUCACAAAACAACAAUGCUGGUUGUGGAUGAUUUAUGUGCAAAUAUUUGAAUAAGGAAAACAUCCACAUUAAUUCACAUGUAGCAUUUGCCAUGGAACGGUAUUCGGCUUCAGCAGAUGAUCUAGACACAGUGUGUUGUUUCUUUGACUUCUAAGAGAUUAAGGAAUCACCAAUGAAAACACAAAAUCCACUAAUUGAUCUCCUGGUAUCUGGACAAGCAGCCCAAUCAGAAUCUGCAAAGGUUUUCAAUUCUAUGGUAGAUGAAGAGGAAUAAAAGAGACCUUGACCAACUGUAGCUUUAACAUACUGUAAAACAUGAUAUGCUGCUUGUAGAUGAGGAAUCCGAGGCUUGGCAAGAAACUGACUCAACCGAUUAACAGAAAAUGAUAAAUCUGGUCUUGUUAUUGUAAGGUAAAGUAAUUUACCAAUCAUUCUUCUAUAUAUAGAAGGAUCAUCAAGUAAAUCUCCUUCAUCUUGUGAGAAUUUAACAUUUGGAUCCAUAGGAGUCUUUCUAGUUUUGCAGCCAAGAUAUCCUGUGUCAGACAAGAGUUGCAAAGCAUAGUGUCUUUGACUAACAGAAAUUCCUUUAGAGGAUCUACCAACUUCAAGACCAAGGAAAUAUUUCAGAUUUCCUAGAUCUUUAAGUUUAAAAUAGCCAUUAAGAAACUUCUUCAACUCAUCCACAUUUUCUUGAUCAUUACUUGCUAUGACGAUGUCAUCAACAUAAACUAGUAAUGCAAUGAAAGAAUUGCCAUUGAUCUUAACAAAUAGGGAAUUGUCAGAAGCUGAUUGUUUAAAACCUGUGCUGACAAGAACACUAGAGAACUUAGAGAACCAUUGGCGAGAUUCUUGUUUUAGCCCAUAAAGGGACUUGUGAAGUUUGCAAACAGUGUUGAUAGGUAAGGACUCCCUCUCAUGGUAAAGACCAGGUGGUAAAGACAUGUAGACUUCCUCAUGAAGAUCACCAUGCAAGAAUGCAUUAUUGACGUCAAGCUGAGUGAGACUCCAGCCAUGAACAGCAGCUAGAGCAAGAAGAACCUUAACAGUUACCAAUUUUGCAACGGGAGAAAAAGUGUCAAGGUAAUCAACACCUUCUUGUUGAGUGUAGCCUUUGGCUACCAAACGGGCUUUAUAUCGUUCAAUGGUUCCAUCAGCUCGAUACUUGAUUCGGUAAACCCACUUGCAUCCAACAGUGUGUUUACCAGGAGGUAGUGUGGUCAAUGACCAAGUGCUAUUUUCUUUAAGAGCUCUCAAUUCUUCAGACAUUGCUGCUUGCCACUCUGGAAUAACUGCAGCCUCAGCAUAAGUAGUAGGCUCAAAAUUUGAAGAAAUGGCAUUAACAAGAGUUGUGUGAGGGGUGGAUAAUUUAUGGUAAUCAAGUACUUGAGAUAAAGGGUGGCAAGUGAUUGCGAAGCAAAAGAAGUUGAGGAACAAUGAUAAUCUUGAAGGUAAGAAGGUGCUCUCCUAAACCGGGUGGGACGAUCAAGAGAUAAUGAAGUUGGACUAAAAAAAGGAUUUGUUGAAUCAUUGGAAGAAAUGGAAAUAGGAAGUGGAAGAACAAGAUCAGAGAAAAAAUCAAAAUGACAGGGUUGUGAGUCAUCAUUUUGGAAAGGAAAUAUCGACUCAUGAAAAAUGACAUCACGGGAGAUGAAAGUGGCAUUGGUGGACAAGUUAAGUAGUUUAUAGGCCUUAUAACCAGGGGGAUAACCAAGGAAUACAACUUUAAUAGCACGAGGUGAAAAUUUUGUACGAGAAUGGUUCAAAGUGGAAGCAUAGCACAAACAAUCAAAGGCCUUAAGAUGAGAAUAUGAAGGUUUCUUUUUAAACAACAACUCAAAUGGGGUUUUGUUGAUCAAUAAUGGUGAAGGAGUGAGAUUAAUAAGAUAAACAGCUGUGAGAAUGCAAUUGCUCCAAUAAGGCAAAGGUAAGUUUGAUUGAAAGUGCAAAACCAGAGCAACAUUCAAAAUGUGUUGAUGUUUCCGUUCCACAACAGAGUUUUGUUGUGGAGUUUCAUUACAAGAAUGAAAUGACAAAAUUCCUUGGGCACGAAAGAAAUCAGAAAAGACCAAUUCAGGUGCAUUAUCUGAGCGGACAGACUUUAUUUUCACAUUAAAUUAAGUCUAAAUAAGAGUAAAAAAAUUUGGAAAAACAACAAAAACUUCAGAUUUUGCACGUAGAAAAUAUUCCCAAGUAAAUCGUGUACAAUCAUCAACAAUGGUUAAAAAAUAACGAUAUCCCUCAGUGGUGAUUGUAUGAAAAGGACCCCAAACAUCAAUGUGAAUCAAUUGAAAAGGAGAAUUUGAUAAAUUGUUUGAAGACAUAAAUGGCAAACGACGUUGCUUUGCCAAAUGACAUAUUGAACAAUGAGAUGGAGUCUCAGAAAUAUGAGAAAUAUUCAAAUCAUCCUUUAGAGUAUGAAUUUUUGCAUAUGAUGGGUGUCCCAAACGAUAAUGCCAAAGUUCAGUUGAGGAAGAAGAAAAAUUAUUACAAGUUGCUGAAAUGUCAAAUGAUUGAGACACUAAACUGGAAAAAUCCAAGACAUAGAGGUUCCCGUGUCUUUUACCCAUCCCAAUCAUUUUGGCCUGUGAAUGGUCCUGAAUAAGACAAGAAUGAGAGAGAAAAUUAACAGAAUAUUUAUGGCUUUGUGUAAGAGCACUGACGGACAAAAGAUUAAAUUGAAAUUGAGGCACAAAAAGAACAUCAGUCAAGGUGAUAUGAGGUGACAAUUGCACAGAUCCUAUUCUACUAAUUGACACCAAGUGACCAUUAGGAAGAGUAACGGAGGAAUUUGAUGCUGGGACUGAUGAAACAAAGGAAGGUAAAGAGCAACAGACAUGAUGAGUAUCACCUGUGUCCAACACCCAAGCCGAGGAAUCAAGGGAAUUGGGAAAAGAAACUGAAGAAAGGGAGAAUAUACCACUGAAACUGGAGACUGAUGGUCCAGGCUGCUGCAAUUCAGGAGUAGCAGGAGUAUUGUCAUGGAGCUGAGAGCUCAAAAGAGCAAUGAGUUGUUGACAUUGAGCUGGAGAUAGUGAAGCAAGUGGUGAAUCAGCUGUAGCAGAGGCUUCAGUGGUUCUAGAACUAGUUUGAUUUGCUUGAGCUUUAGCAUGAGGAUUCUUGGAUUUGAAUUUAUAUCCAGGUGGAUAUCCAUAGAGUUUAUAACACUUAUCAACUGUGUGACCUAAAAUUCCACAAUGAGAGCAAGUGGGUCGAUCCUUCUUAGGCUUGGAAUUCAAUCUGGCAGCUGAAAUUGCAACAGUGGAAUUGGAAUCAUUUGCAGCUACUGAAUCAGGCGGAGUAUAGAGCCCAUAAUUAAUGGAGCGUUGUUGUUCAUCUUGUGCAACUAGUGAGAAAACUUUAGCAAUUGGAGGAAGAGGUUCCAUCAUUAAGAUCUGAGAACGUGUUUGCACAAAAGAUUCAUUGAGGCCCAUAAGAAAUUGCAUCACAUAUUCCUGCUGCUGAAAUUCCAUCCAAGUCUUCAUAGUACCACAAGCACAUUCUGGAAGGGGCUGGAAACCCUUAAGCUCAUCCCAAAGAAUUUUCAGUCGGGUAUAGUAAGUACUUACAUCCAAGGAUCCUUGACUUAAAGCUAUAAGAUGUUUUUUGAUUUGAAAAAUUCUUGGACCAUUACUUUGACGAAAUCUAUCCCGAAGAUCAUUCCAAAUUCCCAUAGCGGUAUCAAAAUACAAAAGGCUAUCGACUAUGUCCUUAUGAACAGAAUUGAGAAUCCAAGAAAUUACCAUGCUGUUGCAGCGAAUCCACGUACCAAAAAGAAGAUCAUCAGAUUCAGGGCAAGGAAUACUCCCAUUAAUAAAACUGAUUUUAUUCUUGGCAGUGAGUGCCAUAACCAUGGCUCUGCUCCAAGUAUUAUAGUUAGCACCAGUGAGAUGAUGGGAAACGAGAACAAUACCAGGAUGAUCUGAAUUGUGGAGGAAAUAAGGAUUGGUUGAAUCUUCCAUAGAUGAUAAUGAGUUAGGAACACCGGUGGUAACCCGAUUGAUUGUGCUUCCUCGAGUCAUUAGAGAUGAAAGAAGACAAAACAGAGUAUGGCGAGCAAGAGCAAUUGCUCUGAUACCAUAUUAUGAAAAAGAAACAAAGUAUAAGAAAAAAGAGAAACAGAGUAGAGAAGGAAAGAGAAGAAGCAACAGAAUGCUCUGUAUCGUUCUCAUUCAUCAUCUGAAAUAUGUGUAGGAAAACUCUAGAUAUAGGAGGCUGGAAACAAAGAAUGCUAUAACUAAUCUGAAACUAAUCUGUAGCUAACCUGUAACUAAUUCCAGCUCAUCCUCUUACAAUUGUUUAACAAACUAACAGAAUCUUAUUUCUCACAGUUAAGAGAACUUUAAUACUGGGCUAUGGGGAAGGCACGUUUAAUAUGUCCAGUGAUCCAAGAACCUACAAUCUGAUUAACCCAAUUAUGAAGAACACAACACCUAUUCAUCCUUAUGGAUGGACUGCCUUAAGGUUUCGAUCUGAUAACCCAGGUGCCUGGGCAUUCCAUUGCCAUAUCAGUCUCAUUUCUAUAUGGGUAUGGGAGUUGUUUUUGAAGAAGGGGUGGAGAGGGUGGGAAAGCUGCCUUCAUCUAUCAUGGGUUGCGGUAAAGCCAAGGGUCUCGGCGGUAGGCCAUAAUUUUUCUUCCCUAUUAUCGACUAAUUGAGGUAAAGUUUAAUUGUAUCACCUUUUCUAUAUUAUGUCGACGAUAAUACGAAUUCUUUGUAUUCUUGAAUGAUAAAAAUAGUUAGAAAGUGUUCACAUGGAUCUUGUAGUCCUGAAACACUUGUAAUAUUGAAGAUUCUUCUUACCAAAAGGUCAAGAGUUUGGGGCUGCUGGGGCCACCGGUACUCUGAAUUUCAUCGUUGCCAAAUCCUACCGCUUCAACGAUGACUAGUUCAAAACUCAACGUCCCCUCAAUAUCAAAUUAUCAUUGUCAAUUUGAUGAGGUGAUGUGGAGAGAUGCGUUAUCAACCUAAUAUUUAGAAAAAGAGGGGUUUUAGCUACUCGCGAAUAGGUUAAAUUUUUUCCUACUUUUAAAAAAAAGUUGUGUUCUUAUGUCAUAUUCCUUUCCUUGUAAAUAUUGUUCUCCUUGUUCCAAUAGAUCCAAUAAAUAUUGAUCUCCCUUAAUUAGGUCUAUAGUUAAUUAUGAUCCGACUCAUGUUAAGAAAUAAUUCAAGCAUAAUUCGACUUUUAAAACGAGGUACUCAAUUCAAAUUCAAUCUUUUUUUUAAAAAAAUAAGGAUAACUAGAUUUGACUCAAAUUAAUCAAGUUGUAUUUAUUUUUUUAUAUAUAUUUAUAUCAAAAAUUAAAUAGUAAAUAUGAAAAAAAUAAGAUAAUAGCGAAAAAGUAAAAUUAAAAAAAUUUAGAAAGUAUAUGAUAUAACUAUUUUUGACAAUUUUCAUUAAAAUUUUUUGAAAAAUAAAAUUAAUAUUAUUAUAUAAGAUAAUACAAGUUAUAACUAUUAUCAUAAUAUUACAUCAAAUUGUUAUGUUCAGAUUUCUUGAAUUAUGACUCGAUCAAAUCUAAUUCAAAUUAUGUCGAGGUUUGUAAAUACUUACUCAAAUCUAAUCAAAGGUUGUGAUAGGUUGAGCUAAUCCACCCUAAUUGCACCUUUACUAAAAUCAAUUAAAUUACAAAAUAAUUAUUAAAAAAAUAUUUCUUUAUUAUGGUUACAACUUCUUUGAUAUAUAUAUAUAUAUAUCAUACAGAAAGAAACACACCAUUGUACAAAUAUAAAAAAUAUUAUACAUCUUUUCUUUGUAAAAGCUUAGGACAUCUAUAGGGCCUUUUUCUUAAUGGUUCUAAGCAAUUGCAAGAUCAAAAUUGUGUAGAAAAAUACAUUAAUCUUUCAGUGUUAUUCCACAUGAAGCUGUGGCAAUUGCGCCUUGUCAUAAGCUGAAUCAUCUUCACUAGAUGGUAGUGCUGGCAAUUUGACGUGACUUUCAUUUGCUGAUGUGGUAUUAUUGUUGGGAUAAUCGAACCGGUGCCAUCUCAUGCUGCCAUGACAAGUGGAUAUUAUGUGGAUUUCAAACAAUUUUAAGUAAAAAAAAAAAAAAAAACAGUUUAUUAUCAUAGAAGGAGGGUAUGAAGCUUGAGGCAUGAGGGCCGAGAGGAGUUCAGUUGACUUGUAUGAAUGAUGCCAUGGUGGAAGGCCCUCACCGCCCGAGUUGUUGAUGUGACAUCCUCCAAUGUUGAUUGGGUCCACAUUGAUACUUGUUCCAUGGCCCAGAUUUGUAAAAUAUUUACAUAAUCACAUAGAUUAAUCAUACAUGAUUAAAGGAUACUAACAAUAGGAAAUCACUAUAAAGAACAUACAUGUUUGAGCCAUAAUAAAAAACCGUGAUUGAUUGUUGCAACUAAAUCUUCCUCUCUAUAAUCUUGAUAACAGCUAUGGUGGUUUUAUAGGAAAACAGAAAAACAGAAAAACUUUUUUUUAUCUAAAUUAGAGAGGGGACUUAGCAUAACUCAAAUUGGAUUCUCAUUGGGCCCUCCCAUAAUGGGCUUCAAUGAGAUCCAAAGCUUGUACUUGUCACUUAACUGAGCUUCUACUCAAAAUAUGUAAAACUCAAUCCAAAAUGUGAUCACUAGUUAAUUGGGUUCAUUAUGUAAUAGACUAUCCAUUAACCCGUUUUUGCAAAUACGAAUUAUUCAAUUAAUGUUAGCUCAUAUAAAAAAUUUUCCAACAUGAUUAUCAUAGACAUUCGUCGAUGGGUGGUUUGUGGAAAAAAAAAAACAAAAAGCAAUUUUAGGCGGCUUUUUAAAUUUGGAGUAAGGAAAAUCCAACAAAAAAUAUUAAUAAAAAAAUAAAGAAGAAAAAAAAAUGAAAAAAAAUAAAUAAAUUAAAUAAUUCAAUUACCAGCUUCUUCAAUCUAUCUUCCUGUUUUUCAUUUUUUUUUAGGUAGAACGAAAAAACCUUGAUCAUUCCUGUUAUCGGCUUCUAUCGGCUUCCAUGGCUUUUCGACGUUCAUGCCAAGAAAUAAAUCUUUGCAGUGGUGUAAUUCCCACAUAGGACGCCAAUGUAGAUACCAGUAACCUUAUUUUCCCAUUUGCAUGGCCGGGUAUUUCCACGUGAUUGGUGUUUUUAGUGGAUUUCAACUUUUACAGAUUGCUUUUUUGACUUCUUGGUACAAGCCAAUUGGUGGCAUGAAAUGUACAUCUCGGAAUCUCCCCCGUUAUCUGGUCUUGUAAGUUGAUCUCUUUUGGGGUUGUGGUGGGUAGGUGACCCGAUUGGGGUUAACCGACUGUUGUACCUCCAGUAAUGACAUUUUUAGACAAUGGUGAGAUAAGGCUUGGAAUUGGUGUUUGGUAUUUUGAUCUUGCACGUUGUUUGGUGAAACCCUUUUUAGAUGACUCAAUGGGCUUGGGUUGAUUAACAUAUUUAUCAAUUGAUUUUAUUGAUUAAGAGUAUGGUAAUAUUUCUCUUAGAAAUAUUUUAGUGAAAGUGUUUUUUUAUAAAAUAUUUUUAAGAAAAUUAUCUAUUAAGUAUGUCUUCAAAAUGCAUUUUUAAGUGUUUUUUAAAUUUUUUAAAAAUGUUUUCAAAAUUUUAUCAAACAUCCAUUUUUCUUUUUCAAAAUUAUUUUAAAAUUAGAAGUGCUUUUUUAAAAAAACUAUCAACAGACUCUAGAUUCCCGUGUUGAGAAGAUUUCUCAUGCUUCAACGAAUUAAGUAUAAACAUCAUACAAAAAACCCUUCAAAAUUCCAUCAAGAAGUAAAUUGAAUUUGGUUAAAAUAAAUCCAAACCAGCAUAAUCUCCUAGGAUAGGUGAAAUUUUUUUACAUAUGGGUUAACUUUAUUCACUUUCCCUAAUUUUGAAUUAAAUUCAUCUAAUCACCAUUUACUUGAAAUUUCAUCAAAUAUUUUUUUUUUUAUUUGUUAUUUUUAUUGAUUUAUUAUUUAAUUUAAAAUAAGAAAAAUAUUUGAUAAAAUUUCAAGUUGACGAGGACUAAAUUUAUUUAGUUCAAGGAGGGUGAAAUUUACCAUUUUAAAUGGUAAUGCAUCAUUUCUAAUUUCAAGAAUCAUUACAUGUGGAUAAUACAAUAGAUGAUUAAAUAUGACAAAGUCAAAGAAAAAAGUGAGUAGGAUGCCAAUGCAUAGAAGCUACUUGACCCAUAAGGUUAAAGGUACAUUAGCCACCCAAAAUGGGCUGAGUUUCUUAGUCUGAGUCAUUCUCCAUACCCACUUUGGGCCAAGUUCGACUAGGCCCAAAGGCGAUAUCCAGGUCGACUUACGACCCAAUCCUAUCUUGGUUUGGGCCUUGGCAAGCUCGGGUUAGGCUUGCUAUUUUUUUAUUUAUAAUGUAAAAAUGGUUUAAAUAUUCUUCGUGUUUCUAAUUUAUGUUCAUUACAUCUUUUGAAAAAAAAAAAUCAAAAUACCAUAAAUUUGUUUUGAAAACAACCCAUUUUUAAAACAAAUUCUCCAAAAAUAAAAAAUUGCUUUAAGUAAAAGAUUUGUCGAACUUGUUUUAUAAGUUACAAAAGUUUUUUCUAUUUUAAAAAAUAAAAAGUUGUUUUAGUUUUCAAACAAACUCAUCAACCAAAUAAGAUGAAAUAUUAAAUAAAUAAAUAAAUUUAAAUAUAUUUUCUUUGUUUUUUUAAGCAAUGUGUAGACCCCCACUUUGGGAGGUAAUUGUUGUAGCAAAUUUUGCCAGGUGGAGCAGCUUUAAGAGGCCGCGUGGUGCCUCUUGACAGGCUGCUGAAGGAUCAAGUAGUGGAUUUGAGAGGCAAACCAGGUGGUGACACCUGUAAAGUGAUUCUUCAGGCAGUUAUGAGAUAUUUUUUUAGGACUGCCAGCUGCAUGAGUGAGGGGAGGUCGUCUGGCCGUUGGAGGAUACCUUUUUCCUGCCAGCUGCAGGGUAGUGGAGAAGAGGCUGGUCUGGGAGCAGGCCGUGGGAGAUAUUUUUUGGGGGAGUUUUUUUUUGGAGAGGGGGAUUCAUCUUUCAGAGGAGGAAAAAAAGUUGAGGGGGGAGAGAGGAAAAGAGAGGACGGCUACAGGAAGAGUUUUUUAGGGGACUUUCUCUGGGAAAGCUACUAGAGAGAGAAGGAAGCUCGCGGGAGAGAGGGGUAAGCUUUGGAGAGAACUAGGGAUGGAAGGGGGGAGGAGUAGCAGAGAGGUGAGUUUUUGGAGAGCUUAGAGAGAGAUAUUUUUUUAGGGCAUUGCUUGACAAGCAAGCCGGACAGGAGAAUAAGUUUUCUUAGAGCUUGAGGAGAGCUCAGAGAGAAAACCAAGGGGAACUUGCUGGUGAGAAUAGGAGGGGAUAUCUUUUCUUUUCUAGAGGUAGCAGAGUGGAGAAGAAACAAGUUUGAAGGUAAGCAUCUCGGGAGUAAAAGGACUUCCUCAGGUAUGAUUGCUACAGGCUUAUUGAUUGUUUUUGGCUGUUUAUCACUCUCCUAUGUCUCUUGUUGAUAUUUGAAUAUUUGUUGAUUUGCUUGGGGUGGAUAAUGGAGGCCACUUAUUGCUUGUUGAAACAUAAUCCUGUCUACAUGUUUACCACUGUUAACCUUAGUAUGUUUUGCUCCUAUUAUGAAAAUGCCCUCAGUUGCCUUUGAAAUGAUUUUUCUCACCUAAUCAGAGGGUUCACGGAUGACUCAUGAAGUGAAACCUCUGAAAAUCACCUUUACUCAUUUUCUUUUGUGUUCUUUUCAAUGGUUUUUUUUUCUUUGUUGUGACCAAUACUUUGCUUCUGGGCCUCGUUCAAUGUAAUGGCUGUAAAAAAGUAGAUCUGGGUCUAGUUGUGUACUCAUUCAGAGAUCAAAUAUGUUGGGAAGAGACUAUGAUUGGGUGAUGAGAUUCUACUAUAAGGUUCAAGGGAGGUUCAAUUGGUUCAAUGAUGCCACUCUGAAUUUGUUGAUAUCCUAUAUGUGUGUAGAAGAGAUGCUCAGUGGGUCUCCUUUGGGUAUCAAAACUCUGUUUUUCCUAGAUAUCAGUGGCAUGCUUAAAGGUAUAUUAUCAGGUCCUGGCCUGGUUGUAAGUAUAUCUAUUUCAUCUGCUGGAUUCUUGCGAAGAAAUCUCCCUCUAGCAGUUCUAGGAAAUGGGAAGACGUCAAUGGGAAUGUGUCUGUGGUUUCUGCUCAUGAGAAUAUAUUGAGUGAUCAGCCUGAGUUGCUGCAGCAACUUGGAAUGGACCUUUCUUUCUGUUCCAAUACUGAUCUAUGACCCAUUGAUAGAAGUCCACUUGGCAGAUUUUUGAAGAUGGAGAGGCUCGAAAACCAUCUAUGCAUACUGAUGUAGGUCCCGUGUCUGAGACAAGAGGUGCAGAAAAUGCCGAUUAUGCUGAUUCUGAUAAUAAAAACAGUGGGAUUUCUUGGGUCCUUAUUGUGAUGGUUGCCCUAUGUCACACCCUCAUGAGGAAGAAGACACCAAAACAGAAUAUCUCGGUAAAAUAUUAUGGUAUCAGCAGGGAAUGUCUCAAUGUCGUUACUGAUGAGUAAACUGACAUGGUUGCUGAGAAAGGCGUUUGUUUUGACAAGUCAACCACAGUUGAGAUCUCUGGAGACGCGCGGUCAUAGCCUAGAGCUCGCGCUGGAUGAGAUAUCAUUUGACUUGGCUGUGUCAAACAAAAAGGCGUACCAUACAGACUCCGCGGGAGCCUCAUGCUGCAUGCUAACUGAUGCUGAUUUUCUAAACUAUAAGUUUUGGAGGAAAACAGAAGGCCGGAGAUCAGCAUCAAGGCUUUCUUCUUCUCAAACCACUCAAUCAAGCAUCCGAUGAAACGCUGCACUUGAUCCUUGAGACACUGCAAGCAGCUAUAAAGACGGGUCAUGAAGCAUCUGCAGCAAUAAAACCCAUCAAUCUCAUUAUCCAUCAAGUCAAGCCAAACCAUUUCUCCAACCUCUUCACAGCCAUACCCGUCUUUCUUACCCCUGAACAUACCUAUUCUCCAUACCCAUUAAAUCUACUCCUCUUCACCACUCCUUCCACUGAUCCUAAGCCUUAUCUCUCUACACUACACGCCUCCAUACCCAUCUUCUAAUGCCCGUCACCACACCACUCCCUCACACUAUCCCACUCACCCAUGUUCAAAAGAAUGCGUGGCUAAAACACUGAGGAUGUUAAGGAGUUCCAGAGAGUGCCAGGGUGCAGAUGUAUAUAUAUUUCCAUGCAGUGAACAGAUUGCAAGAUGCCCACGAACAGAUCGGUACAGUCGUCUCAACAGUUUUGAAGGCAAGCCACCUGCUUCUCAUAUUUCUGGGGUCUUCGGAACGGGGUCUGAUUGGACAUUUUUCUAGUAUCCAACCGAAUUUGAUGCUGGAAGUGGGAGAAAUUCAAGGAAGGCCUGCGAAGACUACCUCUCAUGUCUUUGAUAACGAGAAUCAUUCCAGCUUGGAUUGAUAUUAUCCCAAAAGCUCCAGUUUUGCCAAAAGAUCCAAGAAUAAACGAAGCAAUGAAUGCUAGAAUCAUGGUACAAUCUUUCAAACGAGUUCAAGGUGCAGUUGCAGUGGAAAUCCUCCUAUCAAACUGAUCUCAUUCUCCAAACAAGCAGCUGAAACUUUGAUGAUAAGUGGGUCUAGUCAUUUAUGGUCGGACUCUCCCGGGGAUUGAGCACAUAGUUACACAGUUGUGAUUAUAUCCCCAAGUACUAACAUGAGUGAAGAUUUGAAAUCUCAGCAGUGGUGGCACCAUGUUGAGAAGGGAACCCUCCUUGAAGCUGCAGAUCACCAACUUUUGAAGAAUUUGAAGAAAAAUAUGAAGAAUUUGAAAACAAAAUAUGGAGGAACACCUCAAUUCAUUCUGUGAUACCUCCCUUUACAAUGAAUGAAAGCAUAAAUAAAUAGCCUACGGAUAUGAGACAAUUCCGGAAUGGAAUUUCCCUUACAUGGAAAGUGAAUAAACUCUUACAUGGGAAGUGAAUAAACUACUCUUACAUGGAAAGUGAAUAAACUACCUUGCUAGAAUUACUCCUAAAUAUAUAAACUACUCUUACAUGAAAAGUGAAUAAACUACCUUGCUAGAAUUACUCCUAAAUCAAUUAUAAUAAAGGUUGUACAUUACACUAAUUAGGGAAGUAAACAGAGGAUGCUGGCUUGAUUUCCAACACUCCCCCUCAAGCCGCGUUGUAGAUGUUGAUCAUUCCAAGUUUUUCUGUCAGAUCUUCGAAGUUAACUCGAGCAAGAGCUUUUGUGAGAAUGUCAGUCGUUUGACAGUUUGUCGAAGUGUAGCUGACUUUGAAAACUCCUUCUUCAAUCUUUUCCUUGAUAAAGUGUCGAUCUAUCUCCACGUGCUUAGUUCGAUCAUGAUGAACCGGAUUCUUAGCGAUACUGAUGGCAGCUUGAUUGUCACAGUAUAACACCAUGGGAUGCUUCAAUGGAACCCGUAAUUCUUCUAACAGCCUGUUCAACCAGAUUCCCUCGCAGAUACCUUGUGCCAUAGCACGAAAUUCUGCCUCAGCACUGCUACGGGCUACCACUGACUGUUUCUUGCUUCGCCAUGUAACCAAGUUCCCCCAGACAAAUGAACAAUAGCCUGAAGUUGAUCUCCGAUCAGUCACUGAACCUGCCCAAUCUGCAUCUGAAAAAAUCUCAAUCUCUUUAUUUGUUGUUCUUUGAAAGAAGAGACCCUUUCCCGGUGUCAUCUUGAGGUAUCUCAAUAUUCUGAUCACAGCAGUCAUGUGUUUUUCGGUUGGAUUAUUCAUGAAUUGACUUACCACACUAACGGAGAAGCCGAUGUCUGGCCUUGUAUGAGAAAGAUAGAUGAGUUUCCCCACAAGACGUUGAUAUCUUCCUUUAUCAACUGGCGCACUUCCAUCACUUUCUUCCAGUUUGACAGUUGUAUCCAUAGGUGUUUCUGCCGGCUUGCAUCUUAGCAUUCCUGUUUCAUUCAAUAAGUCCAGAACGUAUUUGCGUUGUGAGACUGCUAUACCUUUCUUUGACCUAGCAAUCUCCAUUCCGAGAAAGUACUUGAGGUUUCCAAGAUCCUUGAUCUCAAAUUCCUUUGUCAGUAAUUUUUUAAGUAAGUCAAUUUUCUCUUCAUGAUCACCUGUCAAAAUUAUGUCGUCCACAUAUACAAUGAUAAUUGCCAGUUUCCCUUCUAGGAAGUGUUUCACAAAUAAUGUGUGAUCGGAUUGACAUUGAACGAAUCCGUACCCUUUCACUACCUUAGUGAACCGUUCAAACCAGGCCCUGGGAGAUUGUUUGAGACCAUACAAGGAUUUUCGGAGUCUGCAAACCUUGUUGAAAUUUGAUGUCGUCUCAAGUCCAGCAGGAAUGUCCAUGUAAACUUCUUCCUCUAAGUCACCAUUGAGGAAGACAUUCUUCACAUCAAGUUGGUGAAACGACCAAUCGAGAUUAGCUACCAAGGAUAAAAGUACACGAACAGUAUUGAGCUUGGCAACUGGAGCAAAAGUUUCUUGAUAGUCAAUGCCAUAGGAUUGGGUGAAUCCUUUGGCAACCAACCGAGCCUUAUACCUGUCCACAUUACCAUCUGCCUUGUACUUUACUGUGAAAAUCCACUUACACCCAACUGGUUUCUUACCUCUUGGGAGGUCAGUAAUUUCCCACGUACCAUUCUUUUCCAGCGCCCGAACUUCCUCAUCGACUGCCGCCUUCCACUUAGGAUACUUGAAAGCUUCCUGAAUAUUCUGAGGAACUUGUAUCUCUGUGAUGCUAGAAGUGAAUGCACGAAACGUAGGUGAUAACUUAUCAUAAGAAAUAAAAUUUCCAAUGGGAUGCUGAGUACAUGAUCUAACUCCUUUCCUCCAAGCUAUGGGCAUAUUAAGAAUAUCAUUUUCUAACUCGGAAUCAACAGUACCAUCAGGAGCGUUGUUACCUGGAAGUUUGCUUGGAUUAGGACCCGGUUCUGCCUCAUGGGUUUGUUGAGAAAGUGUUUUUUCCUCCGUUUCCUCUUGGAUGUGCUCCUUAUCCCACAAGUCAACAAUGGACUCGGGUUGAUUAAAUGACUCUGGAGGAAUGUGAUUUUCAGUGGUGAUGGGUGACUCACUGAAUGACUCAAGAUCCCAAAAUUGAUAUUCCUGAGUUGAAUUCUCCCCCUGAAUAUCGUUUUUGGGAUAGUAAGGCUGGGUUUCAAAAAAGGUGACAUCCAUUGAAUUGUAGAAUUUUCUUGUGACCGGAGAGUAACACUUAUACCCUUUUUGAUUUGAAGAAUACCCAAGAAAGAUGCACUUGAGUGACCUAGGAUCAAGUUUACUUCUAUGUUGUUGAUUGAUAUGAACAAAGACAGAGCACCCGAAAAUUUUGGGUGGGACGGUGGAGAUGAGACGAGUAGUCGGAAAGGAUUUUAGGAGUGUUUGACAAGGUGUUUGGAAUUUUAGUACCCUAGACGGCAUCCUAUUGAUGAGGUAGGCUGUCGUAAGGACAGCUUGCCCCCAGAAUAAUUUUGGAACAUUCAUGGAGAACAUUAGUGAUCUAGCCACCUCUAACAAAUGUCUAUUUUUCCUUUCAGCGAUUCCGUUUUGUUGUGGGGUAUCAACACAUGAACUUAAGUGAACUAUCCCUUCUUGUGCUAGAAAUUCUCCUAGAAUGGAGUUGAAAUAAUCCCUAGCAUUAUCAGACUUUAGAAUUUGUAUUUUUGACUGGAAUUGGGUCUGAAUCAUAUUUUUAAAAUUUUUGAAAAUUUGACUCGUUUCAGAUUUUUCUUUCAUGAGGAAUACCCAAGUUAAUCUAGUGUGAUCAUCUAUGAAUGAGACAAACCACCUAGUACCAGUUACAUUUUUUAUUCUUGACGGACCCCAGAUAUCGCUAUGAAUCAUUGAGAAUAGACUAGACUCUUUAUAGGGUUGAAUGGGAAAAUGAGACCGGACUUGCUUUGAUAAUUGACAGAUUUCACACUCAAAGGAUUUUGGAUUUUUAUUAAAUAAUGAAGGAAAUAAAUGCUUGAGAUACAUAACAUUUGGAUGACCUAAGCGAUAGUGCCACAACCUAAUUGCACUAUCGUUAUUUUGACAUGAAACCGAAAAAGAAUUACUACCAACUGUCAUUUGAGGUUGUUCUUGUGGAUCGUGGCACUCCUUAAGGAUGUAGAGUCCAGAGCAUUCCUCAGCAUUGCCAAUCGUCUUCCCCGAAUCCAAAUCCUGAAAUUCACAGUGAGUGGAGGAAAAAUUAGUAAUACACCUCUUUUCCUUAGUGAGUUUACUAAUUGACAAUAGAUUACAGUCCAAGUUAGGAACAAGGAGAACAGAGUUGAGAGUAAGAUCCCUUGAUAGCACAACUGAACCUGUUCCGGCAACCUUUGAUAGUGAACCAUCUGCUAUUCGGACUGUUAAAUUAUUUGGACAUGAGCUAUAUGUAUCAAAAAUUGUCGCAUCUCCCGUCAUAUGAUCAGAUGCUCCUGAGUCCACUAUCCAAGGUUUUUUACGUUUCUUACCAGCAGUGAAGGCACUCAAAAAAUUACUUUUGUGAGCCAAGGUUCCGGAACCAAUGACCUGGUUGGAAGAUGAGCCAGUUUGUGACUGUACUGACAAAAGAGGAGACAGUAGUUUCUGAAGCAUCUCCAUUUGCUCCUUAUUAAAAGGGCUAGCUUCAGGUUGUGGCGAUUGUUCAUCGGUAGCCACAUGAUUGCCUCGUCCUUCUUUCUCAAGUGGUUGACGUGGCUUCCAAUCUACUGGCUUUCCAUGAAUCUUCCAGCAAGUUUCUCUUGAGUGUCCCGGCUUUCUGCAAUGAUCACACCAAGGUCUACCUCCUUUAAUUUUUUGACGGUUGUCAAAAGGAGCGAAUUGAGUCUUAAGAGCCGAGCUUUCUGCCAUAUUCAGUUGUUGAUGGGAUCCCAUCAUGAGAUUUUUCCGACUUUCUUCGCGACAGACUUCAGAGAAUGCCUCUCUGAGGCUAGGUAGGGGUUUUACUCCCAUGAUUCUUCCUCUGAUUUCAUCAAGAUUUUUGUUCAAACCUAACAAAAAUUUAAACACACGUUUCCCUUCGACAAUCUUUUUAUACAAAAAACCAUCUGUAACACAAUUCCAGUUAUGAACCUCAAACGUAUCAAGUUGACGCCAUAGACGAGUAAGAGUAUUGAAAUAUUCAGUUACCGUAAGGUUUCCUUGACGCAAAUCGUGGAGGAUGCCUUCAAUCUGGAUGAUUUCAGAUGUGUUUUCCUUGUCUGAGAAAGUUUCUUUUGCAGUGUCCCAGAUUUUUUUGGCAGUAUCAAAAGACAGAAAAUCUUCACCAAUGUCAGCGGUCAUAGAGUUGACUAGCCAGGACAUGACCAUAUUAUUUUAUGCUCUCCACUUUUUGUAGGUUGAUGCUGUGGUUUCUGGUGCCACCGAAGCUCCGGUGAUGUAGUCAUCUUUCUCCUUUCCCCGUAUAAACAUUAAUAUGGACUGAGACCAUUGCAAAUAAUUUUGCCCAUUCAGUUUAUGGGCUGUGAUUGGAAGAUGAGAGGUUUCCAUCUGAUGAGAGGAUGAAGACGAUGAGAUGAUGAUAUCAGAAGUAGAGGAUGAUGAGUUGGUAGCCAUUCCAAAGGCUGGACCGUAUUUAGGCAUAAAUUAGAAGAAUAGAAUUGAGUAAAAAAAAACUGACUAAAGAUGAAGACGAUGAGACAGGAUUAAACCUGCUCUGAUACCAUGAAGAAUUUGAAGAAAAAUAUGAAGAAUUUGAAAACAAAAUAUGGAGGAACACCUCAAUUCAUUCUGUGAUACCUCCCUUUACAAUGAAUGAAAGCAUAAAUAAAUAGCCUACGGAUAUGAGACAAUUCCGGAAUGGAAUUUCCCUUACAUGGAAAGUGAAUAAACUCUUACAUGGGAAGUGAAUAAACUACUCUUACAUGGAAAGUGAAUAAACUACCUUGCUAGAAUUACUCCUAAAUCAAUUAUAAUAAAGGUUGUACAUUACACUAAUUAGGGAAGUAAACAGAGGAUGUUGGCUUGAUUUCCAACAACUUUCAAAGCAGGGUACCAUUUGCACCUCAAGUCCGCGUGCAUGGCCACCUUUUGCAUGGCCAACUUAGGGCCGCGUGUCACUCUCCCGAAUUCCUUCCUUUUGACUUUAAAAAUAAAUUUCCUAAACCUCAUUUUCUAAAAUGAUUUCUUUAAUUCUGUUUUUUUUAAUUAGUUUCGAAUCUUCAAAUUUUCCCAUCCUUAGCAUUUUUCUUAGGUUCCAAAAAUCCCAUUUUCAAUAAAAUUUGGUUACCAUUUUCUUUUCGGCAAGCCACUUUUGAAUUUUCUUUGUUUUCUAAAAAUGUUUUAAAAUAAGUAAGGAUUAAAUUCUGUAAUUCCAAAUGAUGGAAUUUACGGAAUUAAUUCAUGCAAGAAUAAAACGGGCAUUGGUGGGGGUCCGACAUAUGUGACUUUGUAAUUGAUUGAUUGAUUGAUUGAAAUAAUACCAUGCAUGAUAUUGGUGUUCCUUUAUCUAGUUGGGUGAUAUGAGUGAUAUAUUUUAUGCACAUUACUAUGCACUAAUCCCAUUUUGUGAUAGCGUGUUGCCGUUUGCUGAUCAAAUACGCAUCCACUUCCACUUCGGUUAUCCUCUAUUGCAUAUUUUGAUACUCAUAUGUGCAUGAUUGAUUCGAGUAUUCAUUGAUUUUCUCAUUGAUUGUCAUAUAAGCUUCAUCUCAUUAGUAGAGACCCGACUUUAGGGACUUAGAAGGGUGCUACGGUCUUUACCGUACAUUCCCGAUAAGUAACCUAACCCCCGAACCCGAUCCGAUUUUUCACAGACCGCCUUUUCCAAAAUAAGGAGUCACACUUAGGGUUUUGCUUUCUUAUUUUGUUUACCCUUUAAAAAUAAAACAAAAAUAAGUGGCGACUCCAAGUCCUUUUUCUUAAUCAAUAAAUUAAAUCAUUUUUUCAAAAUCAAAAUCGAGAGCUUGCCAUUUGAGUGGGUAACGCAUUGAGCCGAAAUGCGGGGUCCACACAAUGUUUUAAAAAUCAAACUGAUUAUUGAAGCGAAAAAAUUACGAUUUACUGUUCAAUGGUUGAACUAGUGGUUGAACAGUAAUAAAACCGAUAACAUCAUAAAUAUAUCAUUUAUAUAUUAUUAAAUUAAAAAUAAUUUUAAAUUUUUAAAAUUUUAAAAUAUACAUAUAAAUAAAUUAAAAAUCAAUAAUAUUUAUUUUUUAUCUUUUAUAUUAUUAAAUUAAAUAAUGCAUGACUAUAAAUGUAUUAAUAUACUAAAUUUUAUUAAAUGAGAUAUGUAUAAUAUUUUAAGUGGAUAUAUUAAAAAUCAAAGAAAAUCCAAUUAUUUAAUUUUAGCUAAUUUUAUCAUUUUUAAAAAUAUUAUAUUAUUGUUAUUCAAUAUUUUUAAUUUUUAUUUUAGAAAAGAAAUAUAUUGUUUUUUGUUUGCCUUACAGAGCAUCAAAACAUCUGUAGCCGGAUGGUGCCCCCAGGCCACUUCCUAAGCGCUUUUCAUUCACUGAUUUUCCCUUCAACUUUAAGAUCAUAUUGUCCAUAAGAAAAAAAAUAUGGGCUGGCAUUUUAAAAUGGGCCUGAUUGAAUAAAAAAAGAAAGGGUGGAAAUAUAGGGAGGGCCUUGGAAUUGGGCCCAUUUUGAAUUAAAAAAAAAAAAAAGGGUCAUUGGAUCGAGACUGUUCGGUUCUGCAUUGUGCGGAAUAAAAGAAUAUGGGCUGGCAUUUUAAAAUGGGCUUGGUUGAAUAAAAGAAGAAAGGGUGGCAAUAGAAGCUUGCCCUUGGAAUUGGGCCAUUUUGAAUAUAAAAAAAAAGGGUCAUUGGAUCGUUCGAUUUACCGGUUCGGGAGAGAAUCCAGACCGGAAAGAUUAUCAGAUGACAGUUGGACUAAAAUUAAAAUUUAAAACUAUUGUAUAUAUAUAUAAAAGAAAAAACUUGAGCGAAAAAAUAGAAAAUAGGUUUAAAAUUAAUAAAUUAUUUUUAUAUUUAUUUAUUUUAAUACUUUUUAUAUAAAGAUUAAAUAAUUUUAAAAUAUAUAAUUUUUUAUUAAUUUUAAUUAUAUAUAUUUUUAAACAUAAUAAAAUUAUUUUUUAAUAUUUUUUAUUUUCUUAGUAUUUUUCAAGGAUAAAAAAUAACUUAUAGGAAACCGAUGAAACGUUAUUUAGUAUUUAUUUCUUUUAGAAAUUCAAACAGGAAGUUGGUUUUGAAUGGUCUACCUUCAAUUGGUCAAAGUUUGUAGAAGAAAUGACGCCCACGAACCACGUGCCUUGGUUUCUUAGUCAAGCUCUAACAAUAACAAAAAGUCAAAAAUAUUAAUCAGUUCCAACUUCCAACUGUAACAUUCUUGGUUACUUCCUUUCAAAUGUGAAGUCUGGGUUUCAACUUUCAAACCCUUCCACCAC